AGUUACUAGAGAUACCAUGGGAACUUAUUUCAAACAUAAGCUGUUGUUUGCCACGCGUUUUUUAUCUGAAAUAAAUUAUAAAUGUAGGAUUGACAGUCUUUAAUUUAAAUGAGGUCUUUAAAUUAUAAGGAGAAAAUCUCAGUAAUGUUCCAUUAUUCUCAUUUAGCAUACACAUAACCAAAAUUGACCAUAAAUAGGGCCAAGUGUUUGGUAACAUAAAUUUGCAGUUCUAAGGGAUCUAAAUGAUACACAAUGUAGACAGGGCACAUCCACAAGCCUAGGCAUAAUGGACGGUUUACCAGAAAUGCAGUGACAAGAGAGGAAGAAAAUAUGAAGAGUAGGUGGGGAAGUUGAUGGCCAGGCCAAGCAGACACCAUCUCCCACACCCCCACCAAGCUCGGCGUUGAUGGCCGGUGCAGCACUCCUUCCAGGAAGGGUGGUGGCAGAGAGGAGGAACACAGAGAUGGGACGUGUAGCCAGCAGGGAGGGAGCAGUAGCACUGCAAGCAGUACAUUUUGGACAUCGAGCAAUCAGGAGUUAAGGAUUCAGGGAAGCCGCGAAGAGAAGGGGUAUAGACUCGAUGGUGCGCUCGGCCUGCCCCUCCUUCCCCUUUCUUCCCUUUAUUUAUCUUUUCCCCAUUUUCUUUGCUACUUCCUCUGCUGCAUUCCACUGUUCCUAGAUUGAUAUGACAUCACCUCACCUCACCUCACGCCUUCACCUCCCCUACCGCCUCAAGAACCUUGGUGAUACACAAAGAACUCGAAGGACAUGGGCCUUGUUUACUUCCACUCCAAACCCAAAAUUUUUCAAGAUUCCCCAUCACAUCGAAUCUUUAGACGCAUGCAUGAAGUAUUAAAUAUAGACGAAAAUAAAAACUAUUUGCACAGUUUGGUCGGAAUUUACGAGACGAAUCUUUUGAGCCUAGUUAGUCCAUGGUUGGACUAUAUUUACCACAAACAAACGAAAGUGCUACAGUGUCGCGAAAUUUUUCGCUUCGGGGACUAAACACGGCCAUGCUAUCCAAUUUAAAUAUUAAGAAAAAAACUGCCAUAAUUUGAAUAAGGUAAAACAUAGUACUACCAUAUGACCAUAGAGAUACUGGAAAAGGAACUAUAAAUUGUACAAGCUUUCCUCUUGGCUCUGCUAACAGCAUGAAAUUUCAUGGUAUUCAGGUACUGGAUAACAGGAUUUUCUGUUAUUCCAUAUUCAGGAGUAACGUAAAAUGCUUGUACGAGCAAGUUGAAUCCUUACUUUAACAGCCGGAGAAUCAUCUAGAUCCAUAUGACGUAAUGCUGAGCCUCCGAUUCCAUCAAUCCUGAUACUUUCUUCAUUCUUUUCCUCAUGAGGAACAAUUGAUUUAGGUGGAUCAGUCUCAAUGGUUCUUGCACGCAAUAAGUCUGUAAGUCGAUCAAACUCAACCCUGCAAAGGAAGUAAUGAUUGUCAUGAACAGCUUCAGUAGCAUUGAACAAAGAAUACAUUGUGAAAGCAGCACGCAAGCACAAACAGAGGAAACGCGAAGAGCGCACUGCGUGCAGCAGUACAACAAAAGGGAACCUCAUUUGAAAUAUAUUUUAGACUGGAAGAGGUGGAACAUCACAUGAACCAGAUAAUAGCCACUAUACCAGGGGUGAGGGUGAAAGCUACUUAUGAACUUUCAAAAUACAUUUUAAGAAAAAUAUAGCAGAUUAAGCAAUAGAAAUUGAAGAAUGGUAACUAUGCAGAUACAUACUUAGUGAAUGUCUUCCGCAUUAACAAGUGCUCUACUUCAGACAAUGCUUUGUCAUCUGAUGUGCCAACUAUGCUCUUCCCUUUAUCCAUUCCACCCUCUGGGAUUGGAAGCGAAUCCUGCAUUGAGUUUUCAAAUGUUCUGGUCUGAACAACGGUGAACCAAAUGAUACCAAAUAGAACACAGGCUCAUUAAACAUAAUAUAUGAUGUGUUCUGUUUAACUGCAAACGGUCGGUUGCUACUUACAACAUGUGUUGAAUCAGGCAAGUCCUGUUUUGGCUCGUUAUUUUUUCCUGCAAACACCAAAACUGCGAUCAGACCAGCAUCAACAUAAUUUAUUAAUUUACAGUCAACACACAAUCACUAAGAAUUAAGAGCCAAGAGUAAGAAAGAAUGGGGAGAAUAAGAGAACCCUUUUAUUUCGCAUCCACCAAUAAAAACACAAGGAUCCAAUAGGCUAGACACCUCUCGAGCGCUAAAAUCUAGACUCUGGCAUACACCAAUCAAUCAUUGUGACAUAUUUCCUUUUGAAGUAUAUAAUCAAAACAAUGCUAAAAAGCACUAUAUACAUAACUCCAAACCACGAUUUCAAAGCUUUGCGUCUCUGCAGGAAAGCUCAUGUGAGCUAACGUGGCAGAACAACUCGGCUUCAUCCUCUAUAUAUCGGCAAUACAUCUGCCACAGCCAAAAUCGCCCAAAACCGUGAGUAGGUGCUUACCAAUGUGAGGUAAACCCUAGCAUGCUUGGGAAGCCCGAAACCCUAGCCCCAGCCAAAAUCACGGACGGUUGUUGCAGAUGAAUCUCAGGGAGCAGGGAGGAGCGCAGAUGAAUCUUAGGCUCACCGGGAGGCGACGACAGCGGCGGAGACGGGGCCGGCGGCGGGGCGAGGCGCUUGCGGAACACCGAGCCGAAGAGGCGCGCGGCGCCGCCCGCGAUGAGGCGGGAGGCCGGGUCCACCAGCCGGGACACCCAGCCACCGCUCCCGCCGCCGCGCUCGCCGCCGCCCGGCUCCGAGGAUGCGGAAGCCGCUGCAGCAGCAGCGGCGGCCGCAAGGCGGUGCGCGGCGGCGGCGGCGGGGGGGCGCUCGUAGGGCGUGGACGCGGCGCGGGGCGGCGGGCGGCGCCGGAUCUUCCCUCCGGCGCCGGAGCCGGCGUACGGGCUCGGGUACAUGGCGCGGCGGAGGCGAGGGCGCGGGGUGGAGGCGGGAGCGGGGGCGGAGGCGCGGGGUGGAGGAAGGAAAGGGGGUGGAAGAACGCGAGGAAAAAGCUAGGGCUUCCGUUCCGGGAGUCGCGUCGCGAGGCCCGUGUGCUACGCAGCCCUCUCCUGGAUUCUGUUUCGGUGCUCUCGGGCGUCGUUGGCGUGCGCGGAGCGUGGGGCACUGGGCUGGCUGGCGUGCGGUGCGGAUGUUAAACUUGCGUGCGGGCGCCUGCCGCUUCCCGGGCAGCCCAUUAACGUUCAGAUUUGGUAGUUUGAACACGAUUAGAGCCGUUAAUGCAAAGGAUGGUUCGAAAUUUUGAACAGCCUUCCUUUUUGGCGCCGGAUAUGGCCUCGGUGCUCCUUUGCCGUUGUAUGUUUUUUAUAUCGGGGGUAAUCAGUCUCAAUGUAUAGUUUCAUGACAAAGUUACCAAGACUAUAAACUAGGUAACCCAACCACAAGAGUUUUAUGGGAAUGAAACUCCUCUCUCAUCUGAUGAAACAUCUUCAUUUAAUGAUCCUGCCAAGUCAGCAAUUUUGCUUAUGUGGCACCCUAUUUAAUAUGCAUGACACUCCCAUAAAACAUGCAUUGAGACUGACCUAAGUAUCCUAAUUUAUCUGGCACAUGCAACUAUAUUUUUUAUGGGUUUGAACAUCCAAGUUAUAGAUGCAAGGUUUGAAGUUUGUAGAAUAAAUUAAAGUGGGGGGGGCAUGUGUUUAUAUUAAAUUGUUAGUAAUAAAAUUGCUCUUUAGCUCAAAAUUCUGGAUGUACAUACAUAUGGCCGCCAAAAACCAUAGAACUUGUCGGUUCAAUAUAAGUUCUAGUAAAACAAAUGAAGUCUAUAUGUUUCCCUCUAAAAUCUCAAGGUAAAGACAUUUGGUGUAUGAAUAAAAAAAACAAGUUAAAUCCUCCUUCAUGUUAGUUCAAAGCAUGUGUCACCCUUCCAAGUUCCAAAUUAUAGAUCAUUUUGACUUUAUACUGAACUUAUUUAAAAUUUGACCAAAAGUAAAGCAAAAAUGUAUUAGCAUAUGUAUCAUCAAAUUUGUUUCAUUACAUGUACUAUGAAAUAUAUCUUCAUUGUAUGUAUUCUUUGGUUCUGUUUUAAAAGAAACUAAGUCUAUUCGCUUGAGCUUAUCUGUCGAAUCUGCUAGUCAUUCAGCUGUGUUCCUCACAACAAAUCAACGAACAAUAUUUUUAAUUAUGACUUAUCAGCCAAGCGCGAUAUUUAUAAUUGUAUUAUCUUUGAGACGAAGAAAGUAUCUUUUGGACACGUUAUGGUUGCUCUAGAAUAGAGAAGAAAGUACUCCCCGUGUCAGUGCUAAUUGGUCCACCACUUACUGUAUACUGCAAACAAAAAGGAACCAUUUUGCUGCACGUGGUGCUGUCGCAAGAAAACAUUGCCGGCGACGUUAUGCGUGCCGCGUGGGACAAAGCCUACUACACGUAUCACAGCAACGGGAUCCAUUGCGCCAUGCCUGGGCAUUUGUUGCUCGGCGAUCCUGCUUCCACACAUUGACACAUAGCUGGACGGCAUCCAGCCCACCCAUUGCGCCAUGUCUGUCCAUUUGUUGCCUUGUACUCAGGCAGGCGGCGCCAGGCUCAUGAGUUGCACGUCUAGCUGGACGGACAGCAGCAACCAACGGGGGCCAUCCACCCACGCCAGGGCAUCACAGAACAGAAUCAAGUAUCAAAAGAAAGUGAACCCAAUUGUCCUUUCAAGUUUUAUCAUUCAGGAAAGAUGCACUGAGGGGACAAGACCAUAACAGCAAUUACCGAAAGGAGAUUUCAAUUUUUUAUAUAUAUUAUACAUGUAAACAACAUGCUGACAUGGAGCACCAAACUCAGGUAGGUCCAUGAUAACACCGUAUGUAGUUAGAUCGUUAGGUCGGGUGUCCAGCUCCGAAUACAAGACAACAGUUGAGCACACAUUCUGAGUCAUAUGGAAGAAUAUGUUGCACUUUAAGGUUCAUGUAACUACAUCCAUGGCAAACUUGAAAUCAGGCUUAGAUGAUGGGGUUUGGCGUAACAAACCCGAUGCUGAACCCGAAGGAGAUGCAGGUAAGUUCCUCGUUGCUGUCCCCCUGCAACUUCAUCGUGAGGGUGUAGGAACCCUGCAAGAUAAACAACAUUCCAGGAAAAGUAAUCAGUAAUCCAGUAAGCAUAGUUUAUUAAUAUAUAGUUUAUUAAUAGAACUAAAUUUUGUGGUGCAUUAUACUUACUGGCGGGGUGAAUGAUGGUAAUGUCUGUUGGCUAGCUAGCACAAAUUCACCUGUUACUGGGCAAGAAGUCUCAUCGCAGAGGUUAUGAGUUUCUGAGUGGACGUGGAAAAUGAAGUACGCAACAUCUAUCACCAGUUUCCCUUUAGUGAUGUUUUUAUCUAGGGUAUUCAAACAAAAACAUCUCACGAGUCAUGAGUCAUGACUAGCCUGUAUGGGUCUGGCAGGAAGCAACCAGAUAAAUUCAAAUGGCGAUACAACACACAAAAUGAAUUACACUGAUAAGCAAACUGCAACAGUAAAAAGAGGUCAUCUAAAUGAUUUUUCAACUUCAGAUUCAUCACAGGGCUCCAGUUAGCCAUAUGAAACAUUUUCCUAAGGUAAAAUAAAAAGGAAAAAAAUGUAUGACCCUACAUCUGCAAUUUAUGAUAUGAACAUCCAAAAAUCGUUCCUGCCAGAGCAAUCUAAGGCCUUGUUUAGUUAGCAAAAAUUUUUGUUUUUGGCUACUGUAGUAUUUCGUUUUUAUUUGACAAACAUUAUCCAAUCACGGAGUAACUAGGCUCAAAAGAUUCAUCUCACAAAUUACAGGUAAACUGUGCAGUUAGUUUUUAUUUUCGUCUAUAUUUAAUGCUCCAUGCAUGCGACCAAAGAUUCGAUGUGACGGGAAAUCUUGAAAAUUUUUGCGAACUAAACAAGGCCUGUUUACCAUCCUGCUGCCCUAGAUUUGACAAGUCAAGAUAGGUAUAGUAUCUCUGCUCAAGUUUGCAUCCUCUGAUCCGGUACACAUCUACAGGCUAGAAUGGAGAUUCUAGUGUUUUGAUGUGUCAGGAAAUAUGUCAGCAAAAUUGCACUGAGCCUCUAUGCAAAAGUUUGAGAUGUGUCAGGUAAUGCAGAAAAAAAAAGGAAUAAUGAGCUUGGAAAAUUCUUUGUGAUGUUCUUUCUCAACUAAACAACAGUAGCUGUGGCAAAAUACACGAUGAUAAUAUAUACUACAAAGGUGACACAGUAGUAAGUCGUUCUGUUGUAAUAAAUGCUAAUGGAGAGGUAUCUAAGUUUCAAACAAUACUAUCAUCUAAAUGGGGAUGAUAACCAAGGGUUUGAAAUAUUUACCAAACUAAGAGAAACAAGAUAGUGACAUCAUAAUUUGUGAAUAAAGGUUCAACAGGCGAUAAAAGGGUGUCUUAAAUGCUAAAAUUAGGUGGCUAAAACCCACCAGUUUUUGAUGGGCUUAAUACAAGUUAUUCAGGCGGACCGCAAAGGCUCACCAUAGUUCUGAACAAGGAAAAGUUUUGAACAAGAAACCCCCUCUCCCCACUCCCAACAAACCAAACCAAACAAAAAAAUCACUUCAUAACUUCUUAUGCAGGUCUAGAACAGGUGACAGUACCUAAUUUCAUUAUCCAAACUGUAACUAAUCUUACAAAAGGAAGAAAAAGUGUAUAGAAAACAAGUUGCUUUAUAGGCUGAUAUCACCCUGCUUUGUAGAGGAACUUAUGAGCACAUCACAUAAAAGAUAACAUAUCAUUUGUAGGGUACUCUUAAUCUUUGAUUGUAGAGAAACUUACGAGCACAUCACAUAAAAGAAAAUAAAUCAUUUGUAGGAUACAACUAGUACAUUAAAGCAGUCCUCAUUGACAGAAAUACAGGCAACAAAAGAAAACAAAGUUCAAAAAUAAGAGAAAUCGCUGAUCUGGCAUGCACACAUGCAUAUGAAUUGCAACAUACACUGUUUUGUGCUUCCAUGUGAAAACCAUCUAUUGUCAAGAACAAUCCAAUAUGGUACCUAAGGAGAGAGCUUUUCUAGAUUGUACAUUGUAGCAACCAUUCCAACCAAUUCUAUGUCCAUUACCAUGGGCGGACCCAGGCCUACCUUAGAUCUUAACCAAAAUUACUAGUACUAGUUAGAUUUAGAAAGUCCAAAUUUUAAAACUCCAACAUUCUAAAGUACUUUGUCAGUCUUCAGACCAUCCCUCCUCUCGGCUAGUACUCGCUUGCGCUUGAUAUCCGCUAGGUCUAAUAUUGUUUUGGAUUAUACCAUAUUGAAUGCGAGAUAUUUUUGCCAGGCAUACCCUGGGUUCAAAUUCAAGACCCACCACUGUGGCUCUUUGUUGUGUUUGGUACACCAGAGACCAGACAAUAUUGUGAAACAGGAGCAAUGCCAUGGAAACGCUCAUCAACGUUACAGCAUUCUUAGUAUUAACAGCUCGAAUUUGAUCCCACGAGAAGCAUAUCCAAUCUGAGACAAUGGCUACACAGGAAUUCCCCGCUCGAACUACCUGAUGCCACAUACACGCUCUGAAUCCCUAACCCGCAACACAGAGGGUAGCCGGUUGAGCCCGUCGCAACGGACAGACUGGUUACCUGUGGAGGCGGAGAUCUUGAAGGUGGCCGGUUCCCCCCUGACGACGGGAUCGGGGACGACCUCCACGCCGCUCACCUUCACUGGGUAGUCCCGCCCCUUUUCUGCAGAAACACCACGAAAUCAUCACUCGACUCGGGGACACUUUUAGUUCUAGAGGCGCGCUUACUGCAGUACUCGACGGCGGUGGCGCUGGAUCCAGAGGGGAGGAGGACCAGCACCGCCGCGGCGCCGAAGAGGAGGUGGCGGCGGCGGUUGAGGUGCUUGGGCGCCAUCACUGCAGGCGGGCUGUCGCACUCCGGAGCUUGGACGGUGGACGCUAGAGCAGUCGAGCAGAUGAAUUCACCAGUUGUUGGGCACUGAGGUUUGCAUCGGGUUGGGCUGGGCUACAAUUUUUCCGUGCCGCCAGCCCAAUAUUUCUAUUAUCCGAACAUUUUGGGACUCUUUAUUAUACGCUGCAUUUUGGGUCAGUCAGUUUUUUUUUUUUGACUAAUAAAGGGUCAGUCAGCUUUCUAAGUGCAAUGCUAAUGCUAGAGAUUUCUUGAAAACAAUAAUGUUGUCUCAAAAUAUUGCCAAUCGAACUCCAAAUUUUACGUAACUCUUCCUCCCUUUCAUAGCUUCAUACACGGAGGAAAAGCUUUUACAUAGUAUUGAGUAUUGAUGAGAUGUUUUAUUGAUCAUUUCAGUUUCAUGUUCAUCAUAUAUCACUUGGAGAAUAAAAUCGUGCAGGAAUGUCUUAAUUAUAUGUAUAUUCCGGACAAAAUCUUUGCAAAUCUUUUGUUAAAUAUGUACUUUUAUUUCUGCGCAGACAGUGACAGGACUAGAUGGGAGAACAAGGUUGCAGAUUGCAAUAGAUGUUGGCAGUGGAUUGAUAAUUGUACCAUAGUACGAUUGGAAUACUGAACGAGCAGAAAGUCUUCGCCAUUUAAACAUUAUAUACUCCCUCUAUUCCAAAAAAUAAUACAAUGCCCCAUUUACAUUGUAGUAUUGUACUAGUUGGGAUUCAGACACAUCCCACAAAUUUGUUAUGGGACUCGUUACAUGACUUCUUCAGAGUUUCAUGUGUCUGUCAUAGGGAAUAACAUGCAUCAAAGGUAUGCUAGUGAACCUCAUGUCAGAAUUACACUAGUAAAGCACGAUGAAUCAACUGAUUACAUGUCCUUUUCAGUUGCUAAUUGCCACAUUAUUAUCUAAAAAACGUUAUUGGUUAGUUUGCCCUUUACUGCUGUUAAGGUACUACUAGGGAAUCCAAUGCCGUGUCUUUUGGAAAUGUCCCAUGUACUGCAGAUAUCAUCAAGAGAGAUUCAAAAUAGCUAUAAAGUCUUUUGAUCGUAGCAAGAUCGUGUACAGCAUUUGGAAACGAACAAAUCUAUCAGAACUAACUAUUUUGGCCUAAGCACCUAAAAGCUACAGCAACUUUGACAUGUAUCAUAGAACUACAGCUAUUUUCACUUCUGGCACCAUGAAACGACGACUCUUGAUACAUGAUAUACGAUGAAAAUACGUGUAGUUUUAUGAGAACGUUGUAGGUAUGUGGAUAUGUCAAAAUAGUUGUAGUUCAGUGACACAUGUCGAAAAUAGUUUUAGUUCCUUGAAAUUUACUCUUCUGAAAAUGCCCCCCCUCCCCCCAGUUUUCUAUCCUUCAGGCAGUGCAUAUGCCUUCAGGGAGAAAUUAUGUCUGGAGGGAAAAUACGUUUCAGCACAACCUUUGUCAAAUAGUAAUGUUUCCUUAGCCAAUUAUGUGAGGGAAAAUCAUCAGUUCGUCUGAAUCAGAGCAAUGAGCUGGUUUAGAUGGGUCACUGUUGUUUUAUUUAAGAUCAAAUUAGAAGUCGUAUUUCUGGGUACAUUGAAGAGCUGUAGGAAAAAAUGAGCCAUUAGCCUUUGUUUUGUACAGCAUGCAACAUUAUCCUUUGUUCGCAAUGACUUCGAAGCACGAACAAUGAAAUUUCCACAGGAGUUGACCCAGCAAACCUGGGAUAAAAGGGCCAAAGGGGGCUGCAUGUAGUACAUCAUUAUAGGUCAAGGGCAUGUUCUAGGACCAUUGGGUUGAUAUUCUAUAUUCAUUAAGUACCUGCCUAGUACGGAGUAGAACUUAAAAAAUAAUCAAGCUGUAGGAGAGGCUGAAGUCUGAACUUCCUAGUCUAAUUCUUCGUUUUACUUGACCCCAGAAGUCAAGAACAUUGAAGCAACUGGGAGAGGUGAAAUUAAAUCUUUGUACAGAACAAUUUGAAGUCAUGGAUCAGAGUAUCGGUAUGAAAUCAAUCUCCUUUAUACCCUGAAAUUGUAUUUUGAGAUAAUGAUAUAUACAUUUCUCAGGAAUCUUUUGGAUUACUGCACCAAAUUUUUAUCAUCAGGAAUUCACACCUUGUUGGGGCCUGGGGCCAAGUUCCUUGCCUUGCUGAUGGCAGCGAAACAAAAAUCGCGGUUCCAUAUAAUUCGAAAGAUUCGUCAAAUAUUUGUCAUCCGUACAGAAUCCUAAUUCAAAGCUAUGUUUUUCAUCAAGGAGAAAACAAAAAUACGCUGAACCCAAAUUUACAAUUACACCCAAGAAAAGAUUAUUCUAAUUCCUACUAUCCUGAACAUUUUCGCCCAUUCUAUUUUUUUUUUCAAAUUUAUCAUGUGCCCCAAUCUGGCAAUGGCAAAUCCACCACACUGCUGGUAGUGGUACAGCAGUAUCUAUGGACUAUGGGCAAGAAAGCAAAGAAUUUUUAGAAGAAGAAGAAGAAAAGAAAAGAAAAGAAGCCGGUUCGUGCCUGUUGUCACGACGACAUCCUGGCCAUUGCCAGCGGCGUGACCUCGGCGAGCGGCGUCGGCAUGGGGCUGGGCACCGGCGACGUCCGGCACACGGGGCACGUCGGGUGGUGGCGGAGCCACGGGUCGACGCACUCCCGGUGGAACAGGUGGCCGCACUCGGGCAGCUUCCGGAGCACCUCGCCGUCGCCGUAGUUGUCGAGGCAGAUGGAGCAGCACGUGCACGUGGUGCCCUUCUUGCCGGCGGCCUUGGCCUCCUUCUUGGCCUCGCCGUACACCACCUCCGGAUACCCUUUGAGCGUGGCCUCGUCGAUGCCGAGCUCGACGUCGUCGUGCGCGCCUUCGCCACCACCGGCUCCGCCGCCCCGGCCGCCGCCGUGGCGCCGCCGGGACGACGGAGCAGCCUCCCCCGCCGCCGCGUCGACGGGCGCUCGGGUGCAGAAGUAGGAGGCGAGCGUGAUGGUGGUGAUGAGCAGGAGGAUGCCGACGGAGACGCCGACGCCGUAGCCGAAGCCGCCGAUGCGGUCGGUGCUGAACAUGCCGCUGGAGCUGCUGUCCACCGGUGUCAGCCCCACGGGCGGCGUCCCGCCGGAGCCCAUCGCGGCGUGCCGAGCUUGCCGGCGAGGCGGCGAGCCAAGUGGCCACGCACGACACGACUAGCUCGAGGUGAGGCGUCGGCGUUGGUGUUGGUGCAGACAGCGAUCCGUGGCGCGCCCCUGCUUUGGAUCGUUUGGUGCGGUUUUGUUUGGGUUUGAAGGUAGGAGGAGGAGCUGCUCGGAUCCGGAGAGGUUGCGAGUGCGACGUCAACGCUGUGCAUGUCGCGGAGAGGGAGUAGUAUAUAGUAGAGAGAGGGAGCAAUGAUCUCGAGGUCAAUGCGUCGGUUUGCUGUUUUUUAUACGCCUGUUUCCUGCUGGUUUUGCUCGCGUAGUUUGUUUGAAAAAAAAAACACAGGUUGCUGCUGCACAACUUGCUGAUUUUGUCAAAGGUGAUCAGUACAAUAGGAUCAUGUGUGCAGGUUGACUUUCUUUGGUUAUUAUUAAUUUGAAAAUGUGAAUUGUGCGAAGUAUGCAUAUGUAAUUUGUUUUCUAUAAGCCAAACGGAUGUUCGUAUUUUUUAUAAAAAAAAUAUUUGUGGUAUAGGCAACGUGACAACAAGAUGUUCGUGAUCUCAAAUUCUGUUGGCUUAGUUUCUCACAAACUUUCAUGAGAAUAAGGUGAGCGUAUAUGGGUUUAUUUGGUUCGAGUCGAUCUAGCUCUAGACGUUGGGAAAAAAAUGGCCUAAGUGAGCUGGCCCCAGAUAUAUUAAUUUUUCGUCCAAACAAGCCCUAUAUAUGCAUAGGUUCAUAUAUGUUUUGUAGAAAAAAUAGAAAGAAAGAAUCUUUUACAGUGACAUCACACUAUCGAAUCCGCAAUUGCCUUGAGGGAUGAUCAUUUCCUUGAGUGUCAAAAUGAAACUUCCAUGAAAACGGUAGUUUUCUUAGUAGUUUACAUAGAGCUCUGAGAAAAUAUGUAUUCCUUGAGAGUUGACAAAAAUUGGCAAGGAAUAUGGAUAUUUUCUUGCCGGUCUCUAAGCAUCACCAAGGAAGUUACUCAUUAGGGCCUGUUUAGAUUUGAAAUUUUUUGGCCUAAAGAGAAAAAUUUUUGUGGAAUUGCGACCUGAGAACUAAACGGGGCUAAAAAAUUUUGGGGCAAAAAUUUUAGACUGCAACUGUGCACGUACUCCGAUGGAAGCCCACCAAUGACAACUGCAACUGCAUGCAGCCCAAGUUGUUAUUGGUGGACUUCCAUGGGAGUGCGUGCACAGUUGCAGCCUAAAAUUUUGGCCCUAAAUUUUUUUUGCUUUUUUGCCCCGUUUAGUUCUCAACUCUUUGGGCCAAAAAAUUUUAAAUCUAAACAGGCCCUAAGUGUGAUUAUAAACAAUCAAGGAAAACUAUAAGUGUAAUUAUAAACAAUCAAGGAAAACUAUAAAUAAAAACUCGACCUGUGAGACAGUACCCCGGACCUUCUCACGUAGGUUAAGAAAACCCCUGAACCUAUGCCCCACCCAUAAAAAUUCGCUCUCAUGGGGAGUCAAACCCAAAAUCUAAGGAGUACCGCCGGAUUCCUCUAACCAACUGAGUUAGAGGCCCUUUGGCAAGAAAAACUAUAAUUUUUUUGGUGGUGAUGGGCAACAAUGAAACAAACAAUUACCUUGGUGGUCUGGAGUAUUUUCUUGAAGGUUGCUGAUCCUCAAGAAAACUAAUUUACUUGGCAGCUAUAACAUUUUCUUGUCCUUUUGGCGAAUUAAGUGGGGCGCUAGUUUUGUUGUCCUUUAGUGUCAAAACUGUAAGAAAACUAAUUUUACUUGUCUUCUAUCCUUUAGUGAGUUUGUUUGACAGGUUUGUAGAUAAAGAUCAAUUCCUUAUCGGUUUAGGUCCUUUCUUUUAUCGGUCUGGACACUUAAGAUAAUUCGAGAUUAUGCUAGUGUCACACACGGGUGCCUCUUCUUUCGUGUGUUACUGAAUGUCGUCCUCGUAGGUGGAAUGGAUCAAGUCAUGAAAAAAAAAGUACCGAUCCAAUUCAAUACAGUAUAUGAUUGCUUUGUGAAAGCAUAAUCUAUUGUACCUUACUGCCUUAGAAGGCAAGGUCAUCCGACUUGUCCAAGUGCAUGCGAUCCUCAAGGAGUGACAUGUGAAGUGCACUUCAAGUCAUCUGAGUUCCGGACUUCUUUGUGUGCCAUGCUUGCCUUUUCUCACUCCUAUCUAUCGCCGAAAGAAUUUUUUUCCGCCCUUUUUUUUCUUCUGAGCUUCAGAAGUCGAUCGGCCCUUGUCAUGCCUCACGUCAGAGUUAAAUCUUUUCCAUGGAUUAUGUCAGGGUUGUUUAAUGUUAUACUCGUCUGGAAUGACCCUUUCUCCACAACCUGAAGUUAACCAUUAUUGUUCACACGCACUAAUAUAAACAACCUAUCAGGCAGCUAGCUAUCAUAUAAGAGGCCUACCAAAAUUACACGAAAACUGCAGCCAUGCAAGCGACAGGUAAAGAUGGCAAAAGUUCUUGCUUCACGUAUAGACUAGCAUAUGCCCGUGCGUUGCUACGGGAAUCUUAAAAAAAUUUAAUACAAUUCAACACAAUAUAAAAGUAUAAAAAAUUAAAUUAGGAGUCUCAAAUUUUCAAUUUUCAAAGGAGUAUCAAAUUUUCAAUUUUCAACAAACCUGGAUGGCCUGACUUCAUCUUCUCUCUACUCGAUCCCUUUAAAGGUUCUCACGAUCACAAACCUGUUAUAUGAAUACCGCGAGGUCAAAUGACGUGUAACCAGAUACUAAUUUGUAAUAGUAUUAUAUCAGACAGGAUUAAUAAAAACACAACAAUUUCUCUCAACAAUCUUUUUCAAAAAAAAACAGAACUAUCGAAGAUAAUAAAGAAUAGGAUUCCAUCAGAGUAUUGCAUCAUAAUCUGUAGUAUCAUUGGAUUAUCAGAAAACCACAUUUUUCUAGAUCCCUAUUAUUAGCUAUGAUGAUAAGAACAUGGCACUGCAGUCCACAAUAUGUGAAAGAAGGCAAGAAUUAAAACCAAUGGUACAAAGAGCUGCCCACUGACUGAAAUCGCUAUCCUAUUUUUGUGUCGUGGGGAUCUAGAAUUACAUUGCCUACUCAUUGUGCUAAUUUAAAACUUUUGAGGCAGAGCCAGCCCAAAAUGGCAUUAAACCACUUCUAAUCAAGUAUGGAUGCAGAAUUGGCACUGACCAGACAUUUAUUAACUGAAGCAAAUUAUGAACAUUGUAGUAUAAGCCAUUCUGUCAGCAGUGAAUUUUGACUUACAGCAAGUAGUUGGUGAAUUUUUGCAAGAACACACAGACAACAGCAAACUAAACUGACUUACUGGUUGAAAACAAUAAAAUAUAGGAAAUUAGAUGACUAAAAUUUACUUGUAAGAGACUAUUCAUUCUUCGUAUUUUGAGAACACCUGAAAAUAUGAGCGGAUACUGAUUUCCAUUUUUCAGAUCCCGACAGAUAACAAGUAGUUGGAGGAAUGUAUCUAGAAUGAAAUGGACCCUAUAACAUGUGCAAUAGAAGCCAGGAAAUGAUCAAAUGACUAUUACUUUUAGCUUCUGCGCAAUCUCUGAAAGAGUGAUAUAUAUUUGCAAGUAGUUGGCGAAUGCUGCAUCAGUCGUCCAAUUUAAUGACACCAAAGGUUAGAACUUAAAAUACUACACAAAUAAUUUAUAGGAAAAUGCUCAAGUACAGCACCCUUCAUCUGCUCAGAAGUUCAUGUAGCACUCAUGUUUGUGGCUGCCGAGUCCUGUCUUAAAGUGGCACAAGAAUUCCUGCCGACUCAUGCAAUACCAACAUGAGUGUGUGAGGGAGGGGUCGGGUUCUUUCGGAUGCAAACUAAUACUUAGUAAAGGGAUGGCUGGUAGGAAAGGAAGCAAGAUCCUCUAUUUGAGACUUGUUCAUUUCUGUUUUGCUCCAAAACUGCAUCUUUCAAUUUUUCAGGUUGCUUGAGAGAUCUUCAGUCCUUUAGCAAAUGACAUUGGCGAUGGCAAGCUGAAGGCAGUCCCAUAUGAACCUAGUAGACGAGGCCCCAACGAAGCCAAUUUUUCAUGUACUUGUCUUGACACUGACUAAAAUUGGUGCUUAUUUAUUUGAAGGUGUCUUAGAAUAGUAUGAGAGUAUUUGUUCGUUGAUAUGACUCACUGAUUUUUUUGGGUACUAUGUGUUGAAAAUUUGAAGGCACGGGCAUAGGCUAGUCAAGAAACAAUAUUAAAUUGCAGAUUUAGGUGGGCAAACCUUGCUCCUUGCGUCCACAGAUCGCGGGGCAAAAUGGAACGCCGCUGGCGACAACGGCGAACAGAAGGGCAAGGGAGCAAGCGAGGACGAUGCUGCUGCUGUGGCCGGCCAGGACACGGUGCUCGAAGCCUCAAACGGGACGCCAGGGCCAGGGAGUCCUGGCUCAAGGGCUAGGCGUCGCACCGUCGCCACCGGGGUUGUGCGCUUACGAGCAAGGGGGGAAGCUGGGAGCGGCUGAGCAGCGAGCAGCGAGCGGCAGCGCGCUGGCCGCCGGCUGUGAUGUGACCCCACCGGAACACCGCCCCGCCUCUACCACUCUCCCUCCCCGGCUCCUUCUGCUACCGUCUCCACUCUCCCCAGCUCCUACCUGUUUCAAAGAUAUGACCAACAAAGAAAACAGAGACAUGUUAGAAUUAGAAUGCAGCUACUAUUUCAGUCCUUUGCAAAUUAUAUUUUAGUGCUGUGCAAAGGUUUGGCUAGCAACAGCCAAAAAACCAACGGGUGUUGUGCAAAGGUUUGGCUAGCAACAGCCAAAAAACCAACGGAUUGGAGUGGAUGACCUGUAUAUGUUGAACAUUGUUGUGCAGUGCAAUUAUUUCAGAAAAGGCAGCUCAUGAGUCUGACCUCCUGAUAAGAAUGCAAGUUUGGUUUCAGUUUAGUGCAUCACUGUAUCUGUCUAUUCUCGGCAAUGCUCGAGGGUAAUCUACACCACUGAAAUGAAAUAUCAUUUGUCUUGUAUUGUUUAUAAGUAAAAUAAUGAAUGUGUGAUCAGAUAGCUUUUCUGUAAAGAUAAAGUUAACUAAACGUAUAUUUAAUAAACUUUUGCAUUGUGUCAAUCAAUUACCUGUUUCAGAGAAAUGACCAACAAAAAAAGAGACAAAAACAGAUUCACUUGUUAGAGUUCAACUACUAUUUCAGUGUUUUGCAACAGAUUUGUACACACUUGAGAAACGCUAGUAGAUAUGAGUACAGCUCAUGGUCAUGGGUUCUGAAACAAUUGUCUUGCACUGCACACAGAACAAGAGCUAGCUUGUGGGCAUUUGUGCUACUAUUGCUAUGUAAGACACUGAAAUGGAAAGUGCAACUAUACAUAGAACCAGUCAAACCACAAAUGGAAAGGAAAUGGUAGCAAGCAUUAGGAGUGAAAUCAUAUUUUAAGUUUAAGUGUUUCAAAACACUCAUAAUAUUCAGUCGCAAAAGAAUAAAACUGAAAAUAAAUCAUAAAUUGGGAAAUGCAAAUUGCGCAUUUAUUGUGCCAUAGAAAAUCUGUGUCAGAAGUAGCAGAUUGUUCAUAACAACAAAUUAUUCAGUCAUUUUAACAAACACGUAGCAGAUAGAGUGUGGCUUACACUGGCCGGUGGGCACAGCUCGUGCAUUCGUGGUGGACCUGGACGUAGCGUGCCACAGCGGCAGCCGGCCUCCUCGCAGCCCAAGACGCUGCAGCGGCUUAGCAGGUGUUCGGCCGUGCUGCUCUCACGUGCUCACAGCUCUCGUCCCCUCCUCUUGUGGUCAAGGCACCAACGCUGCCCGAAACACCACAACGGCUCGGCGGCCGUCCAUGCCGCACCGACGCCCGGUUAGGUGCCCACGGCGCCUCUCUAGUCAGCCACGCACCCGCGCUGCCUACCUUGCUUGCCGGCAAGAUUCACCCAACGGAGGAUCUGGGGGAGCUUGCUAGGGGCCAGUAGUGGAUGAGGUGUCUGGGGAGCUGUGUCGGAGUGUAUCGAGGGGGCUGGAAUCAAUCGUCGCGGCUGCGGUACUGAGGUGCGCCCAAGUUGUUGCCGUCGAGUAGAGCGGGGCCCACGCCGGUGUACCCGCUGCUGUCGCCUCCGCUGCCGCCACUGGAGGUGGAGACAGCGGCGAGGAGGGCGCUCGGUGGCGGCGGCUUCAGGGGCGCUCGUCGUCAGCAGCAGCAGGGGCGGCCUCGGUGCCCGGCGACGGCGGCCUCAGGGGCGCUCGGCGGAGGGGCGAGUCGAAGGGAUGAGGAGUUGCGGAGGGAGGGGGAGUUGGAGGCAGAGAGGGUGUGAAUGGGAUGCAAUCCCUGCACCCCUGCUGGACAGGAUGGUGCGCAACGCCUCUGUGGUUGGGCUUUGGUGCUGAUCGAGGACAGUGUAAGCCGGUGCGGGGCGAUGGAGUGCUGCGGGGCGAUGGAGUGCUGCGGGGCGAGGAAGCGCUGUGGACGAUUCUUGUUUCGUCUUGUUAGUGCCUUCACGCACAACACAAGGGACGUCACAAGAUCUAGCGAAAUACUACUAGACCCUCUUCACCUCUACCAAACCAGGCUUACCUCAUCUUGCCAAAUGCCAUUCGGAAAGCUGGUUUUUUUUUUUUUCGAGGACGCCGCAGCCGAUUGGAACUCUGGAACCGAAUCUUGGUUGGUUGCUGUCCAGAAUAAUGUGGAUCCUUGCUGCUCUCGAUUCUGACUUCUGAACUUUCCGUUGCAACGUCAGAGAAGGUGGGUUGGGUUGAAGAACAUGUGUGGUCAGUUACUCGGUCUGGAAGGUCAACGUACGUCCAGAAAAAAAAAAGCACAUAAAUUGGUUUGUUUGGACGUUGAUUGAUGGAACUUGAGUCGAAUUGUCAAUGCAAUUGUAUAUAUAAUAUGCCCUAGUUUAGCAGCCUAAUAGCAUAGCAGUUGCAGAUAGCACAACCUCCUCCAGCGAUGCCCUUCCCCUGAUGCUUCUCCGCUCCCUGCAUCAUCGGCAGGUGGUGGCUAGUUCAGGUGACAGUAGGCGAUGGCCCUACGAGGCUGUGAGAGCUCGCUCAACGGCCAACUGAGAUCAAGGCCAGGCACGCGUCGCCGUCGCCGUCGCCGUCGCUGUCGUCGCGGGGUUUGAACCCUGAAGUCGCACGCUUGGCCGCCACCGCAGCCGCCGCCACAGCAUCAAGUACCACAUGCUUGCAUUGACAUCACAAAGUGGAGAAUCUUGGAUUCGUAAGGAGAAGAGAGACUGCACGGAAUCACAGAUUAAUGGUGUUAGAGGAGAAUAAUAUUGCGGUUGAAAGUUCAUGAAUGCGAGCUGAACUGCGGGACGGAUUUAUAUACGAACCUGAGCCGUGCUCGACCAUGAAUGCGUUCAUGCAUGACCUCUAGGUCCAACUCUGAACUAAAUGUUCGACGAAAUCUUGGCUCUGUACGAAUAGAUCAUGAUAGAGGAAAAUGGAGGCAAACAGGUGGUAGAACCGUUGAAGACUUGAAGUAGAACGGCGGCGUUGCGCACGUACUGACGUAACAGCAUUUAGCAACCACGACAACACAUGUGCACACAGCACCCAGAGGGGGUGAAUUGAGCUUCUACAAUUUUAUAGCAAAUAACUAGAGGGGCUUUGUGUGCGUGUGUGUGAGGUUAGGACCUCUCUCUCCGUCUCUCAUAUAGAUAAAAGUAGUACUCUCUCCAUCCCAAAUUAUAAGUCAUUCUAAAAAUUUUGGAGAGUCAAAUUUUUCUAAAUUUGACCAAAUUUAUAUGAUAAAAUCAUUAUUAUUAUUAUACCAACUAAGUAUCAUUAGAUUCUUUCUUAAUUAUAUUUUUAUAGUAUACUCACUUUAUGUUACAAAUCUUAGUAUUUCUGUCUAUAAUUUUGAUCAAACUUGAAAAUAUUUUGACUCUCCAAGAUUUUUGGAAUGACUUAUAAUUUGAAAUUGAGGGAGUAGAACAAAAUUUGAAAGAUCUACAACCGAAAUAAGAAUCAAUUCGUUACAAAGACACGUAGAGGGUGGACAAAAAUAAUCUCCAAAGAUUCAUGCACCCAAAUAUACUAGCAAAUAUUUGACAAUAAUUACACAAAACAAUAAUAAGAACAAGUAGAACACAAGUGACACAAAUUUACUCUAAGGUUGGACAAAACCAUAAAGGCAUGCUUGGGUCCCCAUUGUUGAUGUGACCAAACCCCAACUCUCAAGUGACCAUAAAGUUCAAGUUGAGAAAUCCACUAGAAUCAAAUGGGUGAUACAAACUACCCUUGAAGGAUCCACAAGUUGGAAGCUCCUGAGCAACUCCUUGUCGACUAGGAUUCAAGAAUCCGAGAGUAAUAGACUCAAAGCACAUAACAGACUACCAAUUUAAAAAAAACACCAACACCACCGUACAAUCAUAUUUCCUCAAUGCCUUUUCUUUUAUACAAGCUUAUCACAUGGGCAUGUACUCAUGGAUAAUUUCAGGUGAGAGGAUAAAAUUGUUUCCUCUCCAUCAUCUAAAUGCUUAUGAUGGUGGAUUGAGCCUUCAACUCUUGUUUUGCAGAGAUCUAGAGUGCACUCUGUGAUCUACAACCACAUCCCAAGGUCAUAAGAGGACCAAGUGUUGCAGAUACCAACUUCAUCUCUGUCAAGUUCAUCAUCAGCUAGAUUGAAAACUAUGAUAUAGGGAAGGACAAUGUUGGUCGAAGAUGUCAUUCAUUGUUUAGCUAGAUCAUGGCUUUCGAUUUGAUAGGCUUUGUGACUAACAGAUUGAUGGACACAGGGCAUGUUUCUUCUUUUUUUUCAGGUACUAUGUGUGUCCGCGUGUUACAUGAGGAUAAGUCGUGUAUGAAGAGCUGUUACAUUCAGUUGGUGCUAUCAUAGGCCCCGUUUGGUUCCACUUGCUAAAUUUUAGUUAGCUAAAAUUAUUUUAGCUACUCUUGGAUGACUAGUGAGACUAAACUAUUCUAGCUCCUUUUUAGUCAAUGUGUUUAGAACUUUAACUACUAAAGUGACUAAAAUUUAGUUAGCUAAAAUUUAGCAAAGGGAACCAAACGGGGCCAUAGAGUGAACUCAAACAUUGGUGCUAUCAUAGUGUGAACUCAAACAUUUAUAUGGUUAUCAUUCUGGUACAAUGCACGAUGCUUGUGUUGUACGGAAGAACAAUCUAACUUUGUGCUUCUUCAAAAGUGAUAAUUGGGAACUUUGUAAACAUCACAAUCGAACAAUCACAAAUUUUAAAAUUUAUCAGUGUGUAUUGUUAGCAUUGCAAGUUUGCAACGAACCUGUGUGAUGUUUCGCACCUUUAGGGCCUGUUUAGAUUGGAAAUGAAAAUUUUUUGGGUGUCACAUCGGAUGUGUCGGAAGGAUGUCGGGAGGGGUUUUUACAGACUAAUAAAAAAACAAAUUACAUAGCUCGUCAGGAAACUGCAAGACAAAUUUAUUAAGCAUAAUUAAUCUAUCAUUAGCAUAUGUGGGUUACUGUAGCACUUAAGGCUAAUCAUGGAGUAACUAGGCUUAAAAGAUUCGUCUCGCGAUUCUCAACUAAAUUGUGUUAUUAGUUUAUUUUUUUAUCUACAUUUAAUGUUCCAUGUAUGUGUCUAAAGAUUCGAUGGGAUUGAUGAAAAAAUUUUGGGUGGUGAACUAAACAGGGCCUUAUAUUGCCGAACUUGUGUGAUGUUCCGCACCAUUAUAUUGGGCUUGUGAACCUGUGUGAUGUUCUGCACCUUUAUGUUGGUCUAUUGCCAGCAGCACAGGCAUCAUCGUGAAAGGUAUCUUCGGGGGCGGGGCGACAGGUCAGAGCCAGCUGACGUGCGGUAACGCAGCCAACAAAAAAUAAUGUGACGAUGUCUGUCGAGCCUUCCACCUGAAUCACUCCUAGUCCUUCCCAAUCCCCCACAAUACAUGAAACUGAGGUGGAUUGGAUUGCAGCUAAACAAAAGUUCUGUAAUGUAUUCCAAUGUACUUUAGAUUGUCAUACUGUUACUUAGCGAUCAAAUUUUGCAUGCAAACUUGGUAUGACACGGGCAAGUUCAAGGACGAAGUGACACAUCCGCACAAUGACGCUAUUUAUAAUGACUAUACAAUACAUAAAAGAAGACACCACAAAGUGAUGCAUGAAAGUGAUGCAGGCAGACAUGACUCGAUCCAUAUCCUUCUCCCUGUAAUACAUAAAUACUGUGAGAAAAAUGGUCAGAUGGAUGUUCAUAUUAUACUUGCUUCACUUAGCAAGAGAAGGGUACCAUGCAAUCUGUGGCCGACCAAGCUCGUGAAUCGAGCCUGGGCAAAUCACAGGACCUCCACCAGACCCCGUGGCGUGAAGCUUGCUGAAGAGGGUGCUGCGAACAAACCUCUAGUAAGCACCCGUAGGGCAGGUGUACAGGGUCUGCCACUGCAUACAAGGACGUCCACCAGACCAUGUGUCUUGAAGCUUGCUGCAGAGGGUGCUGUGACGGAAGCUCUAGUAAGGACCCGUGCAGCAGGUGCCCAGGGUCUGGCACUGCAUGAAAGGAUGUUUUUGUUAGUUUAUUUAUAACAAACUUCAUAAACUUAAACAGCAACAGAAAGGAGCCUAAAAUGCUCCCCGGAUACAGACUGCAAUGCCUCUAGACAAGGCAAGAAAGAUAGCCGCCAAGGGCAGAACAUGUACAUGAGAAUUGGGUAAAGGCAUGUGAUGGGCUAAAGAGUGAAGAGUAGCAUUUAACGAGCGGUGAAUUUUGAGAACCUUGAAGUCCUUUCCUGCUAUCUGCUUCUAGGAAACCCGGCUUUUCGUAAAGUAAUAGUGCUAUAUUUACAGGAUACAAUUGCCAGAAACAGACACUGAAGAUAAUUGAGUGGUAUACUUAGCUUCCAUACUAAUAAUUUCCAAGAUUUGAAAGAAGGUGUUGACAAUUCUAAACAUUCUUAUGCCUGAUAAAUAAAUUUCACUUAAACUUAAAAGCUACCAAUGUUUAGACCCCCCUGGAAAACAUGAUUUGUUUUCAUAGAACCCUGUGCUUUCUCGUAGAAAUUGACUUGUUUCACAUGAAAUUGUGAUGUCUGAUUCAUGUGAAUUUUCAGUACUUCUGUAGUUGGAGAAAGAUGGUGGUUCCGGAGUAAGUGAAAUGCCAGGCCUGUUUGGAAAACGGGAAUUCCAUAUAGGUUCAAUUUCACUAGGACGAUGCAGGAUUCAUUGGAGAUGGGGUGGGGGGUGGGGGAGGGGACAUGCUCCAAAAAAACAAGGCCUAAAGUGAAGAGCAGUUGCAUAUAUGCAUUCAUAAAUAAAUAUACAACCGACCAGCACAAAUCAAUUAAGUAUAAUAUGAAAUAUAAAAGCCAGAACAGCAGCAAAGCAAUAUAUAUUACCUUGAGAGGAACUUGGAGAACUCAGAUGAAAGGAAUGGCAAGGGAAAGGCAGACUUUACUUGGGUCAACUCAAUCUUGUCAGUGUGAAGGUCCGCCAACCCAUUGAGAUACUGAGAACAUGACUCCACGAUCCUGGUGCUCAUGUCAAUGGUGACCACCCACAUCUUCAUCAUCACGUACUCAUAGUCGCAGCAAAGGAAGUGCACCACAUGUGGCCUGUAGAUGUCCACCUGAGGGAACAUGAGAAUGUGGCGAGGGAGGUCCUUUGGGGCGUUUGCAGACCACAGCUCCUUGGAGGUGACCGUGUAGUCCUUCUUCCACUCCAUGGAUUCUAAGGAGAGGGUGUGGCAGGUGAUGGUGAAGCCACCAACACUGGUUUUGAGUGCCCCAUAGCCAACGCCAUCAUGGCGGGCGAUGUCAACAAACUUGAGCUUUCUGCCACCGACGUCGGACGCGCCACGAUACAGCCAGCUGGAUGGUUUGCCCCGGAUAGGAAACUCGUCAAGAGGGAAGCGGAGGAAGGAAACAGUAGGGGUGGGAUCUCCGAACACAUCGCAGAAGAGGAUGCCACGGUAGUAGUCGAUCCAGCACAGCCAGCGGCCAACAGGAAUGACAGUGUCGGUCUGCCAGAUGCAGAGUUGCCAGGUAUCAUCAGGGUCGGGGUUCUCGAAGCCAAGGAUUCCAUUACCAUCGGGCUUCUUGCAGAAGCUGCGGAUUGGUACGCGGCAGGAGUUCCAUUUGCCCUCGAUGGCACCAGUGGGUACAGCUAGUUUGUGCAGCCAAAAGAUGUCAGCAAAGACCUCAGGGGCACAGACCUUAGGGUCAGGGCAGCGGCCAGGCCUGAAAAGUCGUAGUUCUGCUACCACGAACUCCUGUUGGUCUCGGCACAAGAUGCCCAUGGAUCUGACCGCCAUCAGACGCGGUCGCUGCUCCUUGUUAGGAGGAGGGCGACGGCGACGGCGACGGCGACCACCACGACCACCACCAUGGAGGGGAUAAUCCAUGCAAGCGGGCAGUGCUUUGAGUUUGGAAGGGUCGUCGGCAUCUGAGGCGCUGUAGAUGAAGAGCUCCUGCCGCAAAUCAAAUGUAUCGUCCUCGAUACAGACGCGAAACAGGACGAGAUGUUGGUGGCUCGCCAGGAUGGCUAAGGGCACCUGUUUUAAGGGAUCCGGAAAGCCCGGCAGCCGCGCGUAGAGGCGGGAGAUCGCCGGGGGCUCGGCGAGCUCGAAGGCGAUGUCGAAGGGGGCCUCCCACCGGGUGAUGCCGGAAGCCCUGAUGGGCAACUUGUCCUCGUCCGGGAAGGCCUCGUCCAUGCGGAAGACGAAGCGCUCCAGCAUCACCCACUUGGGGGGGGAGGCGGCGGCAGAGGCGGCGGCGGCAGACAUGGCCGCGGACAUGGCGACCUUGAGACAGAUGAGGAAAUUAGGGGGGACCAGGGGGGAUCACCGUGAAGACAAAUCGGGAGAAUUGUAAGAAGAGGUGCCUUACCCACGGAGAAGUAGGCAGCUGCCGGCCGUCGAGAAGAGAGGAGGGGAGGCGGCAAGAGGCGUGCGGUAGAGGCUCCGGCGAUGCGGCGGCUUCCCGAUUCGAGGAACCAAAACAGAUCUAGGGUUUCGAAUUGGUGGCUGGAUUUUUUUUGAAUAAUAGGGUGGGGGGGUUUUUUGUUGAAACAAAAAUAAUAGGGUGGUUGGGAACUUGUAUAGGAUACGAAAGCUGUAUUGGUGGGCCUGCACUCUGGUCGGACUCUAUUGGACCAAACAUCUAUUCGUGUACGUACUAAUUCGAAGUGUUAAUUAAUAAAUAUAAAUUAAUGAUAAAACUAAUGGUACAAAAUAAGACUAAUUUGUAAGAUAAAUCUAUUCGAAUAUAAUUAGUUUAUAAUUUGAUAAUAUAGUACUAGUCAGUAAACUCUUGUUUGAUACGGAGUACGUACUAAUUUGAAGUGUUAAUAAUAAAUAUAAAUUAAUUAUCUUUUUCCUAAUAUAUAAUUGUGAAAAUUUCAGUCCAUUAUAUCUUUAUAUGUCCACCAGUAAGAUUAAUUAAACGAUGCUCCUCUCGUUCGGACCUAAUUUUCUAUUAUUUUUAGCUUAUUUUUCUGUUCAUGGCACGAAGACUCCUAGUCCAAUUGGGUUAGAAAAAAAAAAGAAAGUUAUGGGCUGAAUCUAACUCAGAAGCCUCACACGAGUUUAAACCAAUUUUAGACCGAAACAAGCGAAUAGUUGGGCUCGACUAAAAUCCAAAAUGACUAGAAAUUUUUCCUUUUUUAUUAUUAGAGAAGAAGAAGGAACUAUAGGACUUUGCUUUUUUUUCCUCCGAUUGACAUCUAAAUAAGGGGGUGUUUAGUUUCUCAUAGAAUCCAAAAUGUAAAAUACCAACUACUUUGGAAUGAUGAAAUACAAAAGGCCAAAAUUUUUAGGGUCAUGGUUAGUUCCAUCCAAAAUGCAGAAUUUAUUGUCCUCAUGAGAGCCUCUUGAGACUCUUUUUGGGUUUUUUUUGGUUUCUUAAGGUCAAAAUACAAAAUGGAGAAUAACCACAUUUUUUGCCAAAAUUUUUGCAUAGUGUUUAGUCCAUUUUGCAAAAUGGUUGACCAAAACCUAAAUUUUUUGAAAAAAGGGAAACUAAACACCCCCUAAAUAAAGAAAGUGGAGCAAAAUAAAGAACAUAAUUCUUAUCCUUUUCUAUUUGACUAUUAAGAGUUCUAUUUAGAAUACUUAGGAUGUGAGGAAUCUAUUUAUAUUAAGACUUCUACUCCACAUAUUGGUUUAGACGCAAGUUAUUCUAACUCGUAUGAGCAUGGGUUAUAUAUAUAAGUCCACAUAAAAGAAACAUUUCAUUGUUCGGUAGUUAGAGGAAGAUAGACAAAAAAAUAGAUGGGCAAAAAAAGAGCCUAAAAUUUUACCUCUUUAUUAUUAGAUAUAGAUAUAUAUAAUUAGGUAAUAGAGAUAUAGAUAUGGAUUUGAUAGCUUUUUUUCUCCCGUUGCAACGCACGGGCAUUUUUGCUAGGAAAACUAAUGGUACAAAAUAAGACUAAUUUGCAAGAUAAAUCUACGGCAGCGGAUGGCGGGAACUCGAGGUGGGCGAACACAGUGCCUCCGCCGCCGAGGACACUCACGGGGGUGGUGGCGUUGUUGGUGUAGACUACCCCUGCUCGUUGAGGAGCGCUUGUCAGCAUAGAAGUUAAGUUCAGUUGCUCGUUGAGAGUUCAGUUGCUCGUUGAGGAGUGCUAUAAAGGUACACAGGAUUUGAACAUGAACACUGACUCAGUAAGUGUAUGGCCCUCGCCCUAUUUUAACCUACUGUGAAAUGUCAAUGACCUGUAAUUUAAUUUUGCAGUCAUGGAUGAAUGAGUACAGGCGAUCAGUUCUACAUUAUCUUACCUUCCACCAAUCACAAGUCCUGAGACAGCUGCAAAAGAUAGGUUCAAUCCCUAUGCACUUCUCGUCAUCAGAAGCAGACGUUGUUGUAAUAGCUUGCACGCAGAAGGAAGACACUGAAUCACCAAAGAUGUAUAACAGAAGCUCUUGAAUCACAACAGCUGUAACAGAGCAUGCAACCCAUAUAUAUAUGGGUGCUCCAUACAUAAAGAAGCCGCUGUUAUUAAGUCGUGCGUGCGUUGAGGUCGAUGAUCACGAGUGAUAAAACGACAUUCAGAUUGUCCGUUUUUUGCUGGCGAGGAGCUGGUCCGUGUCUCCGGUUAAAGACAUCGUCCGUCUCCGUUAACCGGAGACUGUGCUUCUAGAGUUAGAUAUUUUGUAAAGAAGUGUGCUGAAUAUGGACACAUGGUAAAAUCAUGAGCCAUUGAGUCCUACAUAUAUACCUAGGACCCUCCUCAUGUGCUAACCAAACCCUCCAUUACCUUGCCUCCACAUUCUGUUAAUCCAAAAAACUACCAUAACUAACAUGUGGUCUCGUACAACCAUUUACUCCUCCGACGAGGAUGGUGACUCUGUCAACAACUACUCCUCCGAUGAGUAUGAUGACUCUGCCCUCUCAUCAGAGCCCUUUAGUAGCGUACCAAAUUCUCCUAAUGACUCUUAUGGAGAGGAGACCGAGUACGACAAGGAGGAGGACGACGAGAGCUCGGACGAGGACGAUGUUGAGGAGAGCUCGGACGAGGACGAUGAAGCGACAGAAGAGGCCAAGAAGAGGAAGCGAGCGAAGGAGCAUAGAGACAAGAAAGGGGCUGCGGAGAAGAGAAGGGUGGGGGAGGAGGAGGAGGAGGAGGAGGAGGAGGAGGUGGACUCGAAGAUGGCCAGGAAGUUUCAGAGUGCAGACUUCGACAUCGACGAUGGUCCCUCCAAUGUCGGUCCUAGGGCUCCUGCUAGUCUCGGUCCCAUGUCAGAUUCAUCGGAGAACUCCUCGAAGGGGUCGUCGUAGAUUAGAUUAUUCUGAUAGUCCGAUUCAGUGUUUUAUUUUACUCCUCACUGUCAGGGGCUCCUAUACAACUGAAAAUUAUAUAAAUUGCAUGCACAAAUCAACAAAUCCAUCUCCAAUAAAUUUCAGUCAAUUUUGCUAAAAAUUUUUUGUGUGUAUGCGAGUUUUUAGUUUUAGAGCCCGACUCUUGACGUGGGGGCGACCUAUAGGUCUAGUCACGCUAUUGUGCACAAAGUUGUUGCUUAAUUAUCAUAUUGAGUCAUCUCCAACAAAUUUUAGUCUAUUUUGCUAAUUGAGUCAUAUCAUGAAGUAGACAUGACUUAUAUCAUGAAGUAGACAUGACUUAUUGAGUCAUAUCAUGAAGUAGACAUGACUUAUACAAUUAAUUUUAUAAUUAAUUUAUAUAAAUUAUACAACUGAAAAUUAUAUAAAUUGCAUGCACAAAUCAACAAAUCCAUCUCCAAUAAAUUUCAGUCAAUUUUGCUAAAAUUUUUUUGUGUGUAUGCGAGUUUUUAGUUUUAGAGCCCGACCCUUAACCGGCAUCAGUUCCCUUAACCGGCAUCAGUUCCCUUAACCGGUGUUAAUUCUCUUAACCGGCGUUAUGUCGCUUAACCGGCGUCAAUUCCCUUAACCGGCGUCAGUAACCUUAACCGGCCUCAAUUCCCUGAACCGGCGUCAAUUCCCUUAACCGGCGUCAGUAACCUUAACCGGCAUCAGUAACCUUAACCGGCAUCAAUUCCCCUUAACCGGCCUCACUUCCCUUAACCGGCGUCAGUUCCCUUAACCGGCCUCAAUUCCCUUAACCGGCCUCAAUUCCCUUAACCGGCCUCAAUUCCCUUAAUCGGCGUGAAUUCCCUUAACCGGCGUCAGUAACCUUAACCGGCAUCAGUAACUUUAACCGGCAUCAAUUCCCCAUAACCGGCCUCAAUUCCCUUAACCGGCGUCAGUUCCCUUAACCGGCGUGAAUUCCCUUAACCGGCGCCAAUUCCCUUAACCGGCGUCAGUAACCUUAACCGGCAUCAGUAACCUUAACCGGCAUCAAUUCCCCUUAACCGGCGUCAGUUCCCUUAACCGGCGUCAAUUCCCUUAACCGGCCUCAAUUCCCUUAAUCGGCCUCAAUUCCCUUAACCGGCAUCAGUAACCUUAACCGGCAUCAGUUCCCUUAACCGGCGUCAAUUCCCUUAACCGGCCUCAAUUCCCUUAACCGGCAUCAGUAACCUUAACCGGCAUCAACUUGAGGACUAGGCUCCCGUGGCGCGCAGGCGAGGGGGCGCGCCGGUGGCAGAUUUUGGCCACUGGAGUGGGGGGAGGGGCGGUGGCGCCGGUGAGGUGUAGUGUGGGGAGCGAGUGCGGGCGAGGCAGGGAGGCGGAGGGGGAGAGAGGCGCCACGUCAGACAUGCCUAUGUGGCGUCACGUAGGCCAAAACAGCCAUUAAAACCACCGAGGUUGAAAAAAGGACGGUUUUAAUAGUUCAGGUGCCCUGAACAACUGGUUUCGUGGUUGAGGGUUUUAAAUCAGUAAACAAUUAUCGUUGUUAUUUUCUUAUAGUUCAAAUGUAAGCCCGAAAUAUUAUUAAAGGAUGCUCAUGGUUAUAUAUAAUUAUUGCCAUAUAACUUCAUGUGUACUCUGUAUUUCAUUUCACUUCAUUAUUCUAAAGAGAUGGCUUAUGUCGAGAAAAGAUGUCUUGAAAUUCAUGUGUACUUUGUUUGGUUCCAUCAUGAUUCUGGGAUUAGCAAGUUCAUGGGGAAGUUGGGGAUUAGUUUUUCUUAUUUGCUAAGCUGAGUUUGCACACGUGUCUUCGUAGAUGACACACUUCAUUUAUACUGUUUAGUAUACUGUUUCGGUCUCGCGCGUACGUGCGGGUGGCUCUUGCGCCACGACUUGCGCUCCUCGGCGAGGCGGCAGCAGGCGACGCCUCCGGACGCCAUCCGACGCGCUAGCUGCUCGCUCUCGCUUGUGGAUGUGGUGGACUCGAGCUUGCGCGCUGUUCGUACCGGCCACGCCGUCGUCUUCGUUCUCUCCGGCGGGGUUACAUGUGAGACCGCGAGGACGGCGGGCCGGGGGUUGAAUAGGGGGUUAGUGCGGAGCGUGGAGGUCAAGCCGAACAGAUAAACACCGAAGGUGCCACUGGCCAGGUAGAGACGUGGUCCCCGCCGUCCGGUAGAUUGGCCGCCGGGACGCCGGUGGGAUCCAGAUAUCAGCGGGAGAAGCGUGAGGGGAAGGUCUGGGACGGGAACGCGGGACUGGGCGUGGGCGCGGCGAGGCUUCGGACGCAAGGCAAGGGGUUCCGUGUUCAAGAGGACCGGUCAUGCUAAAGCAGGCAGGAUGGGACCCGCGAUGGACUGUUGUCGUUGCCGGACAACGGAGACCAGCAGUCGCUGGGCCUUGACUCUUGUGCACGCCACCGCUGCUCCGCGACUGUAGCUGUGACUCGGCCACCAGCACAUGGUGGAGGUGAGCGCGAGAGGUUUAGGGUUUAGGGUUGAUCAAGGUGAACGGGGUGGCGAUGGCUUGGCGAGGAUCCGCGUUCGCGGCGGAACCCAGGAUCCGCGUCUGCGGCGGAACCCCGUUCACCUUGGUCGUAGCGGCCGAAGAUGUCCUGGUGGCCUCGACUUCCCUCCGUCGUGGACGCGGAUCCUCAUGCUUUGGCCGCAAGAAGACGGCGGUGGCCGCAAGGUUAGUCUAGCACCUCUUCAUCGCUUGAUUCUCCCUGAACCAGUGAAUCCCAACUCAAAUCAGUCUGUGAGUUUUCGUUCUUGGUAGAUGAUGCAUUCUCCUCUUUCUUCUUGUAGGUUCGAUUGAAAUUAGGUGCAUCAUAACUAGUAUCACUUACGAACUGCACCAAUGGGGUGGUUAUGGUGGCCUGUGGAAAUCUUCUUUUUAUAUAGUAAAUUUAGGAGUAACUUUUUGGAACAAAACAAGGCCAAGAACCCACAACAGCAGCUGUCACAAUGGAGUCACAAGGACCCGGCAGCUGUUUGCCUUGCCUGCCUCACCCGCUACCGUCGGAUGAUACGUGAACGGCGGAAAACCUUGAUGGGCGAUGGGUUUCAAACCAGAUGGCCGAGGAAUCCAGUUAUCACGCCACAACCGUACAGACUUGCCAUCUCCAAUACGCCACACAACACCUUUUUUAAUCAACUCCAGCCCAUACUCAACGGCCCUCCAUGUCGCCGAAGCAUCAUUAGCUGUUACCGUGUCUAGCAGAUUACCAGAUGGGUAGUAUUUAGCUUUCAAGACUUGCGCACAAAAGCUAUCAGGGCAAAUCAGCAAGCGCCAAGCUUGGCGUGAAAGCAGUGCUUGGUUGAAUAGCUACAAAUCUUUAAAUCCCAUACGCCGUUGACCAGGUCAGUACCGGCUUGCCUCCAUCCCCUCUCUCUGCAAAACUCGUUCCUCCUCGAUGGUGAGCCAAGUUGCACGGGCGGUGGCGUCGCGCUCCAUGACGGCGUUGGCGAGGUCUCCGGUCAUGAGCUGAUUAAGCAAUUUUACUCAUGACGGCGUUGCACGCCUCCUUGGCGAGGCGCUCCUGCUCCUAGCGCUCCUCCUCGGCCUUUUGAUCGGCAGGGUUGGGAGGAGCGGAGGCCUUCUUGGCGGGGUCGAUGAGAUCGGAACCGCCGCCGAGGCCGGGAGCGGAGGGGGCUCCAGUCAUGGCGCGACAGGGAUGGAGGGCGGCGACGCCAGGGGGUAGGGGUCAGCGGCGUCGGUGGCAUCUCGCUAGGGUUGCGAAGUCCUCGUGGAGGCUACCGGCUUAUAGACAUCCACUUAGUUAUGAGUCAUCCACUUAGUUAUGAGACAUCCAUAAAUUUGGGCGAGACAUCUACUCCUCCUUGGCGAGGCGCUCCUGCUCCUAGCGCUCCUCCUCGGCCUUUUGAUCGGCAGGGUUGGGAGGAGCAGCAAUUUUACUCAUGACGGCGUUGCACGCCUCCUUGGCGAGGCGCUCAUGCUCCUAGCGCUCCUCCUCGGCCUUUUGAUCGGCAGGGUUGGGAGGACCAGAGGCCUUCUUGGCGGGGUCGAUGAGAUCGGAACCGCCGCCGAGGCCGGGAGCGGAGGGGGCUCCAGUCAUUUACAGGCGACGAGAUAUUGCAUGUGGAGUGUGCAGUACGUACCGGCUCUGUACCGGCUCUGUUCCUCUAACUAAUCCUGUGGCAUCCUUUUGCUCUGUUAUUAAACUCGUUCAGUAUUGUCAAUUUUCGUCAGUAAUAAACUGCAAGAGGUACUGCAGUCGAUGUGAGUGGUUUGUUCAAUUGAUUAACCACCGAAUGCUUCUGUAAAAAGUGGCCAACACUUCUGAAAGAUAAGAUUAUAGAGUAGUAACAUUUUGUGAUAAAACUAAGACAAGAAAGUACACUAUGCACAAGUUCCUGAAUUCUUACAGAGCCAACUUCUUUGUUUGUUUGUUCUAUUUGUUGUGGUAAAAAAAUUGUGCUUGUUCACUUUCUUGCAGGGGCGGGCCCACGUGUAUUCAUGGGUAUUCAACUGAAUACCCAUUAUUUUUGACAAAAAAAUUUGUAUGUAUAGUGUAUACCAAGCAUAUAUACCAAAACAAACAAAAAAAAAUAGCAUGUGUUCUCAUCAAUUCUAGCCCGUUAAGGCAAAAAGCUCAUCUCCCUCCUCUUCCCGAAGGCCCAAACGGCCCAAACGGUCCAAACCUAAACUCCACCCACCACCAGCCCAUCUGACCAUCUCUGAUUCAGUCGAAUCGUUCCCCAUCGACGCUCAUUCGCUCCCGUCGCGGCUCGCCCUCGCCCUCUCGUCACGCCGUCACCGCGUCGGGCGUCGGCGGGUGCUGACCCUAGGCGGCGGCCGCCGGCCAGCAGCGAACAGCCCAGGCGCGGAGGCGCCCACCAGCGGAGCAGAGAGGGCAGUUCGCGGGAGAAAAGCAGCGGGAAAGGCUGUCCCACGUUCCCUGAUUCCUAGAAUCCAGCUCAGGCUUUCGCCCUCUGCUAAUCCGUCUCCCGAGCCGUGAGAGUGCAAAGAUCGGUAUGGGCUUCUUCAAUUCCCAUUUCCUUUUUUGGUAGAAAACGCAACUCUACUUGUUUUUCGCCGAGAUGCCUUUGGUUGGUUCAUUCGUUGGGUCAUCUGUUUGUUUCUUACCCCAUUGUGAAAUCAGGAUGGAUGAUUUCGUUUCCUUGGUGUAUAGGUCGUACUAGCCAGCAGCCCAGCAAGGCGGCGGCGCGGGCACGCGGCGCGGCACUGCGGCAGGCCAGCAAGGUCCGGGAAGGCGGCGUGCAUCUCUAGGACUCCGAGCUGGGCUCCAGGAAGGUGAGCCGUGAGCCGAUUUGGAUCUGAAAAAUAGAAUAAGAGUCGUUGGACCUGCUGUUAGACCACUAGUGCUAGUGGUGAUUUACGAAUUUUGAUUUCCAUCCGUAAUCCGUUUCUGAUUGCAACUUGUGUGUUGCGUGAUUACGAAUUUUAUGUGAGAAAGGAAGACAGUAGUGCUACUACUACUGAUUUGAGGCAAUUUUUUUGCAAAGGAAGGCAUUUUAGGUUCAAAUCUAUAGGAUGCAAAUUUUCUUAUAAAUUGGUUGUUUUAUCAUCUAUUUAUUUCAGACAUUGAAGCUUUGAUAUGUUGUGUUGAAUAUCUUCAAAUUUGAAGUAAUUUUAUUAAUCGAUGAUGUUUGUACUCGAUUUUUUGUUGUGCAUUAAUAAUUUAGCCCGUCUAUAAAAAAAAUGUUCUGUUAUUUAAAAAUUUGAAUACCCAUGUUCAAAAUCCUAGGCCCGCCCCUGCUUUCUUGUGGUAUGAUUGUCCAAUAUUUCAGUUGUUUGUUCACUUUGUACACUUAACUAGUAUGUUCAAGAUGAUGUGGUAAAUUUUGUUGUGCUUGUUCACUUGGUUGCUUCUUCAAAAUUACGUGUAUGAAAUAUGGUGCUGAAAUAUAAUCAAAUUUGUAUAGUUUGUUUGGUAGUUUUUGUCCUGUUCUUGCGUUAGUAUUACUGAUAUAGGGUUCUGAUAUUGUCCAAUACAGUUUCAAGUGUUAAUGCAUCUGGUGCUGAAAUAGUCCAAUAGUAUUACUGAUAUAUGGUGCUGAAAUUGCUGUAGCAUUACUGAUAUAUGGCGCUGCAGGUCUCGUUCGAGGAGAGCAAGGGCACGGUCAUCUGUUGCUGUCCAAGGAAAGCUGGAAGGUACGCAUUUCCUCCCUGUCUCCUCUUUCUUCCUCCCUUUUCCCCUCGUUCCUUGUGUACUGUGCAUCUGGCUGUGCUUUGGAUUUUGCUAUGAACACUUCAUUAUAUGUUUAAAUAUCUGACGCUCCGUUAGUCGUUCAGAUCUAGUUUAUAUUGUCUCUACUAUGUCUUUGUAUGUGUUAAGUUCAUUCACUGUAACAUCCCGGGUGCGCUGUAGUAUGAUCGUCUACUUCUGUAUCUGGCCUCAUUUCAGGGCCCAUAUGGUGUAGCUCUAGUGUUAUCGCAUAAAUUCUUUAGGUUGCUAUAUCUCAUAGUAAUUGUGUAUACUUAUCUGCAAUUAGAUUGUCCACAUUCACAUUAUGAAGCACUCAGUUGGCUAGUGAUGUAUGCCAGGCAUUAUCCAUGCACUUGUUUAAUUUAUAAACGUGUGCACUUGGUGAUUCAUUUCAUUCUGAACCAUGAACUCGUUAUUUUUGUGAUGAAUCUGCAUCUCACGGAAAAUCUAAAUGUUAAGGUCAUCAAGUUCAUGGUCCUAGCUAGUGUAUUCAGAUUAGGAGUCAUGGUCAUAUUCUGUGGUCAUAUUCAGAUGCUUCUGUAAAUGUUAGUUUCUAUCUAUCCUAAUUUCUAUCUCUGAAUAUGGAUUUGUUCUAAUUUGUAUCUUGUUUUUUUUAUCUUGUUCUAUCUAUAGUUAGGUUGUUUCUUUUUUGAAGUCACGUUGGUGUGUACUAGUGACAGUAUCUUAGACACAAAAAAAUUCACUCGCAGUGCAUAAUUUGACAAGUCUAGGAUACGCUUUGAAGCAGAUCGUUCGAUUUGCUCUUGAUUGUUACUUUUUUAUACAUUUAAAAAUUAAUUGGCUGCUGGUUUCAGCAUAUUCUACUGAUGAUAGUUGACUUGCAAGUUGACACAACUUAUCGUUUUCUCUAGUUUUUCGCCGAGAUGCCUUUGGUUGGUUCAUUCGUUGGGUCAUCUGUUUGUUUCUUACCCCAUUGUGAAAUCAGGAUGGAUGAUUUCGUUUCCUUGGUGUAUAGGUCGUACUAGCCAGCAGCCCAGCAAGGCGGCGGCGCGGGCACGCGGCGCGGCACUGCGGCAGGCCAGCAAGGUCCGGGAAGGCGGCGUGCAUCUCUAGGACUCCGAGCUGGGCUCCAGGAAGGUGAGCCGUGAGCCGAUUUGGAUCUGAAAAAUAGAAUAAGAGUCGUUGGACCUGCUGUUAGACCACUAGUGCUAGUGGUGAUUUACGAAUUUUGAUUUCCAUCCGUAAUCCAUUUCUGAUUGCAACUUGUGUGUUGCGUGAUUACGAAUUUUAGGUGAGGAAGGAAGACAGUAGUGCUACUACUACUGAUUUGAGGCAAUUUUUUUGCAAAGGAAGGCUUAUAGGUUCAAAUCUAUAGGAUGCAAAUUUUCUUAUAAAUUGGUUGUUUUAUCAUCUAUUUAUUUCAGACAUUGAAGCUUUGAUAUGUUGUGUUGAAUAUCUUCAAAUUUGAAGUAAUUUUAUUAAUCGAUGAUGUUUGUACUCGAUUUUUUGUUGUGCAUUAAUAAUUUAGCCCGUCUAUAAAAAAAAUGUUCUGUUAUUUAAAAAUUUGAAUACCCAUGUUCAAAAUCCUAGGCCCGCCCCUGCUUUCUUGUGGUAUGAUUGUCCAAUAUUUCAGUUGUUUGUUCACUUUGUACACUUAACUAGUAUGUUCAAGAUGAUGUGGUAAAUUUUGUUGUGCUUGUUCACUUGGUUGCUUCUUCAAAAUUACGUGUAUGAAAUAUGGUGCUGAAAUAUAAUCAAAUUUGUAUAGUUUGUUUGGUAGUUUUUGUCCUGUUCUUGCGUUAGUAUUACUGAUAUAGGGUUCUGAUAUUGUCCAAUAUAGUUUCAAGUGUUAAUGCAUCUGGUGCUGAAAUAGUCCAAUAGUAUUACUGAUAUAUGGUGCUGAAAUUGCUGUAGCAUUACUGAUAUAUGGCGCUGCAGGUCUCGUCCGAGGAGAGCAAGGGCACGGUCAUCUGUUGCUGUCCAAGGAAAGCUGGAAGGUACGCAUUUCCUCCCUGUCUCCUCUUUCUUCCUCCCUUUUCCCCUCGUUCCUUGUGUACUGUGCAUCUGGCUGUGCUUUGGAUUUUGCUAUGAACACUUCAUUAUAUGUUUAAAUAUCUGACGCUCCGUUAGUCGUUCAGAUCUAGUUUAUAUUGUCUCUACUAUGUCUUUGUAUGUGUUAAGUUCAUUCACUGUAACAUCCCGGGUGCGCUGUAGUAUGAUCGUCUACUUCUGUAUCUGGCCUCAUUUCAGGGCCCAUAUGGUGUUGCUCUAGUGUUAUCGCAUAAAUUCUUUAGGUUGCUAUAUCUCAUAGUAAUUGUGUAUACUUAUCUGCAAUUAGAUUGUCCACAUUCACAUUAUGAAGCACUCAGUUGGCUAGUGAUGUAUGCCAGGCAUUAUCCAUGCACUUGUUUAAUUUAUAAACGUGUGCACUUGGUGAUUCAUUUCAUUCUGAACCAUGAACUCGUUAUUUUUGUGAUGAAUCUGCAUCUCACGGAAAAUCUAAAUGUUAAGGUCGUCAAGUUCAUGGUCCUAGCUAGUGUAUUCAGAUUAGGAGUCAUGGUCAUAUUAUGUGGUCAUAUUCAGAUGCUUCUGUAAAUGUUAGUUUCUAUCUAUCCUAAUUUCUAUCUCUGAAUAUGGAUUUGUUCUAAUUUGUAUCUUGUUUUUUUAUCUUGUUCUAUCUAUAGUUAGGUUGUUUCUUUUUUGAAGUCACGUUGGUGUGUACUAGUGACAGUAUCUUAGACACACAAAAAUUCACUCGCAGUGCAUAAUUUGACAAGUCUAGGAUACGCUUUGAAGCAGAUCGUUCGAUUUGCUCUUGAUUGUUAUUUUUUUAUACAUUUAAAAAUAAAUUGGCUGCUGGUUUCAGCAUAUUCUACUGAUGAUAGUUGACUUGCAAGUUGACACAACUUAUCGUUUUCUCUAUUGUAGGACAGCAGGUCCCCAGAUGAAGAGUCAGAAGUUGGGCGCACAAGGAGAAAGAGAUGAGCGCUUGUGUAUUGACUUUGGCUUUAAGGCCCAAGAGGUUAUGGAAGCAGCGGCUUGUCUUGAUGAAGCAGAGCGAGAUGAAGUUAAGCAACUUGGGUAUGGAGCUUUCCUAAACCUAAAGUUGGGACCAAUCAGCCAGCGCAAGGAAACCUAUCUGUGUAUGGAGCUAGUUGAUCUGGAAGAGGAUGCGAUCAAGGUGCAGCUACAAAAUGAUGUAAUUGUAUACAUCAGACCAGAUGAGAUCUAUGAUCUCUUGAUGCUGCCCCAAGGUACUAAGGCCCCCCUCAAGUACAAUUCGCAACAACAUGAGGACUUUGCUCGAUUGAAGGCUGAAUUGGGUGAAACGUUGUUGGACACUGCGAAUAUAUUGAAGUUUAUGAAAAAAGAGGAGAACAAACAUUUGAAGGUCAAAUGUUUUUUCAACAUUCUCUUUUCAAGAUUUCUAAUGCCUACCACUUCACAAAGUAUAAACGUACAUGCAGUGAUGUACACAAGGAAUUUGGCAAGCCUCAAGGAAUAUAACAUGUGUAAAAUAGUGUAUGAGCAUCUCAGGGGUUCUAUCAAAAUUUGGAAGGAGCAGAGGCAGAAUGCAAAAAACAAGGCAUCACUUACUAUGCCUGGUUGCCCAAUCAUAGUUCUGGUAAGCAUUCUGGUGCUCUCAUCAAUUACUAGCUUUUUUUACCUGCCCAGCUAGCUGUCAUCUUUGGAUUUUUUUUAUCGUGCUUGAGUUGCCUGCUUCAUAUGGAUUUGAUGUGCCUGCUUCACAGUUAACUUGUUUAACUGUAUAUUCGGUUGUCAGGGAUUUAUUGUCGAUAAUUUGAAACUGACGGAUAGUGUAAACAAGAAUCGUCCUCGGCUCAAUGAGUAUGAUAUGGCGACUUUGACGGAUACUAUUCGUAAGGCUAAGGUCAAUGGCAGGAUCUCCUUCGAGAACUUUGAGGUAUUGAUCAUCUCUUUAUCUUGAAAGCAUACUAUGCCGUACUUGGCUUCAUAUCUUACAUCUUCUCUUCAAUUUCCCAUUUCAGUUGAAAUCUCUAGAGGAGAUCUGCUAUGCGCCAUCAUCAAGAUUUUGCAUCCAGUCCGCAGUUGACUCCCAAGAUGUAAGAUCUGCUAUGGUGACUUCUGCCGUGGUAACUUUGCCUGAGUCUCAAGAAGCUAUCCAGUCCGCAGUUCAGAUCCUUUCUUCAGUGCAGAAUCCUGAAUCUUUUGGAGUUGACCGAGCAAAUCUUGAUGCAUGCAUAGCUGGAUUAUCUGCAUUGCAGCCAGUUGGUGCUUCCUGCAGCAAUGUUGGUGCCUCCUGCAGCAUUUCUGAAGCUGCUGAAGCUACCAGCACAAAGAAGGCUGAUGAAGAAGAGACCAUUGCAUUGCAGCCAGUUGGCUCUUCCUGCAGCAAUGUUGGUGACUCCUCCAGCAUUUCUGACAACACAAAGAAGGCUGCUGCUGCUGCGGUGCCUGAAGCUGCCAACACAGCUGUGCAUGAAGAAGGGAUUUCUAAAGCUGCCAAGUCAAGAAGCCGUGCUACCAAGACGCCUGGUCUACCAACAAGGAGGAGCGCGAGGCUCAAUGCUGCUGCUGUUGAGCCCAAUGCUGCUGUUGAGCCCGGUGAUGUAAUUUCACCAAUUAAGUCACCAAUUAAGAAGCUAGCCAAAAAAAACAAAAACAAGUAAGAAGAACGUUGAUGAGCCUAGUUCCCCGUGCUACUGCAAGUUGCUCCCUAGCUAUGACGCAGCAGGGUGUCAGUGUGUCACCUCUGCUGUGUUUUGAGCUGUUCUUUUGCCCCGCUGUGGGUGUGUGUUAAAACUUGUUGACGUUGAAGCCAUGACUUGCUAGUUUUUUUCUUCACAUUCAGAUUUCAGGAGCUUGUCCUGGUUGCAGAACUAGUGGAAGAAGGCACGCCUGAAAGAAGGAAGAAGUGAUCCUGCUGCUAAUGCAUGAUAGGUUGUACAUACAGUAGCUGGUAGCUGGUAGCUGGUAGCUGGCGGUAGUAGAUGUAUAUUUUGAAGCUGCAAUGCUGCAGGGCUGUUAUCUAGAAAGAGGGCUGGUUGCCAUGAAACUCCUCAAUACCGUAUUUGUUAAUGCCUAGUUCUUUAGCUCGAGGUUGCCGCCGAAAUGGAGUACUUUAAAACCCCUUGUUGAAGCUAAAACCUUCCUCGUAAAACCGGUUUUAUUAUGUCGUCGAGCAGACCAUUAAAUAUUAAGUAUGAACUUUGUGCUUUCUGGCGAGAUAGUACUUCAGGUUUUACUAUUUCUCUCUGGGCUACUAAAAUCUCCUUUAUAAAACCGGCUUUAUUAUACCGUCGAGCAGAUGAGCACUUCGGGUUUCACUCGAUGUCUCUGGGGUGCUAAAACCUUACUGAAUAGAUGUAUCCAUAUCAAAAGUAAAUAUGAGACGUCGGUAAAGUGUGAUGACUGCUUUUUUUCAACGUUAUUUAGUAUGAAAUAAGUUGUAAGGAGACAAAGUUUCAGUUAAUAUUACCUACUCUAUGCAGACAUCCAUUUGGGGGAGGGAAAAAAAGUUAAUUAGUUGAGUGGAGCCUUGCAAAGAAAUAUUGCUUCCACUUAGAGGGUCAUCAUCUACAACUAAUUAACUUUCAAAUUAAUAAAAAGCAGGAUGCAUUAUAAGCAGGAUGCAUUACAAACUCGUCCCAAUUUCGUUUACGCGCGGCCCACUGCGGAAGGCCGAGCCCAGCAGCCUGUUUACAGCCCUCCCCGCUCCGCCACCCUCCCGACCAGAUCUGAACUCUCCCUCAGACCUCGCUCAACCCUCCCCGCUCCUCCUCCCCACCUGCGCCGCCGCCACCUUCACCGUCGCCCCGAGCCGCCGCCGCCACCGCCGCCUUCGUCUCACCGGCGCCAUCAAAAGAUUCUUCACCCUCUUCUCACCGGCAGACAGCAGGUUCAGGUCAGUAAUCGACCAUUAUGAUUUAGAUGAUUAGUUGAAGUUAGUUUAGGUACCACAUUUGAAGGGGAAAUGAUGGCGCAAAGGGUAUCUUCUGCAUGUUUCCAUGAUGUCCUUGGCGAGGCGCUCCUGCUCCUAGCGCUGCUCCUCGGCCUUUUGAUCGGCAGGGUUGGGAGGAGCGGAGGCCUUCUUGGCGGGGUCGAUGAGAUCGGAACCGCCGCCGAGGCCGGGAGCGGAGGGGGCUCCAGUCAUGGCGCGACAGGGAUGGAGGGCGGUGACGCCAGGGGGUAGGGGUCAGCGGCGUCGGUGGCAUCUCGCUAGGGUUGCGAAGUCCUCGUGGAGGCUACCGGCUUAUAGACAUCCACUUAGUUAUGAGUCAUCCACUUAGUUAUGAGACAUCCAUAAAUUUGGGCGAGACAUCUACUCCUCCUUGGCGAGGCGCUCCUGCUCCUAGCGCUCCUCCUCGGCCUUUUGAUCGGCAGGGUUGGGAGGAGCAGCAAUUUUACUCAUGACGGCGUUGCACGCCUCCUUGGCGAGGCGCUCCUGCUCCUAGCGCUCCUCCUCGGCCUUUUGAUCGGCAGGGUUGGGAGGAGCGGAGGCCUUCUUGGCGGGGUCGAUGAGAUCGGAACCGCCGCCGAGGCCGGGAGCGGAGGGGGCUCCAGUCAUGGCGCGACAGGGAUGGAGGGCGGCGACGCCAGGGGGUAGGGGUCAGCGGCGUCGGUGGGAUCUCGCUAGGGUUGCGAAGUCCUCGUGGAGGCUACCGGCUUAUAGACAUCCACUUAGUUAUGAGUCAUCCACUUAGUUAUGAGACAUCCAUAAAUUUGGGCGAGACAUCUACUCCUCCUUGGCGAGGCGCUCCUGCUCCUAGCGCUCCUCCUCGGCCUUUUGAUCGGCAGGGUUGGGAGGAGCAGCAAUUUUACUCAUGACGGCGUUGCACGCCUCCUUGGCGAGGCGCUCUUGCUCCUAGCGCUCCUCCUCGGCCUUUUGAUCGGCAGGGUUGGGAGGAGCGGAGGCCUUCUUGGCGGGGUCGAUGAGAUCGGAACCGCCGCCGAGGCCGGGAGCGGAGGGGGCUCCAGUCAUUUACAGGCGACGAGAUAUUGCAUGUGGAGUGUGCAGUACGUACCGGCUCUGUUCCUCUAACUAAUCCUGUGGCAUCCUUUUGCUCUGUUAUUAAACUCGUUCAGUAUUGUCAAUUUUCGUCAGUAAUAAACUGCAAGAGGUACUGCAGUCGAUGUGAGUGGUUUGUUCAAUUGAUUAACCACCGAAUGCUUCUGUAAAAAGUGGCCAACACUUCUGAAAGAUAAGAUUAUAGAGUAGUAACAUUUUGUGAUAAAACUAAGACAAGAAAGUACACUAUGCAAGAAAGUACACUAUGCACAAGUUCCUGAAUUCUUACAGAGCCAACUUCUUUGUUUGUUUGUUCUAUUUGUUGUGGUAAAAAAAUUGUGCUUGUUCACUUUCUUGCAGGGGCGGGCCCACGUGUAUUCAUGGGUAUUCAACUGAAUACCCAUUAUUUUUGACAAAAAAAUUUGUAUGUAUAGUGUAUACCAAGCAUAUAUACCAAAACAAACGAAAAAAAAUAGCAUGUGUUCUCAUCAAUUCUAGCCCGUUAAGGCAAAAAGCCCAUCUCCCUCCUCUUCCCGAAGGCCCAAACGGCCCAAACGGUCCAAACCUAAACUCCACCCACCACCAGCCCAUCUGACCAUCUCUGAUUCAGUCGAAUCGUUCCCCAUCGACGCUCAUUCGCUCCCGUCGCGGCUCGCCCUCGCCCUCUCGUCACGUCGUCACCGCGUCGGGCGUCGGCGGGUGCUAACCCUAGGCGGCGGCCGCCGGCCAGCAGCGAACAGCCCAGGCGCGGAGGCGCCCACCAGCGGAGCAGAGAGGGCAGUUCGCGGGAGAAAAGCAGCGGGAAAGGCUGUCCCGCGUUCCCUGAUUCCUAGAAUCCAGCUCAGGCUUCAGGUCAGUAAUCGACCAUUAUGAUUUAGAUGAUUAGUUGAAGUUAGUUUAGGUACCAUAUUUGAAGGGGAAAUGAUGGCGCAAAGGGUAUCUUCUGCAUGUUUCCAUGAUGCUAUGGUGUAUUAUUUUUUUAGACACAAAAAUCAUGAGGAGCACUGAAUCCAAACAUAGGUACAACACUCACUAAGAAGUCUACUGGAGACUGGAGUAACUAAAUUGUUAGCUGACCCUACCCUGUUCCAAUUUCAUAGUGUUUACUUUUUUCUACAUAUAGUUUGGAUAUCAUGUAACAUCUUGGGUCAAAGGCCAAAGGCAAGUUUGCAUGGCGAUAUGACCGAUCUCCUUACGGACUCGAGGACUGCAUCAUAGAACUUGAGGUCGCCAUCGUCGAGCGCGUAGGAGACGCAGAGCCGUGCGUCGGCUCGGAGAUCACGGCACUGGGUGUAUUCCAUGGCCUUGGAUCACACACGAAACCUGGCGCAGAGCACUCUCCUGGUCUCUUGGCCCUCCGCCAGAGCCACUAGAGCAAUAGCAAUGGCACCCUCCACGAGCUCCCUCAGUCCCGCAACCCUAGCGUAAAUCCUGCAGGGGCACGCCAUGGAUCCCGCUGCCUCCACCCGCGCUAGUAGAGCUCGUGACGUACAUCUGCAUGCCUGCGCCUCCUUCCCCUCCCCUCAGCCGCCUCAUUCUCUACAUUUUUUACAGCAGCAUCUCUCUCGGGUAUCAUCUAUGUUUGGAUUUUGUUCAAAGGUAUGAUGGUUACUCUACUUCGUAGAUCCCCAUUCUUUAAUAGUUGCUUUCCAGUUUCUUCUGUAUCAACCAACUCUUUUGUGAGCUCCUCUGCUCUGUUUGGAUUUUGUUCAAAGGUAUGAUGGUUACUCUACUUCGUAGAUCCCCAUUCUUUAAUAGUUGCUUUCCAGUUUCUUCUGUAUCAACCAACUCUUUUGUGAGCUCCUCUGCUCUUCUUUUCAUAUCAGCCGCCUCAUUCUCUACAUUUUUUACAGCAGCAUCUCUCUCGAGUAUAGACCUUAAAAAUAAAAAAACUAUUAACUUUUUUAGGAGUCAAUGGGCCGAUGGACGCGCUGUAAAGUGGAAACAACCACCGCCUUUUCUCUCGUCCCUCAAAGUCGGCUGGCUUGCAAAUGUCCAAUAGAUGCGUCUUGUUUGGAUUUUGUUCAAAGGUAUGAUGGUUACUUUACUUUGUAGAUCCCCAUUCUUUAAUAGUUGCUUUCCAGUUUCUUCUGUAUCAACCAACUCUUUUGUGAGCUCCUCUGCUCUUCUUUUCAUAUCAGCCGCCUCAUUCUCCAAAGUUAGCCGAGUGUCUCGCGUCCACGUCCCCGUCGCCGCCGAAGUCGAAGUCGAAUCACCGUGCGUUGUGUGCGUGUCGGUGUGGUUUCUCGCACACGUUAGGGUUGGGUUUAUAACAAACGAAUGGUUCUCACGGACGGCGGCACUUGGCAUGCGGCAGGGCAACGCCUCGGCUUCGUUGAAUAGGUCAACUGAAUGGUACCAUCCUAUUCAGUUUUGUUCAGCCCCCGAGCCCUCGGAAGGUUCGCACUCGGGGGUAGAGUUUUUCCGCCCUCGGAAGGUUCACACUCGGGGGUAGAGUUUUUCCGCAAUCUUUUUCACCCUUCUAUCAAGUUUUACUGUUAACUAUAUUUACACCCUUCUAUCACUAUAUUUACAGUGACUUUUUCAAUGUAAUUUAUUGAAUAGAGUGGUGUAAUUUGAUAAUAACCCAAAUAUAUGUCAAAAUUUUUCAAACAAACAAGAGGACGAUGAAGCCGUCCAUGGUAACCCAUUGGGUGAAAUCUGGCUCGGCGUGAUGCCGAAGUGGGCAAGCACCUCGAGGAAGAACACGUGUAGCAGGACGCGCAUGCCGGCCUCCAUCACCACACAGAGACCAACAUUGGUGGACCAGAGGGAUUGCACAGCAAUCAGAUAUUAGACUCUGGAACCAGGUUGGCAGUUACAAUAGUAGCAUACAUCUCAGGCAUAUAUUCAUAGAAGGAUCCUUGGUUCAGCUAACACAUAAUAGUUCAUUAGUCCAUACCAGUACUCUACACAGUUCAUUAGUACCCUACACAGUUCAUUAGUACCCUACACCAACAAAAGGCACCAGACGACUCAGGCACAGGAGCAGCUUCGAUGACAGAUGGCAUGGAAACAGAGUACCAGGUGGAGUGAGGUUGACACAUGGGCAACCUCUAUAUUAUGGCUUCAGCACCUCCCUAAGUUCAUUAGCAGAAGUCCAUCAUCCUAAGUGCAUUAGCCUAAGGGGCCAGAAUAAGUCGGCUGAAUGCUUCAUCCGCCCCAUUCAUAUGUCCCACUACAAACCACCCAAUCAAUGCGAAAAGAACACACAGUGCCACACUCCCAGGUUUCACUGUAAUUUUCAGCUUUUGAGGCUCAUUCUUCAUCAGUCGCAGCUCAUUCUUCAUCAGUCCCAAUGAAUCAGCCGUCGAUUCCACAUGUUGAUCCACGGUUGCCAGCAGCUCAGUCUUCAUCAGUUCUAAUGCAGUAGCCGUCGAUUGCUUGUGUUGAUCCAUGGCUGCCAGCAGCUCAGUCUUCAUCAGUUCUAAUGCAGCACCCACCUCUACCAUCUUGAGCUCCAGGUUUUCCUUCGUCUCUCUGAUGGAUUUGGUAAGAGAAUCGAUGGCUUGCUCAUAAUCAUUAAGUGCUAUCAUUAACAACUGAGUGACAUGGGGAGGAUCAGAGAUAAUCCCAUCCUUGAUUAACAAAAUAGCAUAGCUCCCUUCCCAGUGGAAAAAAUCACAUGACCUCCCAUCCUGUAUAGAAGAAAAAUGGAAUAUGGUCACGUGAUGGUUGAAGUGGAUCAUAUCAUUUGGUGAUUGGUUGGUACAUGUGUUGCAUCAACAUUGGAGGAGAUGGAAUGGAAUGCGCAAGGCAAAGGUAUAACCUAGGGCAUUUCCAUUUCACCGGUCAUAGGUGUGUAGAGAAGUUUAUGACCGGAUUUAGGAUAGAUGGCCGUACUAUCAAGAGGGGCAAACUUGUUUGCAUAUCGGUCAUCUAGUGCCACUUGAGCGAUCUAACUUUGCAUAGGUGUUAGGAUCGAGUGGGGUGGCAAGUUGAGAGGCUAACUCCUUUGGGAAAUUGUUUGUGAAAAGCUAACACACUUGCACAUUCGGCGCUUUUAAGAAAAUUAAGUGCAUAUUUUCUAUUGCGUCGGUGGGAAAUUUGAAGAAGUCGCAGGAGUGUUUCUCGUGGACGCUGGUGUUGGCAGCACCGGACGCUGGUCCAGAGCGUCCGGUGUGGUGUCUUUGACUCAGUGUGCAGAGCGCACCGGACGCUGGCACCGGACGCUGGGCGGUUACUGUUCGAGCGUCCGGUGAUGCGUGACGACAGCGAGUGCACGCGAGGAGUUUCUGACCGGCGAGCACCAGACGCUCAGGGUGCGUCCGAUGGUUUACGUCCGGUGACCGUGCGAGUUUGCAGAGGUGGACUCGUUGAGCGUCCGGUGGUGCUGUGCAGGCGCGCGUGCGCAGUAGCCGUUGGCGGCAACGGUCGAGUUCAAACGGCUAGUGACACGUGGCUGACGCCUGAGCACCGGACGCUUGGGGUUGAGCGUCCGGUGGCUCCUUAUGAGCGUCCCGUGCCCUCGUGUUUUGCCCAGUGAAGGGGCAACGGCUAGUUUAGCCCUUGGGGCUAUAAGUAGAAGUGGUGGCCGGCCUUGACCGGUGCUGAGCACCCUUGGGACUUAGUGUCCAUGCUUGGGGAGUGCUAGGAAAGCCUCUAACUCACUUGUGCUUGCAAGAGUCAAUAGCGAGUGAGUGAUUCUAGUGCGUUGCAUUGAGAGAUUGCAUCUAGUGGCACUAGGUGUUCGUGUUGCAAGCCAGUGGUGCUUGUUACUUUUGGAGGUUGCCACCUCCUAGACGACUUGGUGGCUUGUGACUCCGUCGAAGCACGCAAGGAGAUUGUGCGGUGCUCCGGAGAAUAGAUUGUGAGGGGUAUGGUGCUCACCCCGCGGGGAUCGCGAAGAGCAACUCUAUUGGAUCGUGCGUGUCAUUGAGCUACCUCAUUUGUGGGUAGGUUCUUGCGGUGUCCUAGUGGGGACGAGGUUCGUGUAACACCUCUUAGCCGCCGAACCACCAAGUGUUGGUCGACACAACGGGGACGUAGCUUGGUGGCAACCAAGUGAACAUCGGGAGAAAAUCAUCGUGUCAACUUUGUUCUUCCCGUUGGUUUGCAAGUCCCUAACACAAGCUUGUUUUUUACAUUCAUAUAUUUGUGCUUGUGUAGUUGCUCUUGUAAUUAGUUAGCUUGUGUAGCUUGCUAGUUACCUUCUUGCUUGUGUAGCUAGAAGUAGUUCCCUUGCGUGACUAAUUUGGUUUGUGUAACCUUGUUAGUCACAUUGCUUAGUUUGUGUAGCUAAGCAAUUUGCGCUCUCUAAUUUGGCAUUAGUUGCCUUAUUAUUGAGCAUUGCUAGUGAGCUUAGGAGCUUUGUGCUUUUUGCUUACUAGUUGUGUAGGAGCUUCCCAGUUUGCAAAGUACUAGUUGCAUAGGUUUGUGUGACCUUGCUUCUAGAUUUGGUUAGGUGAACUCUUGCUAAGGUAGCACCUUACUUGCUUGUUUAGGAUCUUUUCAAGGUGUUAGAGAACUUAGAUAGAGGGGUAUAGUCUUGGCUAGACCGAUAGUUUUAAUUCCGCAUUUGUUUCGGUUAGCCGGCGCGAUAAAUUUAGAAAGGACUAUUCACCCCUCUCUAGUCCGCCAUCUCGACCCUUCACGGUGUCGUUGUCGCCGUCGACUAGUGGUGAAGCUAGAGCAAAUAAAAAGGUGGUGCAUUUCUUUUAUAAAAACAUAAACUCUGGCUAUAAUCAUGAUGAAAAAUUGAUUUACUUAAUGAUGUUUAAUUUUUUUUGGGUGUACGUGCACACACUGCCUUGUAUGUGGCUUCGCCACUGCCGUCGACUCCGGCGACGAUGGAUGUCCGUACGUGCGACGCUGGAGGAGACUAAGGUCACGACGUCGUCGGCGAGGUGGAGGCUCGGUGCUACAGCUGCUCGCCGAGGUGGUGCCGUGGCCGGUGCGCACGCCGCGGCUGCUGCCGCACGGUGAACGGCGAGGCGAGGGCGAAGAGCAGCAGGUGGAGGAGAGGUCGCGGCCGUGGACGUGGUGCUGCGUGCGCGCCCAACACGGCAGUCGUGUGGCUCCAUGGCGGCAGCGGCGUGGUCGCACCGUCGCGGCCAUGGCGGCCUUGGGGGCUGGGAAGGUAGGCAGAGGGGAUGCUGUGGCGGCUGGCGUGCGGAGUAGGUGAGGCGAGGCUGGUCGAGGGUCUUUAUAGCCAGGCGACUAGGGCUCGGCGCAGGGAGAGGCGUCCUUGCAGGUGGCCGUGAUCGUCUGAGUGCGUGCUCGCGGACACGCGGCCUCCAUCCGCGGCUCAUGUAGGUGAGCGAGCCGAGAAGGUUCGAGAAGCACUCGGCCGCGUUAGUCCGAGGCGUGGUCAAGAUGAGUCCGCACUGGCGUAGGCAGCAACGAUGGGAAAUGGAGCUGCGCCGUCGGAAGGGAAGAGGGAGCGCGUACGGUCGGAGGAAAAAGGAAACGACGCUGGCCGCUGGAUGGAAAAGAGACGGAGAUUCGGCGUCAUCCCGUGCGUGUGCUUUGCUCGUGAGAGGGUAGGGCUGGCUGCCCCUUGUGCUUAGCUGGGCUGGUUCAGUCCUCAGUCGGCUGCAUGGGCCAAGACCGAAAGGAGUGGCCUAGGAACAGCAGUGGAUACAUGUUGAGUGCAGUGCCGUGCAUGGUUGCUUGGCUAAAUACGUGGUUCACGUACAAACAAAGACACAGGAGCAUGCAGCUUGGUGCCACGUACUGCCACACCACGUGCAUGCACAGGAAUUAGGAGAUGGAAAUUAGGAAAGAGGGGGCCUGGUGAUUAGAGAUUAAAUAGGGAAUUAGGAGAAAACUACCUCCAAGCACAAAAAAAAGAACCAAACAUUCAUGCAUCUAACUAAACAUGGUGCAUAAAAAUAUUUGUAAAUCCAGUUCGAAGAAGAUGGGAGAGAGUUGGGGUUUGUGUUUUAGGAAAUAAUAAAUCAUAAGUAAUGCUGCAUGUUAAAUUCGAGUGCGGCUCGAAUUCAACCAAGGUUUUAAUUUUUCUCCGAAAACAUUUUAUUUGAAAACGUCGUUUGUCAUGUAGGUGAUCAAUCCAGGUGACAACGGUUUGUUGUAAAAAGUUUUUAAGAUCGGAUUUUGAAUUUGGGCAGGAAGGAGAAGCAUUUGACUUAAGUUCGACCUAACAAUUCACAUGCAACACACAUUCAAACAAAAUUUUUAACAAGUCGGGAUUUUUCUAUUACACAAAUUCUCGGAAUGUUACAUUGAAACUCUUCUGCAUUGUUUCCAAAAUAUAGAUGUGUUGAAAACAAACUCAUGAAACCCUACAGAGGAUGGUCUUAUCGGAGUCAUUGUAGAAUCAUGGGCAGUGACCAAGGAGAAAAUAAUUCGACCAAUGAAGAGAGUUGUAUGCAAAUAGUUAAAUUAAUUAGACCAGUGAGAGGAGCCGCAUGUGCUUAAAAAAGAUAAAAAUAAUUAUUCCUAGUUUAGAUAACUCUGAUUUUUAAAGAAUUUUUUCGGGUAAACUACGAUAAAUAGAUGGAGAGAGAGUACGUGCCAAGCACGCUUUCGGAUAAAGAAGUUCAAAAGGAGGAUGGUUGUAACAUCAGUCUUCCCAAUACUAGAAAUUAUAUAUAGUUGUUAUAUUUAUCAAUUUUGAUAGACACUUCAUAUAAAAAUCAUAGUUCAUGGAUAAUUUCUACAAAUCAAUAUUUUAUCAAAUCGCAUAUAUUCUACCUCCAUUCUCUCUGUCAAUCAUAUUCCUCUGCGUCUUGGUUCUCGUGUAAACAUGAUUUUGUCUUGGUUCUCGUGUAGACAUGAUUUUUAACUUAGACCUAGUUUGUAUGAUUCUUAUCUCUUUUCAAUAACUACUUUGUUACAUCAGCAAAAACACUAUAUGACAAUAUAAUUAAUGUUCAUAUAAACUAUGAUGGUUUCUGUAUUAAAAGUGUACUUAGUGCAUCAUCAUUCAUCAAUGAACAAUUGACAGCCAUGGACAUUAACUUCUCAGCAUACAAACUCUUAGUCUUAAAUGAAAUAGAGUGAAUUCCAUUGAGAAAUUUUAAGAUUUUCUUAACCUGGAGAAAGGCUUUGCGAGUAAGCAGUUCGGUAAAAAUACAUCCAGCGGCCCAAAUAUCCACCCCCAGGCCCCAGAUCCAUACUGCUUCGAGCCAAAUAAUAAUUCUGGUGCCCGGUAAGAACGUGCAAAGACCUACUUCAUCCGUCCUAUAAAUAAUUAUAUUUUUUACCUUUAUGAUUAAUAUUUGACUGUUCGUUUUAUUUCAAAAAAUUUUAAUAAAUAUUAUUUAUUUUUUCAUAACUUAUUUUAUAGUUAGAUAUAUUUUUAUAAUGAUGUAUUUAUUUUAUUAUUUGCAAAAAAACUUAAAUAAAAUGAAUGGUCAAAUAUAAAUCAUAUUAGUCAAAAAAUAUAUUUAUUUGUGGAACGGAGAGAGUACGCGUAAAAACAGUUAAAAGUCAGGUGCCUGCCAUCACCAGGGUAAAAUAAGAGGGCAUUUGGUUAAAGGUGCCGAAACUUUAACAGGUACUACAAUAUAUUUAUAACUAAAGUAUUUAGUGUUUAAUUAUAGACUAAUUAGAUUUAAAAAAGAUUGUCUUAUAAACUAUUUUCAGCUCUAUUUUUUGUUUGGCAAAUACUUCGUACAUACUCCCAGAUCCAUACUGUUUCUGGUGCCCGGUACGAAGGUGCAAAGACCUACGCGUAAAAACAGUUAAAAGUCACGUGCCUGCCACCACCAGAGUAUGUCCAAACAUGGAUAGAUGUUCAAAAAAAAAAAAACAGCACAAACUAACGAGGCCUAAAUCUAGUCUUCUAGUUACUAAAGGAAUGAAAUACAAGGGAAACUCUAAAUAACUGCUCAACACAGAGAAUUAGAGUUGGCCUUUGACUGCAUAGAAUGUUACUAAAUAGGAACUAUGAUGAGCAGAACUUCCAGUUCAGAUGACAAACAGCGAUGGUAAUUAUGUAAGAAAAAUGAUAUCCUUCACAAAUGAGUACUCCCAAAUAAAAUAAAUUUACUAACUGACACAGUUCCAAUUAUCACUGCUCUUGCAAGGAAGCUGCAUAGUCAACAAAUUUCGGCAUGCCAUGGUUUUUCGGGGCGCCGUCUAAGGCUUUCGGGAAAAAAAUUCAAGAUUCUCCGUCACAUCGAAUCUUGCGGCAUAUGUAUGGAGUAUUAAAUUUAGACGAAAACAAAAACUAAUUACACAGUUUACCUGUAAAUCGCGAGAUAAAUCUUUUGACCCUAAUUAGUCUAUGAUUGGACAAUAUUUACCACAAACAAACGAAAGUGCUACCGCAAAAUCUAAAAUUUUUGCCAGCUAAACAAGGCUUAAGUAGGAGUAAUCAUCCAUGCGACCAUGCCGGCACGCAGAUUUGAAAGUCCAGCAAUGCAGGAAUGCAGGGUAAGCAAAUGCAGCUUUUGGUAUUAGGAAUCAGGAUCCGGAAUUCAGCAUUGUUACACCGUGUAAAGCGAAACCAAUGAUGCAGAAUGGGAAACCACUUGAGCAGGUUAAUAUUUAUGGACAAGAAUGAAUGACAGUACUGAGACGUGUUUUAUGCCUAGCAAGCAGCGCUUGUUGCUCAUGCCAUCUGAAAGCAGCUCCACAAGGAAACCAAUUUUUUUGUCAGAAGUUAAACAGUACUACAAGAUAACUGGGGCACAAGUAGAGCAUUACGUGUGAUCUACUGAUGACAGAAUUAAGCCUAGAAAAAGCUUUCCCAAACAACAUGACCAUCAGGUUCCCGCCUCUUUAUCAGCUCCCACUGAAGGUAAGUUGGUGCCAACUGGGGCACAAGUAGAGCAUUACGUGUGAUCUACUGAUGACAGAAUUAAGCCUAGAAAAAGCUUUCCCAAACAACAUGACCAUCAGCUUCCCGCCUCUUUAUCAGCUCCCACUGAAGGUAAGUUGGUGCCAUUGGAAACCUCACAUAGUUGACGAGUUCAGAGCCCUCCGCCUUGUAAGGCGCAUUGCGUGGUGCAUCCUCGCCCUCCUCGGUGCUCUCCUUGGUAUAAGACCUGUACGGCUCCAUUCUGUGUACAGUUCGAUUUCUCCAAUAAUCGAUCAGCCUCAGUUGUUUGAUCAUCUCUUCCUGCUCAUUACUCAACACACUUUGGUUCCUAGGUGGAUUGAUCCCCAAAUCAUUUAAGCAACCUUUCUGGUAUUUAUUCAGGUUCCGCUGAUCUGGUUUGUUUUGUGGUACCUCAUAACUCUCAGGUCUUCUAUUGAUAGGGUAACUGAGCAAGGCAUUGUUCAUAACUUUUUUCUUCCAGCCAUCCACAUAUGGUAAUUUAUCCAGAAUUGCUCUGAACUCCUCAAAUGAUAACACAGAUCUGAUGGUCUCAUACAUCUUUUGGAAGAAAAAUGAGCACUGCGUCAAAGGAACCAACGAGGCAUGAACUGGAAACAUUGACCUGGACUCGAAUUCCCUCUCAAUUACAUUGAGCAGGUGCAAGAUAUCUUCAGGAAUGUUGUACUGUAUACCAGUUGGAGUAAUAAGCUUGAAGAGAUCUCGAAUAAUGUUAGCAGCACACUUGAAGUUUCUAUGGAGACGCCUCUUGAAUUCUGGACCUCUGCGAAGACAACUGAUAAUGGUGACAUUCUUGAAUUUCACUUUUCCUGUUUCAGUAAGUACAAUAUUAUCUUCAGUGAAAUCCUCAAAACAGAUUUGCAACGCUUCAUUGAUAACAAGGCCCUUGAGCAUAGUCCUGAUACAUUUCUUGCAGCGUUCGCUGGCAAUGGUAAAGCUUUUAGGGUCUUCAGUUUCCCCGGGCAAUGGAUUACAUCCAUCUUCAUCCAGCCCUACGAGAACAACUUUUGGAACGAGCAUGUGGUACUUCAGCUUGUACACCUUCAAGUCAAUGUAAUGUUCACAGUGUACUUGUCCAGACAUGACACACAGGUCAUAGGCUACAUACGGUAGGGUUCCUGCAGAAAAAAAACUACGUGAUUGACAGGAAUAGAAAUCAUCUAAAAAUAAGAUAGAAGUAUGGAAGUUAAUUUAAGAAGCCAGCGAACAGUAAAAACAUAUUUGCAAGCUAAAAGGUUAGUAGGUAGUGGUGUAAAGUGGCAUCAUUCAGAUUAUAAUGUUCCUAUAGACAGUUUAUAUCCAGCUAAGAAUAUAUCCCAAACACUAUGCAAUCUCAGAAUUUCAUGUAAAGCUGCUCACUUGAGAAACUUCCGGAUGGCACCCCCAGCAAGACGAACAAAUGAUGUUCAGCAUAUUUUACCAGCCUAGCAUGCUUCUGUAGUGUAGCCCUCAACACAGAUGUCUCCUACAGAUACAGAAUAAAGUGCAAGUUAAAUAAGGUAUGUGUGCUUCCAUCAAUUUUUUUUUGCAACUAGACUGUUACUUGUAACAACACUAGCAUUCAAAAUGGGAACCAGCACUUUCAGGAGAAUGAGUCAGUGAAGCAUUGGGGAGGGGGAACUUACAGGCAACACGUUGAGCACAAAAAGAGCGUGUCCCAAAACCAGAGCAUCUACAUCUUUAGGACUACAUAGAUACAAAAGGAUAUAUUAGUGAUCCAUUAGGCCUAUCAUAAAUAAAUAAAUAAAUAAAAACUAAUACAAACAACACAGGUAUAUGCAGGACGAUUGUAAGUGUACCUGUUCCCAAAGAGGUACACUUCAUCCUUAGUUAAUGUUUCAGACAACAUAUCAUAAACAGCCUCUGCCCUCCAAUAAAUCUGUUUAAAUAGAAACCUGCAUUAGGUUAGGUUGGCAGUAGCACCUAAAAAGAAAAAAGAAUAAUAAUAAGCAAACCACCUCUUGUCCCAAAUCAGCAGUUGACCUAUUCAACCUCGAACAUAGAUCACGUUUUUCAUCUCUUAGCCCCUUCCAGUGAAGAAUCUUCCGAAUUGGCCAAGCGAUAUCAGAGAAGUAGAUAUCAUUUGCAAUGCUUCCAUCACUAACUACCCACAGUUCAUACUGCAGGGCAUCAGCAAGCCAGGUCGAAACCAUGACCUUUGUGCGCUCAACAGAGGCUGAUUGUGUAAUCAGUUGGCUGCAUGGAGUUUAAGUCAAGAAUGCUGGUAUCCCUAAGAUAUUGAAUCACCCCUCCGCCCUCAUUGUUCAAAGCCACACAAUCUCCAAAUUCAACAUACGGUAUUUGCUCUGCGCAAAAAACAAAACGCAGUGAACUUAUCAGCAGGGGGCGAAAAAAUCCCAACCAGAACAGUGACCUAGCACACAAAUGCAGAUCCAGCAGCGACAAGUGAUUCUGGCAACAACUAUCUAGCAACAAGGGUAGACAGAUGCAACUAUGGAAGAGCACCAAGCAAUUCUGGCAACGACCACCUAGCAACAAGGGUAGACAGAUGUAACUAUCCAGCAGCAACUAGUGUCGAUCCAGUAGAGCAUCAAAUGAUCUACCUAGCAACAAGGGUAGCAACAAGAUGCAAAUAUCCAUGUGGAUCUAGCAACGUCAUGAUAUAACAUUAAGGCACAGUAAACAGUGGAUGAGAGGAGGUGGGGACUGGGGAGAUCACCUGCGUUUGGGUUGCAGGUGUCCACUUCGAGGUCGAAGGGAACAUCAGCCAUUCUGAGGUAGAGAAGUACGGUUAGGCACAUCGGGCAAGCGGUGGGGAGUCGGAAGCCUGGCUUCCGCACAACCAAAGUCUUCCGCGGCGCCGCCUCCCACUCGCGCGCCACAGGACCAGCACCCGCGGCCCUGGCCGCCACGGCCAACUUCGCGGCCAUGGGCCCGGCAGCAUUAGACGUCCCCCACUCCUUGACCGUGGCAGCGACCAUGGACGCGGCCCCAGCCGCCAGUACUUUGAGCCCCAAAUCCGCGGCCGCGGACCAGGUGACCGCCUCCACGACCGCGGACCCGGUCACCGCCUCCAGGGCCACGGACCCGGUCACCGCCUCCCACUCCGCGGCCGUGAACCCAGCCGCCGCGGCCGCCACGGCCAUGGCACCCGCCGCCGCCACCGAUGGCAUUGGCUGGCUUCUGAGUAGGGUUUAGGUUCGGGACUUCGUCUCGGUUUGCCCUGAAUCCGAUUUCAAGAUGGAGGGUUAAAAAAUCAGGGCCCAGAUAACCACAAAGCCCAGUGUGUGUGUGGUGAUAAUCCAUCACUAGCGCGAUAGGACGCUUCGCAAUUCUCACGGUGCUUUCAUCCGUACAACCAGCUAAUCAUCUGUUAAAGACGAGCCCAAAGCUGAUAGGCUGAUUUGUUUUAGGCCCUGUUCGUUUUGCCUCCAAAACGAAGGUUAUUGGGAAGCAUUGAGGCCCUGUUAGUUUGAUCCAGGGCCAAGGGGAUUGAGAGAAAUCGAGGGGAAAUUUACGAGUCAAAAUCUUCGUCAACACUCUCCAAUCCCUUUGAUUUUGAUUUUAAAAGGGAGAUCCAAAACCAAAUGAGUUGGAGGGGAUUGAAAGGGCCUAUAUUGUAAGUCAAAAUCCUCGUCUAACCCAUUCAAUCCCUCCAAUCUCAAGAUCAAGCGAAGUCCCCUCCAAUCCUCAUGAUUUAAGGAUGGAAAUAAACAAACAAAUAAAGAAACUAAAAAAACAUUGUUGUUCAAAAAAAAAAGUAAGCACAAGUAGGCAGAUGGAUAUUAUCAUACCAACGAUAAAUCUCCCUGAGGCCUUCUUGUUGGGUUUUGAUCCACCAUAGAGGACCCUGAUGGAUGGAUCGGAAGCCGGAAGGCCGCCCUGCUGCUGGCUGUACAGCCCGACCGACGGGCCGUGCAACCCAUCUUCCUGGCAAAGGUCAACCGGAGAGGCCAGACAACCGGCCGGGCCGAUCCCCGAUGAUGACCAUGGCACUUGAGAAGACUCGGCAAGAGCCUCUUCUUCCUCCUCAUCGUCUUCUUGUUUUGAUGGGUAUAUGGAUGCAAAGAAGAGGACGACUGCUGGAGAUGAAAGAGGUGGGGGGGGGGGGGGGGGGGUGGGGAGGGGAUUGUUUGGGGGCAAGGGUGGAACAGCUUAGGGAGGGGAUAUAAGUAGAGGAUGAGGAGCGUCCGGGACCGGCCUUUCCCAUAAAACCAGGGCCGUCGGUAGAGUAUAAUUAAUAAUAACAACAACUGAUAGAUCACGCGACACGACACGCGUGCAUAUCGAUUCGUUUCCGCCAGCGCGGCGCACGGUCCACAUCAAGGCCCCCCACCUUUGAAAAAGAGGGCCCGAUGGAGACGGCGACGGCUGCGGUAACCCAAGCGGCCACGUCUCGUCUGGUCUCCUCUCCUCUCCUCUCCUCUCGUCCGGCCCGUCCCACUCCGACGCGGACCCAUCCAAAUUUAAAGAUGGUCCAGGCCUGCUCGGCUAGCGUUCAGCCCAUCCAAAUCCAAAUUAAAGAUGGUCCACGCAGGCACGCACGCACCCCACCACGGACGGAUCCGACGAGUUGCAUUUUAUGGCGUUUUCCCUUUGGAUUUGGACGCACCACCGCACCAAUGCACGGCUUUCCUUCCCUCCACAGUCCACACCAACAACGACCACCGCAUUUUCCCGCCCCAGGACCCGUAGUCGUCGCACGUGUCAAAAGGUAUGGCCGGGCGCCGGCCAUUCCCUCGGUUCCUCCGCCCCUGCUCCCGCUACGCCAACGACUUCGGCCUUGUUUAGAUAAAAAAUUUUACAAGAGCACGAAUAUUAAAUAUAGAUAAAAAAACUAACUAUAUAGUUUAUCUGUAAAUCAUGAGACAAAUUUUUUAAGCCUAGUUACUCUAUGAUUGGACAAUGUUCUAAAAAGUUUUUAAAUCUAAACAAGGCCUUAGUUUACCAAGAAAAUCAAAAAAGUUUUCAACACAUUGAAUCUUGUGAUACAUAUAUGAAGCAUUAAAUAUAGACAAAAAUAAAAAACUAAUUAUACAGUUUAACUGUAAAUCGCGAGACAAAUCUUUUAACUCUAAUUAGUCUAUAAUUGAACAAUAUUUAUCACAAACAAGCAAAAGUGCUACAAUAACAUCCAAAAAAUUUUCACAUUUACAAAACACGGACAUGUGCUGGUCAACAGGAGUUUACUGUUCAGUUUACAAAACAAUUGAAUUUUAAAAAUAGUGUAGAAGAGUUUUAUUUCUAUAAAACUAUCUCUAUUUUUAUAAAACCAUCAUCUCUACUUCUUCAUCAAUAUAAUGUCAUAUUAACAUAUUUAAUGUGCAUAAAAUUUUCAUGAAACCUCCAUCUUAUUUACCAAAUUUAUUAGUCAUUAAAUAAUAUUUUCUCUCAACUGAAAUUGUUAAGUCAGACAUUAGACCAAUCUUAGUGGCCCGUUUAAUGCACUGUUUCCAAAAUAAAUCCGCUGACAGGGCAACAAUGAAACGAAUAAUAAAACAACCUCCACAAAGCAUGAGUUUCACCUUGACAUUUCCUAGGCUGGGCAAAGCAUUUAAUUACUGCAAAAUGAUUGGAUCACAUGUAAGAUGGUGAAACGAUUUAGCCCUCAAUGGGGACUUCAUCCCGUUUCACCGCGUGGGAAACAACGUCCGCGGAAUUUCACUAUGAUAAAACUACUUCCUUCUCUCUCCUUUUCGUUUCAUGCAAAAAGUGUAAUUUUACUUACAUGACGCUCUAAUAAAUGUGCAUGACAUACUAGUGAAACCCCCCGCUCAGACUGACUUUAUUAUCACAUAAACAUGAAAAGUAGCGAUCUUCAUCAGUUCUAUAAAUGCUAAUCAGAUGAGUACCUGGUGACAACACGACCGCCGUAGCCUCUUCGGUAGCUGAGUAUUUGCUAUAGGACAUGUUUAGAUCUAUUUUUUUUAGAUUUUGAACAUUGUAAUAUUUUUGUUUGUAUUUAUAAUUAUUGUCUAAAUAUAUAAUAAUUAGGUUUAAAAUAUUCGUCUCGUAAAUUACAGACAAAUUGUAUAAUUAACUAUUUUUUAUCUAUAUUUAAUAUUUUAUACACGGGUCUAAAGAUUCGAUGUAAUAAAAAAUCUUAUAAACUUUUAGAAUUUUAAAGAUAUCUAAAUAGGUCCAUAGUCUGCAAAAAAUGAUUCAUCUGAAAACCCUGUAAGGCUGCAAGAAUUUAUAUCCUUCACUGUUAGAUAGGAUACAGAAAAAUCCUGAAAAUAUUAAUAGCAAGUCAACAACAUACAGUACCAUCAAAAAAUAAUGGCACACAGCAUUUCUCAGUACGUAAAGAUAGAUCAAUAAUAGUUUGUUGGUUUGAGAUUAUCUACCAAAUCUGUCAGUCAUUCAGAAGUGUUCAGCAAAUAAUAUUUUUAGUCAUAACUAUUCAAGAGUGUAACAAAUAAUAUUUGCAAGCGACCAAGCUGAAAAAACUAGUAAGACCCAUGCGGCAAAUGCCGCGGGCGCUAGGCAGCUACUAUUCUAGCCAAUUAAACAAUAUUGAGAUAUGUGCAGCAGAAAAGAGAGUACAAAAUACUAGGAAAGAAAGUGCUAGUGCUGAACACGUAAGAGAGAGUGUGUAUUGCAACACGAAUCUUAAAACACUUUUGAAUGGUGGAAGAUAAGCACCACUAAACAGCCACAUGCUACGAUACAUUAUCGCAAAUAACUAGUGAUCUUGGAAGAAUGGUCAUAUUUAUUCUUUAUUAUUGUAUAAAAGGAGCAUCAGAAUAACAAACGUAGUCGAAAUAAUAAUUAAUGUUCAAAGUAUUACAAAAUAGAAAUCAUGAAAAGAUCAAAAUCGCCUAUGAACAGGUAAUCUAUAGUAGGUACAACCUAAGCCCUAUUCUUUCUAUUUGAAGUAGGCGAAGCAUCAGAAUUUACAGGACACUGUGAUAAUAUGGUCUUGUUUAUGCUUUGUUUACUUCCACCUAAAAAUUCAAAAUUUUUCAAUAUUCUCCGUCACAUCGAAUCUUUAGACGCAUGUAUGGAGUAUUAAAUGUAAAUAAAAAUAAAAACUAAUUGCACAGUUUGGUCGAAAUUGACGAGACAAAUCUUUUAAGCCUAGUUAGUCUAUCGUUAGACAAUAAUUACCACAAACAAACAAAAAUGCUACAGUGUCGCAAAAAUUUUUCCUUCACGAACUAAACAAGGCCUUAAUUCAUCCAAAAAACCAAAAAAUUUUAAGAUUUCCUGUCACAUCGAAUCUUACGGCACAUGCAUGGACCAUUAAAUAUAAUCAAAAACAAAAAACUAACUAUACAGUUUGCCUGUAAAUCGCGUAUAACACUCCAAAUUUUUGAAUUUCAAAUUCAGUUCAAAUUUGAUUUAAUUUUGGCUUAGUUUGAAUUUUUAGAGAAUUAUUAAAUAAUUUACAAAAUUAAUUAAAAUAAAAUAUAAGGUAGAAACGUGUUUGAUUUUUGCAUUCAUGCUGCUGCAUAAUUUUGAUUGAUUUGAUUUAUUUAUUUUGCUGAUGCUUGUUUUGUUUUGUUUUGGAGCAAGAAAAUUUAAAAAAAAAAGAGAAAGGGGAGAGCCCCCGCCUGGGCCGACUUCCGGCCCAGCACCCCGCGCCCCUCCCCUCUCCCCUCAUGCCCAAGUGGGCCGCGGCCCAAGCCGCACGGCAGCGGCCGGCCCCGCACUCACCCCCCGCUGCUCCCGCCCGCAGUCGCUGACGCGUGGGCCCCGCGAGUGGGACCCACCGCCUUCUUCCACCUCCGGCCGGGACGGACUCGGGGCGCAACCGACGCCCCGGUUUCCGCGCGCGGCGCCCCCAAUCCGAGCCGCACGCGCCCCAAGGAUCGUCGUGCCUUUAAAUAGCCCCCAGCCGCCGCUCGCGAACCCCCCCUAGAACCCUAGCUUCGAAAUCCGCGCCGCCGCCGUUCUCGCCAAGCUCGCGCCGCCGCCGUUGAAACCGCCGCCGUCGAGCUUCUCUUUGACUUCGUCGUUUCGCGGAGGUGAGCUCGUCAUCGCGCUCGUCGUGACGCGCCGACCCCGCCCGUGCCCUCGGCACGCUCCCCCGUGCCCUGCAGCACCGCCGCCGAAGCUCCGGGCGGCGCCAAUGGCGCCACCGCCGCCGCCGGCCGCCCCUGCGCUCCGCACCGGCGCGCGGUCCACCGUGGACCGCGGCCCUGCGCCCCCGUGCGGCCGGUCCACUGGACCGGGUCCAGGAGGCCGCCCCCCGCCGCUCCGCAGGCGCGGUCCACCAUGGACCGCGGCCUUUCCCCCCCCCCCCCGCGCCCCGGUCCACAGCACAGUGCCGUGGACCGGCCACUCCCGAGCCGCCACGUGGCCGAGCCGGCCAGCACCCACGCGCGCCCCUGCACGUUUUGCAAAAAGGCCCCUGUUUUUAUUUAAAAUUAACCCGCUAUCCUAUGCAGUUUAAAAUAAUUAUGUUUAUGCCCUUAGUUUUCGCAGUUUAACCCCUGGCUCGGUUAGAAUUUAUUUAUUUAGUCCAAAAUGAGUUUUAAUUCAGUUUUUAAUUAGUUUUAAUUACGAAAAAUAGUUCAGUUUAUCUACAGAAAUGCCAUUCAACUUGUUUUAGCCAUAACUUUUGCAUCGUGACUCCGAUUUAGGUGAUUCUGGUCGCUAUGGUUUCGUUUCGUCGAGUAGAAUACAGUAAUGCAGUUGCUUUUUGUUUCCGCAUGCUUUGGUGUACUGUUUCUGAUUAAGUUUGUUUGCUUGCAUGUAUUGUUCCUAUGAUUGAUGAUUGUCGCGUAUAGCCAACGAGACGUUCGUGAAGGAAGAGGUUCAGGAUCCCGCUGAGUUCGAGCAACCCGACUUCGAUCAAGGCAAGUGCAGACACCGUUUGAUCAUUUUGAACCUACUCAUUAAUGCCAUUUACUUUAUAUGCAUGUGUCCAAUGAAUGCAAACCCUAAGGACAUGACUAGCUUUGCUUAUUAUUCCUUGCUCACCUGGGGUUAUGUAUUUGGGUAGACUAGGCUAUACUAGGUCUGCUUAGCUGCUCUACUCAUCUUAUACACAUGUCUAAACAAGAAUUACUCUCUCUCUACUUAACUUGAUGCUUAAACUGUGCUGAAUCUUUGGUCACUGCGGUGAUGGCGAUGUUGGAUGCUUGCGAGCAUCGUGAUGAUGGUGGUGACAGGGGGAGCGGGUACCGUUGGUGGUCCGGUUUGCCGGGCGUACCCGUCUCUGCUCUCCGUAAGGACUUAGUCAGGGAGCGGCCCCCCUGGGACUUACAGUGCAGCUCCAAGCUAUAUGGCUCUGGCUUGACUAAUUAGCAGGACCUCCACUAGUAGGGUGUUACUUUCCGGGUAGGCGUGAGGAAGUAACUUGGGUAAUGAAUAUUAAGUUGUCGGUUGAUCGGUACGCCAUGGCUAUGGGUAUCGACUGCCGAGCGCCCCGACAAAAACUUGCGAGUGGCAUCCUAUUAGUUGGACCCUGUGAAAGGUCUCGUAGUGAGACCCUGCCUGCUCACCUUGGAAGUGUUUUGGGGAGUCGCGACCCCGGGCAAAUGGGAAUCACGACUUGGAGUGAACGUGCACACCUCUGCAGAGUGUAAAACUGAUAUAUCAGCCGUGCUCACGGUCACGAGCGGCCCAGACCCUCACUUGAUGAGCAAAUUGGAUUCACUGGUUACUUGGAGAUGGACCUUGGCGAGGUUGCUACCUCGUGUUUUGGCGGAAUGGCUAUUCCGUGAUGGCAGGAUUGCUAUCCUGUGGUAAUAAUUGGGGUUAAUCCCUGGAUUACUAUAAUAGUUAGGAUAGUCAUUUAAAAGAUGCUAAUUACUACUUACACUAAUUAAGGGUUGGGUUUAUACUACUCAUAUUUAGUAAUAGGUUGUUCUAGUAAUUGUUAUAAUUAAAAGCGAUCAACUAAAAUGCUACCGCAGUCAAACCAAGUCAACUUUACCUUGUUUUAAGCCUUGCAUGUCAUUACUUUCCGUCUGUGCUUGCUGAGUUCGACAUGAGCUCACCCUUGCUAUAAUCAUUAAAGGUUGCUCGGACGAUCAGGAGUACAAUUGCGAUUUCCCUGAGGACUACCCUGAGUCUCCUGGUUGUUAGGCUCGUGUGGUUCUGCCGUCGACCUUCCUGUGGCAAGGUGGUCCUGCUACGUCGGCGUUUAGUUUUCCCUUUAUUUAUGGAACAGUUUAGUUUAUGUUUCCCCUCCGCACUUUGAUAAACAUUUGGCUUGUAAUAAUGGUACUUUUACUCUCAUUUAUGUAAUUCGUUUGAACACUGUGUUUUGUACCAUUGAUGAUGUCGGUCCAUGUGUGUGAAUUUGAGAUCCUGGCGCACAUGUGAUUUGGCACCCGAAUGCUCUUUUACAUCCGGGUGUGACAGAAGUGGUAUCAAAGCCGUGUUGACCGUAGGAUCACGCAGCCUAGUUAGAAACAGCCGUUUAGACUGUCCCUUUUGGGUGGAAUACACAAUUGGAUCUAUUAACUACCUUACUAACCUGUCUCAUUAGACUUUAUCUAUUAGCCUUGUCUACUUACUUUUACUAACAGUUCAGUUUAUUCACUUAUUUCUUGCAUUUAUUACCUUGUUAUCAUUUAUUGCUUUCUAUUUCUCAUAUUGCAUUUAUAUUCUUGUUUCAACUUUUACUACUUGUUAUUUGAACCUUUCUUUUAUACCUUGUCAUUUAUUAUCAUUCUACUCAUAUUACCUUCUUGUUCCUUGUUUUUCAUUUAUUACUUGAGUUAUGUUUUAUUUCUGCCUUGACAAUAAAUUUCAUUACCUUGUUUUCACUUUAUACCUUCAUUACUUGCUUUUAUAUCUUACCAUAAAUACCACCAAAGUUCAUAUUGUCCAUCCAUUGUAUAAUCUGGGUUCAUCUUCAUUACACAUACACUUUUACCUUCAUUUAUGUUAUUCCUUUUACCUAUCAUUGUCAUGAUCUAUUAACCGUUUCCUGCAUGUCUAUGAUCUUAUGCAUAAGUAGAUGACUCGCCACCUGACCUGCCGCAAGAGCGUUAUCCGUUUCCGCCCCGUUCAAGCUGUGGAGUUCUCGUUGACUGGUCGCGUGGAUAACAUCGUGUUCCAGCCUAACCAGCAUCUUGAUGACGGUGCUAACCUCCAAGACGCGGAACCCUAUGAAGGACAGCAACCACCUCAAGCUCUGGUGGUGCAUGGAAGGGCGCCUUGCUGGGCACCUGGAGGAGAUGAUCCCUUCGGUGAUGAUGACAUGGAUGAUGAUGAUGAGGAUGAUGAUGAUGAUGAGGAUGCACCCGGAGGACCCGGAGGACCCGGUGGACCUGGAGGUCAAGAUGGACUUUUUGCUGCUGAUGAUGGGUGGAUUGUGACAGUCUGCACCAGGGAUGGUGGAGAGUGUUUCUUCCACAGCGAGCUGAAGCGUCUCCUUGACCAGCAGCUGGGACAUGGCAUGUUCUCAGUGGAGUACCGCAGUGAGCACUGGAGUCACCCAGACUACCCGGCGUACUGGAAGGUCUGGGCACACGUCGGCAGGCCUAACCCGACGUUGAGGGCACUGAGGAUCAUGUCCAUACAUGAGGCUGUGGCUGAGAGGUCUACCCAGAUGGCAGGCAUUAAUGAUGCUGCUCGCCAGGCUUUCUACGCAUACCGUGAUCACUUCUUCGAGGAGAUCAGCCAGGAUGAGCGUCGCUACUACCCUCGCCGUCGCCGUGGAGAGUUGGCGAUGACUAUUGCUUCCACCACUGAUGAGCAAGACCCCCGCAUGCACAGGACUGUCAAGCUGGUGGCGGUCACUAACACCGAGCUCAACAGUUCACUAGUGGAGUUGAAGCAAGUCAGGAAGGAGUUGGACGACGCCAGGAAGAGGAUAGCACAACUGGAGGCUCAGAUCACUGGAGUGCCACCGCCUUCACCUAAGUGGCCUGCUUUCUCUCCGCCUCGUGAAGAUCCAGCCUAUGGGGAUGCCAGCGCUCGUACUACUAUAGAAUAGGAGCUAUUCCCAACUUAGUAAUAAAUAGUGCCACGCUUAGAACGUUAGCACGAUCUUAGCUAUGCGAGUUUAGUGCUUAGUCGUUUGCUUAGUGUGCUUUGCUUGGUCUGUGUGAGAACUUGAUUUAUUAUUGUGUUAAUGGUGUGAUUUGGUUCUUUGUAAUGAGUGCGAUGAGUGGUGGGUUAUGUCCACAACGCAUCAAGAAUAAGAUUAAGUAUUAAGUUUAUUUGAGAUAGUUUGGGUUAUCAUCGGUCUCCUUUAUUUGUGCCUUAUCAUAUUUCAUAUCGCUUUAUCUUAUCAGUCUUACACUAUCAUGAUCAGUUCAUUAUCUAUAUAUUACAUCUGUUGUGAGUACUGUGUUUAUCAACUGAGACAGGAAAGUAACUAUCAGCUGGGUCAUACUUUGGGGAAAGAUUAUUACAUUGCAGUUUACAUUACAGCUCAGGUUUACACAUAUGAACUACAUCUGAUUUUAUUAUUUCUAUAUAUCAGAUGCCUGUCCACACCAGGAGCAACACCAAUGGAGGAAACAAUGGACAGUCCAACAACAACAACAAUGAUCAGAGCGGGACUAAUGCCAACCCUCCUCCUCCGGGGAAUCAGCCCAUGACCAUAGAACAGUUGAUGACUAUGCAGACUCAACUGAUGCAAGGGAUGGCUCAUAUUAUGAACCACAUGCAGCAGAACCAAAACCAGAAUCAGAACCAACACCAAGGAGGUAACAACGCGUUUGCCCCACCUAGGGACAAGCGUGGAGAGUUCAUGAAGGGACGUCCACCGUUCUUCUCUCACUCAGCUGAUCCUAUGCAAGCUGAGGAUUGGCUUAAAGCUGUGGAGAAGCAGCUGGUUAUUGCUCAGUGCAAUGACAGGGAGAAAGUUCUGUAUGGCUCUGGGCAGCUUCAGGGAGCCGCACAGGACUGGUGGGAUUCAUAUUGCUUUGCACAUCAGGACCCGGAUACUAUCACUUGGGAUGAGUUCAAGGUCGCCUUCAAGACUCAUCAUGUGCCUGCUGGAUUGGUGAAGUUGAAGAAGAAGGAGUUUCUGUCUCUGAAGCAGGGCUCCAUGACAGUUUGUGAGUACCGUGACAAGUUCACUCAGUUGUCGCGGUAUUGCCCCAAUGAAGUGGAGAAUGAUGAAGACAAGUAAGAUCACUUUCUGGAAGGUUUGAAUGAUGGUCUGUCCUACAUGAUGUCGAAUGUCAAGUACGCCAGUUUCCAGGAGAUGGUGGACAGGGCAUUGGUGCUUGAGAGCAAGCGCCGUAAGAUGGAGGACAAGAAGAGGAAGUAUAACUCCUCUCAGCAGCAGGCUGGUGCCAGUUGUCCCCGCUACAACAACCAGCAGGGCCCUCAGUCUCGCCCUGCAUAUCAGUCAGGCAACCAAGGACAGCAACAGAAUGUCAGGUACAGCAACCAGAGUCAGCAGACGAGCCAGCGCUACAACAACAACCAAGUGCAGCGCCCCGCUAGUCAGGCGCCUCGCCAGAAUGCCCCAGCACCAUCAGGCUCUCGCCAGAACUCCAACACUGUCCCAAUGAAGCCCAAUGUCAAUCCCGCCCCCACUGGAAAUACCUGCUUCAAGUGUGGUCAGCUUGGACACUACGCGAAUGCGUGCCCCCAGAGGCAGAGGAAUAACAACAACAAUGGAAGGGUGAAUCAUGUGAAGUUGGAAACUGCGGAGGAGGCUCCAGAUGUGGUAGUUGGUAUGUUUCUUGUCAACUCUUGCCCAGCUACUGUUUUGUUUGAUACUGGAGCAUCACAUACUUUUAUAAGUGCACAGUUUGUUGAGAAACAUAGUAUAGCCACCUGUACCAUGCAAAACACCAUGAUAGUUAAAUCACCUGGGGGAAAGAUGCAUACUAAUACUUUGUGUCCAGAAAUGAGCAUUAAAAUAAGGGGGGUAGAUUUUCCUGUCAAUCCCAUUGUGUUGGGUUCAGAAGGUUUAGAUAUGAUAUUGGGAAUGAGAUGGUUGUCCAAGUUUAAGGGUACUAUUCAGUGUGCUGAGAAGACAGUGGCUCUAACCGCACCUAGUGGGAACAGAAUUGAGGUCAGAGUUUCUAUGUCACCUAGUAGUGAAGGAACAAUUUACCAUCUGAGCAGUGGGUCAGUAGAAGAUAUUCGAGUUGUGAAAGAGUUCCCUGAUGUGUUCCCAGAAGAUUUGCCAGGUAUGCCACCUGAACGUGAGAUUGAAUUUGUUAUUGAUUUAUUACCUGGUACUGCACCCAUAUCUAAGAGACCUUAUAGAAUGGCUGUUAAUGAGUUAGAAGAACUUAAGAAACAACUAAGGGAGUUACAGUCUAAGGGGUAUAUCCGUCCUAGUUCCUCACCUUGGGGAGCUCCAGUUAUCUUUGUAGAGAAGAAGGAUGGGACACAGAGGAUGUGUGUAGACUAUAGAUCUUUGAAUGAGGUCACCAUUAAGAAUAAAUACCCUUUGCCUAGAAUAGAGGACUUGUUUGACCAGUUGAAAGGAGCUUGUGUGUUUUCCAAAAUAGAUCUGAGGUCAGGUUAUCACCAGUUGAGGAUUAAACCUAGUGAUAUUCCAAAGACUGCUUUCACCACCAGAUAUGGACUUUAUGAGUAUACAGUUAUGUCUUUUGGAUUGACGAAUGCUCCAGCUUACUUUAUGUAUCUGAUGAAUAAAGUUUUUAUGGAGUAUUUGGAUAAGUUUGUGGUAGUCUUUAUUGAUGAUAUCUUGAUCUACUCCAAGACUGAGGAAGAACAUGAGGAACACCUGAGACUUGUGUUGCAGAAAUUGAGGGAACAUCAGCUCUAUGCCAAGCUGAGUAAGUGUGACUUCUGGUUGAAGGAAGUGUCUUUUCUUGGUCAUGUCAUUUCAAAUGGUGGAGUUGCUGUUAGUCCGAAGAAUGUGGCAGAUGUUCUUAAGUGGAGUCCACCUCAGACUGUUGGGGAGAUCAGAAGUUUUCUUGGAAUGGCCGGUUACUAUCGGAGAUUCAUUGAGGGAUUUUCCAGUAUUGCCAAGCCCAUGACUGCUUUGUUAGAGAAGGGUAAGCCAUUCAAGUGGAAUGAACAGUGUCAGGCUAGUUUUGAGGAAUUGAAGAAGAGGUUGACUACUGCACCAAUUUUGACUUUGCCAGAUGUGACUAAAAGCUUUUCCAUCUAUUGUGAUGCUUCCAAGCAAGGUUUGGGAUGUGUACUGAUGCAAGAGGGAAAGGUGAUUGCCUAUGCAUCUAGACAGUUGAAGAAACACGAGGUGAAUUAUCCAACUCAUGAUCUUGAGUUAGCAGCUGUGGUCCAUUCACUGAAGAUCUGGAGACACUAUAUUCUGGGUCAUAAGUGUGAUAUCUACACGGAUCACAAGAGUCUGAAAUACAUCUUCACUCAGAAUGACUUAAACCUGAGACAGAGAAGAUGGUUAGAGUUGAUCAAGGACUAUGAACUGGAGAUUCAUUACCACCCUGGCAAAGCUAAUGUAGUUGCUGACGCUCUGAGUAGAAAGAGUCAAGUGAAUAUGAUGGAAGCCACGGAGUUACCGAUGGAACUACUGGCAGAAUUUGAGUAUCUCAAUUUGGGGUUUGUUGCUAAUACCCAAGGUACUUCCAUGGACAUAGAACCAACUCUUGAGCAAGAGAUCAGAAAAGGUCAGAAAGAGGAUGAAGAGAUCAAAAAGAUACUUAAGCUGAUAGAGGAAGGUAGAGCACCUGGAUUCAAAGUUGAUCAAGAAGGGAUUGUUUGGCACAAGGACCGAUUGUGUGUCCCUGAUAUUCAGAGAAUUAAGGAUGUGAUACUGAAGGAGUGCCAUGAAUCUGCUUACUCUAUUCAUCCAGGAGGUACUAAGAUGUAUCAGGACUUGAAGCAAAACUAUUGGUGGCCUGGUAUGAAGAAAGAUAUUGGUGAAUAUGUGGCAUUGUGUGACACCUGUCAGAGAGUGAAAGCGGAACAUCAGAGGCCAGCAGGGUUGUUGCAACCGUUGAAGAUACCUGAGUGGAAGUGGGAUGAGAUCAGCAUGGACUUCAUAGUGGGAUUGCCGAAAACUCAACGAGGUUAUGACUCAAUAUGGGUUGUAGUAGAUCGAUUGACCAAGGUAGCUCAUUUCAUACCGGUCAGAACUAACUACCGUGGGGAUCAGUUAGCAGAAAAGUAUAUGGAACGGAUUGUGUGUCUGCAUGGAGUUCCUAAGAGGAUUGUGUCUGAUAGAGGUACACAGUUUACAUCAAAGUUUUGGGAGAAGCUACAUGAUGCUUUGGGAACCGAGCUCAGAUUCAGUACUGCUUAUCACCCUCAGUCCGAUGGUCAGACAGAGAGAGUCAACCAGAUAGUAGAGGAUAUGCUCAGGUCUUGUGCUUUACAGUAUGGGGAUAGUUGGGAUGCUAGUUUGCCCUACGCUGAGUUCUCCUAUAACAACAGUUAUCAGACUAGUCUUAAGAUGACUCCUUUUGAAGCCUUGUAUGGAAGGAAGUGUAGGACUCCAUUGUUCUGGUACCAGACUGGUGAAAGGCAAGUGUUCGGCCCUGAUUCAUUGAGAAUAGCCGAAGAAAGAGUUCAAUUCAUCCGACAGACUCUGAAGGCAGCUCAGUCUAGACAGAAGAGUUAUGCUGAUGUGAGACGAAGGGAACUUGUAUUUCAGGCAGGUGAUUAUGUAUACCUGAAAGUGUCUCCGAUGAGAGGUCUAAAGAGGUUCAAUGUUAAGGGAAAGCUAGCUCCAAGAUACGUUGGUCCUUUCAAGAUCUUGGAAAGAAAAGGAGAAGUGGCUUAUGAGCUUGAAUUGCCUGCCAGCUUAUCCAAUGUGCACAAUGUCUUCCAUGUCUCCCAAUUCAAGAAAUGUUUGAGAGUGCCUGAGGAACAGUUGCCACUAGAGGAACUGGAUUUACAGGAGGAUCUAACUUAUGAAGAGAGUCCUAUCAAAGUUCUGGACACAGCGGAGAGAAUUACCAGGAGUAAAACUAUCAGGAUGUGUAAAGUACAAUGGAAACACCAUUCCGAGAAAGAAGCAACCUGGGAAAGAGAAGAUGAUCUAAUAUCCAAAUACCCUCAGUUAUUCCCUGGUUCAUCCUAAUCUCGAGGACGAGAUUCUUUUAAGGGGGGUAGGUUUAUAACACUCCAAAUUUUUGAAUUUCAAAUUCAGUUCAAAUUUGAUUUAAUUUUGGCUUAGUUUGAAUUUUUAGAGAAUUAUUAAAUAAUUUACAAAAUUAAUUAAAAUAAAAUAUAAGGUAGAAACGUGUUUGAUUUUUGCAUUCAUGCUGCUGCAUAAUUUUGAUUGAUUUGAUUUAUUUAUUUUGCUGAUGCUUGUUUUGUUUUGUUUUGGAGCAAGAAAAUUUAAAAAAAAAAAGAGAAAGGGGAGAGCCCCCGCCUGGGCCGACUUCCGGCCCAGCACCCCGCGCCCCUCCCCUCUCCCCUCAUGCCCAAGUGGGCCGCGGCCCAAGCCGCACGGCAGCGGCCGGCCCCGCACUCACCCCCCGCUGCUCCCGCCCGCAGUCGCUGACGCGUGGGCCCCGCGAGUGGGACCCACCGCCUUCUUCCACCUCCGGCCGGGACGGACUCGGGGCGCAACCGACGCCCCGGUUUCCGCGCGCGGCGCCCCCAAUCCGAGCCGCACGCGCCCCAAGGAUCGCCGUGCCUUUAAAUAGCCCCCAGCCGCCUGUGGCAGAACCACCCUAAUUAUAUGGCCCACAUGCACUUGACAUUGUCCUUAAGACCUCUGACUACUGCACAUGAGAGUCAUAUAACUUGGAUAGUCUGUCGGGUGCCCUCGGAGGACCCCGAAUCAUCCACAUUUUAACUCGUACAGGAUCAACAUGGAGUUACCACAACAUUACAACAUUUGUUACAAAAAUAACUUACAUCAGAGUGCGGAAGAUUUAUAACUUAAUUUACAACAUAUGAUGAAGUAUAAACUUAACUAAAUUUCCAAAAGGUGUAUAGAGUAGCGGAAGCAUCUUAGGUGAAGCUUCUAAGGUAGAAGAGGUGGAUAAAUCAUGUCGCGCCCACCGACACGACCACCAUUAGCAGACUAAGUCAGCACCUGCAACAGGGGUUAUAAAACCCUGAGUACAAAAGUACUCAACAAGACUUAACCGACUAGAAAAGAGGUGAAGACUCAGGUAUGCAGGCUAUAGGGAUUCAAGGUAAAGCUUUAUCAAGAUAAAGCAUUUCUUUUGCAUAAAAGCUUACUAAGAUUAAACCUACUUUCAAGUUUUAACUCAAGGUUAUCAUUUAUGACUAACCAAAACUAUUAUCAAACUUGCAUAAUCAUACCACAUCUUUCUUAUACCAAAGAUUCACUUGUUACUACGAUGAUGGUGUGAGGAUUGAGGCUCCAUAUCCGAGGAAACACGGCGAUUCGAAUCGAUUAAACCCAGCUGGGGAUUCAGUACCACACGACAUAUGUAGAACUUAAUCUUGCAUAUGUCAACCUGUUUCUAUAGAUCCUCCCAUACAAGAACGGGUCCAGCGUCACCCGAGAGUACAGUACACCACCAUCCUACAGCCAAUCUAGAUGUUUCCCGGUCAUCUCAGAUCCGUAAGGUGGGUACACGCUACUCUCGCCAUCUUUCCACUCCCAGUACGCGGUUAGCCGUUCUCAAGUAUCGGAAUAGCUAUAGGUAAGGCUUACCGCCGCAUGUGGGCUGUACUCAAAGGUCUCAAUCACAACAGGCCAAUCAACGGUACGGUCCUUAAUCGACUCAGUUGGAGACACUACUUUAAGACUCCAUUCUUAAAGCAAGUCCACCGACCGGUCUCAAGUUUAAACAUUAUUAACCAUAACAGUAUACCACAACGACCCUUCAAACUCUUUCAUUUGAAAACUUAUCUAAUAAGCAGGACUAAGCAUACUAAACAUUUUCAUAAAGCAAGUAUCAAGGUAAAUAUUGAAAUCAUCAAGGUAGAUAAUGCAGCAAAUAGGAUUCACUCAACUCCUAUUCACCUAAUGCAUCAUAUUAACUCAAGUGAUAUAGAUAACUUUAUGAAAAUACAAGGAUAGGGUUUAAUGUCCGGGGCUUGCCUUGGUCGGAGGGGACGUUCGGCAACUCAACAACACUCGAAGGAUCCACAAACUCGGAAGAAACCCACUGGGGAUCAGAUUCUUCCGGAGCGUACUCUAUACGUAAAAGUGCAUAUGCAUGAUUAUGAUAUACUCAUGGCAUGAUAAAGACAGGUUACAUGUUCUUGGAUGACAACCAUAAGCAUGACUAUCUCAAGUACAAUUUACCUUCAUGAUAGAGAAACAAACUAAUCUAGCUAUCAAAGCAUGGAUUAUUACUAAGCAAAUUUUAUCAUCUUCAUUAAGCAAUGUUGUGUAGUUAUUAAGCAACAAAGAUCAUUUACAUGAAAGAAUCCUUAACCAGGGAGAAUGUUAUGCUAAGUGACCACUGGUUGUCAAACAAUCUAAAAUAUCACCCAAAUCCUAAAGGGAUUAAUUAUUUCUAUUUCUUUUAUAAGCAUUUAAAUAGCUUUAUUAAGAAACAGAGCAUACUUAAUCAAAAAUAACUGAAAAUAUUUCUGAAGCUAGGUAAUAUUAACACAAGUUCACAUAUUAAAUUUCAUGCCAUUUGAAUAAGUAUAGCAGUUUCCAUGAAAAAGAUAAAUUUCCAUCACAAGAAAGCAUGUAACAACAAGAUAAAUAAGAAACUCGACAUUUUCUACAAACACAUAGCUAAAUUAUGUAUCUAUAUGAUAUAACAAUUUCAUAUAAAGGUAGAGGAACCAUAUUUUACAUUUAUUCCUUUUUAGUUUAAUUGUAAAUUAUUUAAUAAGCACUACACAAGAUAAAUCAAUAACUUAAUCAUAUGUCAUCUACUGAACAUGAAAUUUUUACUGCAACAUUCAAAUAACAUCAUGAGAACACCAUAAAAAUUUCAGGGCAAUAGGAUCUACACAGAAUAAGAUAUGAAUUUCUCCCUUUUAAACAUAAUUAAAAGGCAUAAAUCAUAACCAAUUAUUUUACUACAAAACAUGAUCAGUUUCAUAUUUUUAAUAAAAACUAGACAUCUCAAGGAGCACAACAAAAUUUGGUUCACCAAAAUUGGAGUUGCCAAACUCCAGAUAUGAAUUUUCAAAGAUCUAACAAAACAUCUACAAACAGGUCCUGAUGGCACUAUUCACCCGAGUCACGAACUUCGCAGUUAGACCCUUGCCUUGUGUCGAAUUCCAACGCGAAGUCCCUGGCGCGAAAUGGAAACAGAGGAGGCGCGCGGGAAAGCCGGAUUUCCGACCGGCGACCGUCUGUUGGCGACAAGGGAGAGGUACUGGAGCAUGGUUGGGCCUAUGUGCACCCUCUGGUGACCACGGCUUGCUGCGAGAAGGCCUGAGGUGGCAUGGCCACGGUGAGGUGCUCCUCGGCGGCGCUUUUGGCCGGAAUGGAGGAAGAACGGACGUAGCCGGGGCUAGAGAUGGUUAGAGCUUGCAUCAAGGGGGCGCGAAUGGUUGCUGAGACCUUGGUAAAGCUGCUGGGGUGCUCUGGUGGCUUAGAAAGGAAGUGGGAGAGGUGAAUUUUUGCGGGCGCAGGGAGCUCACCGGCGUUGAGCGAAAGGAAGAAGAGAGGGUUGCAGUGAGGUGCGAGCCAUGGGAAGAAGUGGAUGAGGACGCCAGGAGCUCGGCCACUUCACCGCGACCGUAAGCAGGCGAGCAGCUGCGUGGCUGGGUGCGUGGCGGCGUCCUGAGCAGCAGUGUCUGCCGCGGCGGCAGUGCAGCCCGUGAUCCUCAUCGGUUACUGUAGCAGGCUUUAUCCAACCAGUUUUGUGGUUUUGCAAAAUUCGUCCAAAUUUUGAACUGAAGACAAAAUUCCACCAAAACAAAAGUUAUUCAGAAUUUUACAAACUACAAAUCUUCUUUUGGUGACCAAAGCCAAUUCUGGGUGGAAAAUGACGAAUUUGACAAAACAGUUUGAAUUUCAAAUCCCAAAUUGGGGAAAUUCCAAAUUUUGAAUUGGAGCAGAUUAGAAUUUCCAAAAUUACUUUUGAUUUUCCAAAACAACUUGAAAAACUCCCAACAUGAAAGUUGUUCAACUUUUCAAGCCCUACAACUCUCAUGUUGACCAUUUUUCAAAAUUCCAAACAGAUUUUGAAUUGGAGAUUUAAGUUUGAAAAGGGGACACUUUCCGGAAAUCUGUAUUUUCAAAAUUACUUUGAAUUUUGUACUGAAACUUCAAAAACUCAAAACACCAAAGUUGUACAUCUUGACAAGAUCUACAACUUUGCUUUUGAACUCAACUUCAAAUUUUGCUUAGUUUUUAAAUUACACAAAAGGGGACAAAUCUAGGGUUUCCCCCCUAAGCCUUUCGGAAAAACUUUCACCCAAGGUUUUUAAAUUCCAAAACAAACAUCCAUACAUAAAAUAAACACACUUUACUUCCUAAACACAUUCAACCAAAAUAACCUUAUUUUAAGUUGAUGCAUAAUAAUGUGCUCAACAAUUAUGCUUUGCAAUGCUUAUGAUGACAUGAUCCAGUUUUAGUAUUCGUAACAUCAGGGAUGUUACAGCCCUUCCCCCUUAAAGAAAUCUCGUCCCGAGAUUUCCAGGGUACUAAAACCCGUGGGGUUAAGUAAUGGAAAAGGAAAUGUGUCAAGCACAUUAACUUCUGAGAAGUUCAUAAAACAAUUACAAUUGGUCCGAGAAUUACAACUAAGAUCAACAGAAUGUUGUAAUCAAUAAGGAAUGUUAGAGAAUUCAUAAGAAGAUAUGAAUCUCCAAAUGAGCUUCCAAGGAGAAUGAAAGCACACUAACUGUAGACUAUAGCGGAGCAUGACCAGAGAUCCCGAUGUUUAACGAGCACCUAGUAGUAUUUCCUUAUGGCUGCAGUCCACAGGAGACUACAAGGUUCGACGCUAUAACGUGAUCACGGAUCAUGGUACCUACUAUAGAGUACGGUUAUAAUAGCUUUCAAUGACCUAUGUUGGUUAUCUAAGUCAGGGGUUUUAGGUAAUUCCAAAGAGAUAUGGGCAUGGAUUCCCAUAAUAUUGUUCAAAGAGUGAGGUCACCUAAGUUGUGGGUCUAUAAGGGAUCAUGAUCAUAGACUUUGAUAACAGCGAGCGCCCGGCAGUAUUUCCUUAUGGUCGCGAGCCAUAGGAGACCCCAGGUUUCGGCGUUGUUACCUAAGUUAUGGGUCAUGGUACCUUAAGAGGACACAAUCAUAGUGACAUUCAAUCAACAGAAAUGUUGACAAAUGACAUCAAGGAGGUAGCAUGUGUCCGAAUUAGAUGAAAUCAAGGAAGGUCACAUGCAUAACAAAUGAAUCAAGGAUUAGGAUCUUAUGGAGUAAAAGAUUAUCAAUCAGUUAACGAAACCUGGUACAUGAUGAGAUUCAUCAAUAAAACAGCUAUACCGAAUAAUAACUGUUUUGAAGCAUAAGGAGGGGCUUUUAUGUAUCAUUAUAUUUGUCAUGUUAUGCUUGAUAUGCAAUAUGCUCGCCUAUACGUCUUUACAACGUUAGCUAGGAGAUAAUUGCUUAUAUAGGGCAUACUUUAUACACUAUCUUUAUUGCUUCAAAAGGGAGGCUGCAAGACUGUUGACAAAGCAUUGUUGGAGUAGUUUGAUUCUUCACUUGGCUUGUCGAAGACUUGAAGCCUCUUUUAAUGUCUUCUAUUUGAGUCAGCAGAAAGUCUUCGUAGAACCCGAACAGCAAGCAUAAGAAAAGUUAAGGAAUAUUUAUAAGUUGUUAUCCUCAAAAACUUUUAAUUUGUAAAUUUCUUUUGAACUUUUCACAAUUAAUGUUGUAGAAGAUCCAUGUAUGAGCUCUGAUACCAGCUGUGGCAGAACCACCCUAAUUAUAUGGCCCACAUGCACUUGACAUUGUCCUUAAGACCUCUGACUACUGCACAUGAGAGUCAUAUAACUUGGAUAGUCUGUCGGGUGCCCUCGGAGGACCCCGAAUCAUACACAUUUUAACUCGUACAGGAUCAACAUGGAGUUACCACAACAUUACAACAUUUGUUACAAAAAUAACUUACAUCAGAGUGCGGAAGAUUUAUAACUUAAUUUACAACAUAUGAUGAAGUAUAAACUUAACUAAAUUUCCAAAAGGUGUAUAGAGUAGCGGAAGCAUCUUAGGUGAAGCUUCUAAGGUAGAAGAGGUGGAUAAAUCAUGUCGCGCCCACCGACACGACCACCAUUAGCAGACUAAGUCAGCACCUGCAACAGGGGUUAUAAAACCCUGAGUACAAAAGUACUCAACAAGACUUAACCGACUAGAAAAGAGGUGAAGACUCAGGUAUGCAGGCUAUAGGGAUUCAAGGUAAAGCUUUAUCAAGAUAAAGCAUUUCUUUUGCAUAAAAGCUUACUAAGAUUAAACCUACUUUCAAGUUUUAACUCAAGGUUAUCAUUUAUGACUAACCAAAACUAUUAUCAAACUUGCAUAAUCAUACCACAUCUUUCUUAUACCAAAGAUUCACUUGUUACUACGAUGAUGGUGUGAGGAUUGAGGCUCCAUAUCCGAGGAAACACGGCGAUUCGAAUCGAUUAAACCCAGCUGGGGAUUCAGUACCACACGACAUAUGUAGAACUUAAUCUUGCAUAUGUCAACCUGUUUCUAUAGAUCCUCCCAUACAAGAACGGGUCCAGCGUCACCCGAGAGUACAGUACACCACCAUCCUACAGCCAAUCUAGAUGUUUCCCGGUCAUCUCAGAUCCGUAAGGUGGGUACACGCUACUCUCGCCAUCUUUCCACUCCCAGUACGCGGUUAGCCGUUCUCAAGUAUCGGAAUAGCUAUAGGUAAGGCUUACCGCCGCAUGUGGGCUGUACUCAAAGGUCUCAAUCACAACAGGCCAAUCAACGGUACGGUCCUUAAUCGACUCAGUUGGAGACACUACUUUAAGACUCCAUUCUUAAAGCAAGUCCACCGACCGGUCUCAAGUUUAAACAUUAUUAACCAUAACAGUAUACCACAACGACCCUUCAAACUCUUUCAUUUGAAAACUUAUCUAAUAAGCAGGACUAAGCAUACUAAACAUUUUCAUAAAGCAAGUAUCAAGGUAAAUAUUGAAAUCAUCAAGGUAGAUAAUGCAGCAAAUAGGAUUCACUCAACUCCUAUUCACCUAAUGCAUCAUAUUAACUCAAGUGAUAUAGAUAACUUUAUGAAAAUACAAGGAUAGGGUUUAAUGUCCGGGGCUUGCCUUGGUCGGAGGGGACGUUCGGCAACUCAACAACACUCGAAGGAUCCACAAACUCGGAAGAAACCCACUGGGGAUCAGAUUCUUCCGGAGCGUACUCUAUACGUAAAAGUGCAUAUGCAUGAUUAUGAUAUACUCAUGGCAUGAUAAAGACAGGUUACAUGUUCUUGGAUGACAACCAUAAGCAUGACUAUCUCAAGUACAAUUUACCUUCAUGAUAGAGAAACAAACUAAUCUAGCUAUCAAAGCAUGGAUUAUUACUAAGCAAAUUUUAUCAUCUUCAUUAAGCAAUGUUGUGUAGUUAUUAAGCAACAAAGAUCAUUUACAUGAAAGAAUCCUUAACCAGGGAGAAUGUUAUGCUAAGUGACCACUGGUUGUCAAACAAUCUAAAAUAUCACCCAAAUCCUAAAGGGAUUAAUUAUUUCUAUUUCUUUUAUAAGCAUUUAAAUAGCUUUAUUAAGAAACAGAGCAUACUUAAUCAAAAAUAACUGAAAAUAUUUCUGAAGCUAGGUAAUAUUAACACAAGUUCACAUAUUAAAUUUCAUGCCAUUUGAAUAAGUAUAGCAGUUUCCAUGAAAAAGAUAAAUUUCCAUCACAAGAAAGCAUGUAACAACAAGAUAAAUAAGAAACUCGACAUUUUCUACAAACACAUAGCUAAAUUAUGUAUCUAUAUGAUAUAACAAUUUCAUAUAAAGGUAGAGGAACCAUAUUUUACAUUUAUUCCUUUUUAGUUUAAUUGUAAAUUAUUUAAUAAGCACUACACAAGAUAAAUCAAUAACUUAAUCAUAUGUCAUCUACUGAACAUGAAAUUUUUACUGCAACAUUCAAAUAACAUCAUGAGAACACCAUAAAAAUUUCAGGGCAAUAGGAUCUACACAGAAUAAGAUAUGAAUUUCUCCCUUUUAAACAUAAUUAAAAGGCAUAAAUCAUAACCAAUUAUUUUACUACAAAACAUGAUCAGUUUCAUAUUUUUAAUAAAAACUAGACAUCUCAAGGAGCACAACAAAAUUUGGUUCACCAAAAUUGGAGUUGCCAAACUCCAGAUAUGAAUUUUCAAAGAUCUAACAAAACAUCUACAAACAGGUCCUAAUGGCACUAUUCACCCGAGUCACGAACUUCGCAGUUAGACCCUUGCCUUGUGUCGAAUUCCAACGCGAAGUCCCUGGCGCGAAAUGGAAACAGAGGAGGCGCGCGGGAAAGCCGGAUUUCCGACCGGCGACCGUCUGUUGGCGACAAGGGAGAGGUACUGGAGCAUGGUUGGGCCUAUGUGCACCCUCUGGUGACCACGGCUUGCUGCGAGAAGGCCUGAGGUGGCAUGGCCACGGUGAGGUGCUCCUCGGCGGCGCUUUUGGCCGGAAUGGAGGAAGAACGGACGUAGCCGGGGCUAGAGAUGGUUAGAGCUUGCAUCAAGGGGGCGCGAAUGGUUGCUGAGACCUUGGUAAAGCUGCUGGGGUGCUCUGGUGGCUUAGAAAGGAAGUGGGAGAGGUGAAUUUUUGCGGGCGCAGGGAGCUCACCGGCGUUGAGCGAAAGGAAGAAGAGAGGGUUGCAGUGAGGUGCGAGCCAUGGGAAGAAGUGGAUGAGGACGCCAGGAGCUCGGCCACUUCACCGCGACCGUAAGCAGGCGAGCAGCUGCGUGGCUGGGUGCGUGGCGGCGUCCUGAGCAGCAGUGUCUGCCGCGGCGGCAGUGCAGCCCGUGAUCCUCAUCGGUUACUGUAGCAGGCUUUAUCCAACCAGUUUUGUGGUUUUGCAAAAUUCGUCCAAAUUUUGAACUGAAGACAAAAUUCCACCAAAACAAAAGUUAUUCAGAAUUUUACAAACUACAAAUCUUCUUUUGGUGACCAAAGCCAAUUCUGGGUGGAAAAUGACGAAUUUGACAAAACAGUUUGAAUUUCAAAUCCCAAAUUGGGGAAAUUCCAAAUUUUGAAUUGGAGCAGAUUAGAAUUUCCAAAAUUACUUUUGAUUUUCCAAAACAACUUGAAAAACUCCCAACAUGAAAGUUGUUCAACUUUUCAAGCCCUACAACUCUCAUGUUGACCAUUUUUCAAAAUUCCAAACAGAUUUUGAAUUGGAGAUUUAAGUUUGAAAAGGGGACACUUUCCGGAAAUCUGUAUUUUCAAAAUUACUUUGAAUUUUGUACUGAAACUUCAAAAACUCAAAACACCAAAGUUGUACAUCUUGACAAGAUCUACAACUUUGCUUUUGAACUCAACUUCAAAUUUUGCUUAGUUUUUAAAUUACACAAAAGGGGACAAAUCUAGGGUUUUGAAAACUAGGGUUUCCCCCCUAAGCCUUUCGGAAAAACUUUCACCCAAGGUUUUUAAAUUCCAAAACAAACAUCCAUACAUAAAAUAAACACACUUUACUUCCUAAACACAUUCAACCAAAAUAACCUUAUUUUAAGUUGAUGCAUAAUAAUGUGCUCAACAAUUAUGCUUUGCAAUGCUUAUGAUGACAUGAUCCAGUUUUAGUAUUCGUAACAUCAGGGAUGUUACACCGCCGCUCGCGAACCCCCCCUAGAACCCUAGCUUCGAAAUCCGCGCCGCCGCCGUUCUCGCCAAGCUCGCGCCGCCGCCGUUGAUACCGCCGCCGUCGAGCUUCUCUUUGACUUCGUCGUUUCGCGGAGGUGAGCUCGUCAUCGCGCUCGUCGUGACGCGCCGACCCCGCCCGUGCCCUCGGCACGCUCCCCCGUGCCCUGCAGCACCGCCGCCGAAGCUCCGGGCGGCGCCAAUGGCGCCACCGCCGCCGCCGGCCGCCCCUGCGCUCCGCACCGGCGCGCGGUCCACCGUGGACCGCGGCCCUGCGCCCCCGUGCGGCCGGUCCACUGGACCGGGUCCAGGAGGCCGCCCCCCGCCGCUCCGCAGGCGCGGUCCACCAUGGACCGCGGCCUUUCCCCCCCCCCCGCGCCCCGGUCCACAGCACAGUGCCGUGGACCGGCCACUCCCGAGCCGCCACGUGGCCGAGCCGGCCAGCACCCACGCGCGCCCCUGCACGUUUUGCAAAAAGGCCCCUGUUUUUAUUUAAAAUUAACCCGCUAUCCUAUGCAGUUUAAAAUAAUUAUGUUUAUGCCCUUAGUUUUCGCAGUUUAACCCCUGGCUCGGUUAGAAUUUAUUUAUUUAGUCCAAAAUGAGUUUUAAUUCAGUUUUUAAUUAGUUUUAAUUACGAAAAAUAGUUCAGUUUAUCUACAGAAAUGCCAUUCAACUUGUUUUAGCCAUAACUUUUGCAUCGUGACUCCGAUUUAGGUGAUUCUGGUCGCUAUGGUUUCGUUUCGUCGAGUAGAAUACAGUAAUGCAGUUGCUUUUUGUUUCCGCAUGCUUUGGUGUACUGUUUCUGAUUAAGUUUGUUUGCUUGCAUGUAUUGUUCCUAUGAUUGAUGAUUGUCGCGUAUAGCCAACGAGACGUUCGUGAAGGAAGAGGUUCAGGAUCCCGCUGAGUUCGAGCAACCCGACUUCGAUCAAGGCAAGUGCAGACACCGUUUGAUCAUUUUGAACCUACUCAUUAAUGCCAUUUACUUUAUAUGCAUGUGUCCAAUGAAUGCAAACCCUAAGGACAUGACUAGCUUUGCUUAUUAUUCCUUGCUCACCUGGGGUUAUGUAUUUGGGUAGACUAGGCUAUACUAGGUCUGCUUAGCUGCUCUACUCAUCUUAUACACAUGUCUAAACAAGAAUUACUCUCUCUCUACUUAACUUGAUGCUUAAACUGUGCUGAAUCUUUGGUCACUGCGGUGAUGGCGAUGUUGGAUGCUUGCGAGCAUCGUGAUGAUGGUGGUGACAGGGGGAGCGGGUACCGUUGGUGGUCCGGUUUGCCGGGCGUACCCGUCUCUGCUCUCCGUAAGGACUUAGUCAGGGAGCGGCCCCCCUGGGACUUACAGUGCAGCUCCAAGCUAUAUGGCUCUGGCUUGACUAAUUAGCAGGACCUCCACUAGUAGGGUGUUACUUUCCGGGUAGGCGUGAGGAAGUAACUUGGGUAAUGAAUAUUAAGUUGUCGGUUGAUCGGUACGCCAUGGCUAUGGGUAUCGACUGCCGAGCGCCCCGACAAAAACUUGCGAGUGGCAUCCUAUUAGUUGGACCCUGUGAAAGGUCUCGUAGUGAGACCCUGCCUGCUCACCUUGGAAGUGUUUUGGGGAGUCGCGACCCCGGGCAAAUGGGAAUCACGACUUGGAGUGAACGUGCACACCUCUGCAGAGUGUAAAACUGAUAUAUCAGCCGUGCUCACGGUCACGAGCGGCCCAGACCCUCACUUGAUGAGCAAAUUGGAUUCACUGGUUACUUGGAGAUGGACCUUGGCGAGGUUGCUACCUCGUGUUUUGGCGGAAUGGCUAUUCCGUGAUGGCAGGAUUGCUAUCCUGUGGUAAUAAUUGGGGUUAAUCCCUGGAUUACUAUAAUAGUUAGGAUAGUCAUUUAAAAGAUGCUAAUUACUACUUACACUAAUUAAGGGUUGGGUUUAUACUACUCAUAUUUAGUAAUAGGUUGUUCUAGUAAUUGUUAUAAUUAAAAGCGAUCAACUAAAAUGCUACCGCAGUCAAACCAAGUCAACUUUACCUUGUUUUAAGCCUUGCAUGUCAUUACUUUCCGUCUGUGCUUGCUGAGUUCGACAUGAGCUCACCCUUGCUAUAAUCAUUAAAGGUUGCUCGGACGAUCAGGAGUACAAUUGCGAUUUCCCUGAGGACUACCCUGAGUCUCCUGGUUGUUAGGCUCGUGUGGUUCUGCCGUCGACCUUCCUGUGGCAAGGUGGUCCUGCUACGUCGGCGUUUAGUUUUCCCUUUAUUUAUGGAACAGUUUAGUUUAUGUUUCCCCUCCGCACUUUGAUAAACAUUUGGCUUGUAAUAAUGGUACUUUUACUCUCAUUUAUGUAAUUCGUUUGAACACUGUGUUUUGUACCAUUGAUGAUGUCGGUCCAUGUGUGUGAAUUUGAGAUCCUGGCGCACAUGUGAUUUGGCACCCGAAUGCUCUUUUACAUCCGGGUGUGACAUCGCGAGAUAAAUCUUUUAAGCCUAGUUAGUCCAUAAUUGAACAAUAUUUGCCAAAAAAACGAAAGUGCUACAGUAUCCGAAAACUUUUCAUUUUGCCAACUAAACAAGGCCUAUGCUACAUGGGCAUCACCACUCUUUGCUUGUACCGUCUUGUUCGUUUGAGCUUAUCAGCCGAAUCUGUCAGUCAUUCAACAAUGUUUUUCUCUCAUAAUAAGCCAACAAUACUUUUUGUCAUAUCUUAUUAGCCAAACAAACAAGGCUUGCAAAAUUUCUCUGUUACAGACAAAAGGUUCUGUGAACUAUAAAUCAACAAUGUAGCAUUUAUAUACCUUAUUAGAUGGCCCCUUUCAAUGAGAACACAAGUUUUAUAGACUUAGAGCAACUCCAACGGCUUGGCAAAAUUUAGUAGUCAGAUUCUAUUUGUUUAGCAACUUUGUCAAAUAGAAAACUUUUGAAAAAGAAGAGGUCUAUAACAGCUUUGCUAUUUUACAAAAUUAGAUAGCUAAUGUCACUGGUUGGCUAUAUAUAGCCACCGAAAAUCAAGAGAUAGCCAAGUUUGUAUUUUACAAAACCAGAUAGCACAUCUGUUCGAACCACCUACAUUUUAGGAGCGGAUCUGCAGCCCAGGCCUAGUCGUUGGCCCAAUAACAUCAUAUAUCCUAUGUAAACUUUUAGCCCAACAAGGCAACAACCAAGGCCCAACACAUAACUGGCCUUAGCUCCAAGGCCUUGUUUACUUCCAGCCCAAAAUCUAAAAAAAAAUUCAAAAUUCUUCAUCAAAUUGAAUUUUUAGACAAAUUCUUCAACAACCAAGGCCCAACGCAUGGAGUAUUAAAUAUAGACAAAAAUAAAAACUAAUUACACAGUUUGGUCAAAAUUUAUAAGACAAAUCUUUUAUGCAUAGUUAGUCCAUAAUUAGACAAUAAUUAUCACAAACAAACGCAAAAUCAUGAACUAAAGACGGCCUAAAACUCUCACCUGUCUGUCUGUCUCCCAGUCCCUACUACGCCACACCAGCGUAUGCCCCACGACCCGCCAUAGUCACGCACGAGGGGAGGGCAGAAGGUGAGGAAUUGGCCGCCACUGACCGCUACGUCGCACGCAGCUGGAUCCCAGAGCCGCCCAUCCCGCCGGCAUCCCCAACUUCUUUCGCCAUUCCGCGUCCACGGCUUCCGCUUCCGUCUUGCUGAUGGUCGCCAGCCCCUAGACACUAGGUAUUUAUUUUCAUCUCAACAUAUGUGUCUGCAACAUUCUUACCAUCCUAGAGGCCUAGUCUUGAGUAAAACCGGGCUCUGCCACCGCUACUUUUUGCUAUGCAAAUUCUAAAACAACCUCCACAACAAGAAUAACCAAGCUGUUGGAGUUACUCUUAAAUGCCAGCAAUUGUAAAAGCUUGUUGUGACACUACUCUGGUAGACAAAGGUAACUUGUGUUUCUUUGCUUCAAUUAGCAGAACCAUUUAAGUACGAUAUGUAGACAGCAGGUGGUGCAUAUCAGUGUUCAUUGUCAGGUGGUUUAGUACAAAGCAUUAUCGAAACUUCACGCACUCCGCAUAACACUGAAGGCAGCAUUGCAGAUGCAAAGUAUUCAUAGCUUGAAGAAUAAAUAUAACCAAGUAAUCAUGAUGCAUAAAUAAUAAUUAGCUAAUUUGGACGCCACCAUCUCAUCAGCUAGAAUGGUUGUAUUAGGGAAAAAAAUUAUACAGUUUGUACCGAGGCUACGAGAUCAAGAGCUUUUUCUGUGCUGAAGCAUAAUGAACCUGGAUGAUGAUAUAGAUCCUUUCAAUCGAGAUGGCAAUGGUUGUCAUACUUGAGUACUCAACUACUCCAGUGGCAAUAGCCAUCUAGAGAAUUGCUAGCAGGUUCACAUGUUCAGUGUCAAGAGAAAUUGCAUGCAAAAAAACCAAAAUAACUCAACUCACCAUGAUGGCAUGAUGCAUAAAUAAUUAGGUACUUUGGAUGCCACAAUCUCAUCAGUUAGAACGGUUGCAUUAGGAAAUUAUAAAAAAUGAAUACAUAUGCAGGUAAUUAGGGAGUUGAGUAUGCCACUGCAAGAGGUACAAUGUUCCAAUAGAAACAGCCUACAGAACCGUACAGAAAUCAAAGAGGUCAUUGUAGUUUGUUAAGGCAACAGAAAGUUCUAGUUUUCUAUACCAUAAAAAAGAAAUCCUGAUUAGCAAACCAUCCAACCAUCAAAUUAACAUGCUGAGAUUAUUAGUACCUUGUUGCAGCCGACCUUGAAACUGAACAGGGUUGAUCUGUUUUUUCAGCAAGCAUGCUCUGACCAUGCACCCGAUAAAAUACUGCGUUUCUGAACAUUAUCUAUUUGAAGAAUUAAUAAUCUGUAGUGCGUCAUCCUCAUGUCGAUAAGAUUAGUUACACAGUAAACCGACUGAUAUUUGGUUGGAUGUACACUGAUCAUGUGUUUGAGCACAGAAGCUGAGAAGCAGAAACAUCGAUGGAUCGAUAAGAUUCUUUGUUGCAGUUGAAAAACCUUCAAAAAUAUUUAAGUCGGUUCCAAACUUAUGAACUGAAUAUAUAUCAUCAACGGGGGAUGAUGUAUAUGCAGAACCAAGCCGUCGUAAGGUACAACUGGUGGUACGUGGCCAACAAAUCUAUGAUCUUGUCAGCCUGUACCAUGUAACAAAAGCAUACGGUGAGCCUCAUAGCAGAGGUUAAAAAAAGACUUGCCAACAAAGUAACAUUCAUGACAGAGCACAGCGGAAAAAGUAGUGUGUAAAUGCCAUGUAUAAGUGGCUUCGUAUUCUUUCCAUUUUUCAUGACUGCUAGCAAAGAAUGGGUUGUAGACUUGGACAACAUUUGUAUUGCGAUAUGGCAGAACAUGCAUGAAGCGGAGGCUCUACACUAAUCUGUAAGUCAGCAAGAAUUGCAUAAACAGAAUCAACAUUUAGGUUAACUGGAAACCGAAGAAUGACAAUUUGUAAGAAGUAUCGUAGCACACCAUGAUCACCGGAUUCAUUGUUUUUUGUGAAAAUUGCCAGGAAAAACAAGGUAUGACCUGUUAUGUCAACAUGGUAUGAAUGGUAACUGUACAAAUGAUGAUUAUGGGAGCAGUUAUUAAGAAAUCAUAAAAACUAAAACAAUAUUAGCGAAAAAAAUACCUGUUUAGGUUCAGCUCGUUGAUCAAACAUACCCGUGCACGUCUCCAUCACAUUCUCGUUGUCGGCAUGCGCUAUCUGGUAAAUUAAGGAUGAGCUAUAAAUGGGUAUCCACAGUUCUUCUCUAGUCUAACCUAUUUAAGUAAAUGAACGAGACAGACACGGUGGUUGGAACCUUGGAGGAAAAUGCAAGAUCGUGUGGCCUAUGGUUUGCGCUUCAAAAUACUACGGCGGCUUGGGUCUGCCAAACAUGAGUCCUCGGGUUCACCCUUCGCCUCCAUUCGGACUGGCAGAAGAGGGUUGCAGAUGCGCCACCAUGGACCAAGCUGCCGUCCAAACUAGAGAAGCUUCUGAGCAUGUUCAGCUGCUCCGUCGUGGUCGAGCUUGGCCAUGGUGCUUCGGCUCGCAUCUGGACUGAUUCUUGGCUGCCAGUCAGGUCAAUUGCGACCUUUGCCCCGCACUUGUUUCGCACCAUUGGUCGUUGCUUUCUAUUGGUAUCCAUCAAGGAGGUGCUCUCCGGUCACCAUUACUGCGUCACAUCUCCGGGGCACACACCACGCCAGUGUUGUAUGAGUUUGUUGAUCUCUGGCAAAAGCUGGAGGACGUCCAGUUGCAACCGCUUGUGAGUGACCGCUUUAAUUGGCGAUGGACGCCACAUAGCACGUACUCAGCGUCCUCAGCAUAACGCUCAUUCUGGGCAUGUCCUCCCUGUUGGGAGCCAAGGAACUUUGGGAAGCUUCCGCGCCGCCAAAGGUGAAACUCUUCUGCUGGUUAGCCCUGCAUGGUUGCAUCUGGACGGUGUUAGGUUGAUCUCUGCCAACCCAAGUCCAAAGAAUGCCCCGGACCCUUGACCUCGUCCUGAUCGGGGGCGUCCAGCCCAAUGACUUGGCUGGUGGGCACCCGUUGCAGUGUAUAAAGAGAGGGUGGGGGCUAGGGCACAAGGUACGACGUUCAUCGCUACAGUGCCGUGAGUCCCCACCCUAACCCUAUACCGAUCCAAAGGGAAGCACUGCCAGCGACGGGAAGUCCGCUGCCGCGACUGCCUUGGACAACGUGCUUCUCUGCGAAGGUAAGGUUAGGUAUCUCUCUCAUCCUCUCGUCCUCACUUCCUCUCUGGAUCCAAGAUGUUCUAUGUUAUUUAUCCCAAAUGGAAAAGCGGAUUCCCCACUGAUCUACACUCUAGACGAUCUAAGAAUAUAACAAAUGGUAUCGGAGCCAAGGUUACCGUCGCGCGAGGCACCGCCCUCGCGCGGGCAAUGUGAGAAGAGAAAGAAAUCGGAUGAAUCCCAAACAUAAUGAAAGAAUCUUAACCUAAAUCCUAACGCUCGAUUAGGGUUUCGGUAAGAACUAACAGAGUAGGGAGGGAUCCGAUACGGUCGGAUCCUACCCCUAACCUUAGAAGGGAAAGAAGACGACGGAGAGGAUGGAUCCUACCUAGGGCCCACCUUGCUGCCGGCCGUCAAUCGACGCCGCGUAGAAGAACCGCGCCGCCUCUUCAUCGGCGUGCGCGUAGCUAAGCUGCACCGUCGUGGAAUUAUUCGACGGACGCGUGCUCGUCCUCGUGGGGAACGCGCUCGCCGACGAAUGACUCCAUGGCGGCGCCGCCGUUUCUCCUCUCCGGUCAUCACCGGCGGCCGGCUCCUGCUGCUGUUUUUUGCGGCGUGGGAGAGAGGAGAGGAACCAGAAAAGAAAAGAAAGGAAGGAAAGAAGGGGAGGGCCAGGGGCGCUCUCCCUCGGCGCUCUCUCCCCACCGGCGCUGAUCGCGGCCGGGAUCCAUGUCUGCCGCCGCGAAAGAAACAGAGGGAAAAAGAAUGGACUAGGGUUUAGGGAAGUCACCGGCUCAGGGUUUUUGUUUGCCGAGAUUGAAGAACGACCGUCGAUCUCGAUCGGACGGUGCAUAACAGCUGGACUGGGGCCCAAGAGGGUAACCGAAUUCCCGGCCCAGGCCCAGGUUGCGGCCUCGGCACGGGGAGAGCCGCUCGCCAUCUCCGCCGAUGGGUCGGCCUGCUUCGCCGACGCACGGGUCCCGGGCUGGGGUGGAAGGUGGCCGCGGGCCACUGCUGUGCCGCAGCAACAAUCGUGCGCAGGGGGAAAGAGAGAAGACCAUGGACUUUUCUCAAAAAAAAAAGAGAGAAGACCAUGGACCGGCCAGCCUGGGCCACGAGCUCUAACUAGGCCAUGGGGAGAGGAAAGGGGAGCGCGAGCUGCUAGAGAUUUUCGUUUUUCUAUUUUCCAGAAGCAAAUUUUGAAUGCAGUUUUGAAUAAAAUUGUAUAGUUUUGAUGCUAUUUUCUGUACAAAUAUUGUCCAAAGAUAAUUUUUCACAGAAAAUAGUAAAGUAUCUUAAAGAGUUUCUAGAAAAUAAAAUUAAGAGUAUACUAAAGUUUUCGCUGCGUACUUAUAAUUAUUUAUUUAUUUUUUCAUUGUUAAAGUCGAAGUAAAGGGAGAGUUUAAUUUUGAAAAAUAAAACAAAUACAGAUUAUUAUAAUAUUGUAAUUGUUCUAACCAAAGUUUAUUAAUAGCAAUAUUAUGAUGUUAUUAUGGUUUUUUGUCAUGCAUUAAUUCUAUUUUUGGCCAAAGGUAAUGUAGAAUUAGUGUAAAAGAAUUAAUUGUAUGUUAUAAUCUAAUGUGGAGAGCAGUUACAAAUAUUCAAUAAAUUAUAAUAUUUUUAUUUUCUGAGCAAAGUUGAUGAUAAAAAUAUUAUAAGUUAUGUUUAAAGUUUAAAUCUCUGAUGAAUUUUGCAUGAAAGUGACCAAUUUGUUAGAAAAUGGAUAAAGAUUUAGAAAUGUUCCUGAAAAUAGAAAAUAGUAGUAUUUUUCACAUUUUCGUUGUAGAGAUUAUUAUGAUACUGUCCUUUUCUGAGCAAAGUUUUCAAUAGUAAUGUCAUGAUAUUGUUUAUCAAUUAUAUAUAGUAAUGUCAUGAUAUUGUUUAUCAAUUAUAUGCAUUAAUUCUAUUUGUACCCAAGGGUGAUUUAGAACUGAUGUAGAAGAAUCAUGACAUUGUUUAUCAGUUAUAUGCAUUAAUUCUAUUUCUGCCCAAAGGUGAUUUAGAAUUGAUGUAGAAUGAUGAUUUAUUCUAUUUCUAUCCAAAGGUGAUUUAGAAUAUAAAAAGAAAGAUUUAAAAUUUUAAUGUGCAUGUCUUUAACCGGGUUAUUUUCAUGCUCCUUAUUUUCAUGCUCAUUAAUAUAAAAGGAUCUGCUACCUCGCUUUCUUAAAAGCAGAGGCUUUGCCUCCUUUGCCUCCUUUUUUUAAAAGAAAAAGGACAUCUUUGGAACUAAACAAGGCCUUACACGAGGAUGAGUCAAUACAACAAUUAUUGUUUAACCAUAAACUAACUAGACUCAAAAGAUCGUGUCUUAUAAAUUACAGAGAAAUUGUGCAAUUAGUUAUUAUUUUUAUCUAUAUUUAAUACUCCAUACAUGUGUUGAAAGAUUUAUUUAAUGUAAUGAGGAAUCAUGAGAACUAAACAAGGCCUUACACGAGGAUGAGUUGAUACAACACAUUUAUGUGGGUCUGUCGCCACCAGCAGAGAAUUGCGAACAGACUGUUCGCUUGAACUUACUAACUAAAUCAGUAAUAUUUUUUUAUAACAAAUCAACAAAAAGUAAUUUCUAUCAUAGCUUAUCAGCUAAACGAACAAAAAAUAAUGUAACGUGCCACAAAAAAUAAUGUGACGUUGACUUCCGCCUCAGUCCCUCACAAUACAUGAGAUUGGAUUGCAGCUAAACAAAAGUUCUGUAAUGUAUUCCAAGGUAUUUUAGAUUGUCAUCUAUUACUUAGAUAUCAAAAUUUGCAUGCAAACCUGGUAUGACACAGGCAAGUUCAAGGACCAAGUGACACAUCCACACAAUGACACUAUACAUAAAUAUAAUACUUAAGGCCUGUUUGGUACAGCUCACAACAGCUUCAUGAGCUGUUUUUUUUUGCCAAACACUUAUUUCCAAAACAACUUCAUUGAAGCUGUUUUUCUCCUCCUCUCACAAAGACAUAGUUGGAUGAAGCUGGAAAAAAGUAGCUUAUUGCAGCUUCUCCCUCAUUUCUCUCUCUCAACUAUGCAUGAAGUAGUUGGUGAAGCUAUUUUGCCAAACACUUUUUCCGAAACAGCUCAGCUUCAUCUAGAAAGUCACUCAUGAAGCUAUUUUCUAAAAAAACAGCUUCACUAGUGAAGUUGAGCUGUGCCAAACAAGCCCUUAAAAGAAGACGCCACAAACUAUUUUUUAACAAAACCCACGGAACAUGCCGCAAACUUGAUGUCUUAUCGAUUUAUAUAUACAGCGUAAAAAUAGUAAAUACGAUCCCUUCCUAGUCCACAACACGAAAUAGGUCCUUAAAUUUUAUUGAGAAACACGAGAAGCCUUUCCUGUGGAACCAUCGGAUAUACAGAAGAAGAAAGCAAAAUGGUUGGCAGGAAGGCAUGUCCAAAUGAGUUGGCAAGGCUAGCAGGAAAGUGAUGCAGGCAGACAUGACUCGAUCCAUAUCCUUCUCCCUGUAAUACAUAAAUACUGUGAGAAAAAUGGUCUAGAUGGAUGAUGUUCAUAUUAUACUUGCUUCACUUAGCAAGAGAAGGGUACCAUGCAAUAUGUGGCAUACCAAGCUCUUGAAUCUUCUCCCUGUAAUACAUAAAUACUGUGAGAAAAAUGGUCUAGAUGGAUGAUGUUCAUAUUAUACUUGCUUCACUUAGCAAGAGAAGGGUACCAUGAAAUCUGUGGCAUACCAAGCUCUUGAAUCGUGCCUGGGCAAAUCACAGGACCUCUACCAGACCGCGUGUCAUGAAGCUUGCUGCAGAGGGUGGUGCAACGAAACGUCUAGUAAUCAUCCGUGGGGCAGGCGCCCAGGGUCUGCCAGUGCAUACAAGGAUUAAUUUGUAAAGUAGUUUUUUUAUAACAAACUUCAUUAACUUUAACAGCAACAUACAGAGAGGAGCCUAAAAUGCUCCCAGGUUACAGACUGCAAUGCCUCUAGACAAGGCAAGAAAGAUAGCUGCUAUGAGCAGAACAUGUACACAAGAAUUGGGUAAAGGCAUGUGAUGGACUAAAGACUGCGGAGUAGCAUUUAGUGAGCGGUGAAUUUUGAGAGUCUUGAAGCCGUUUCCUGCCAUAUGUUCUAGGAAUACUUACUUUUUGUAAAGGCUUCUAGUUGUACUGUGCCUCUGCCAAGUGCUAUAUUUACAGGAUACAAUUGACAGAAACAGACACUAAAGAUAAUGAGUGGUAUACUUAGCUUCCAUACUAAUAAUUUCCAAGAUUUAAAAAUUGACAACUCUUAUUAUUCAUAAGCCUGAUAAAUAUAUUUCACUUGAACUUGAAAGCUACAAUGUUUAGACACCUUUGGAAAACAUUAUUUAGUUUCAUGAACCCAGUGCUUUGUCAUAUUAAAUUGACUUGAUUCACGUGAAAUUGCAUGCGAAAUUUCUGUGUGCCAAAGGGGGCCUUUGCAGUACUUUUCUAGUUGGAGAAAGAUGGUGGUCUCCCAGUAAGUGAAAUGCCAAGACAGGGUCUGCUUGGAAUGCGGGAAUUCCCGAUAUAGGUUUAAUUUCACUAGGAAGAUGCAGUUUUUUUUUUUUUUGGGGGGGGGGGGAUGCUCCAAAAAAAAACGAGGACAACAGUGAAGAACAGGUGCAUAUAUGCGUCAAUAAAUAAACAUACAACCAACCAGCACAAAUCAAUUAAGUAUAAUAUGAUACAUAAAAGCCAGCACAGCAGCAAAGCAAUACAUAUUAUUAUUACCUUGAGAGGAACUUGGAGAACUCGGAGGGGAGGAAGGGCAAGGGACAUGCGGACUUUACUUGGGUCAACUCAAUCUUAUCAGUGUCAAGGUCCGCAAACCCAUUGAGAUACUGAGAACAUGACUCCACGAUCUUGGUGCUCAUGUUGAUGGUGACCACCCACAUCUUCAUCAUCACGUACUCAUAGUCACAGCAAAGGAAGUGCACCACAUGUGGCCUGUAGAUGUCCACCUGAGGGAACAUGAGAAUGUGGCGUGGGAGGUCCUUUGGGGUGUUUGCAGACCAGAGCUCCUUGAGGUGAUCGUGUAGUCCUUCUCCCACUCCAUGGAUUCUAAGGAGAGGGUGUGGCAGGUGAUGGUGAAGCCACCAACACUGGUUUUGAGUGCCCCAUAGCCAACGCCGUCAUGGCGGGCAACGUCGACGAACUUGAGCUCUCCACCACCGAUGUCAGACGCGCCACGAUACAGCCAACUGGAUGGUUUGCCCCGGAUAGGAAACUCAUCCAGAGGGAAGCGGAGGAAGGAGACGGUAGGGGUGGGAUUUCCAAACACGUCGCAGAAGAUGAUGCCACGGUAGUAGUCGAUCCAGCACAGCCAGCGGUCAACAGGGAUGACAGUGUCGGUCUGCCAGAUGCAGAGUUGCCAGUUAUCAUCAGGGUCAGGGUUCUUGCAGAAGCUGCGGAUUGGUACGCGGCAGGAGUUCCAUUCGCCGCAAAUGCCACCAGAUCUGGGUAUAGAUUGUUGGUGCAGCCAGAAGAUGUCGGCACAGACAUCACGGCGCAGAUAGUUGGUGCCGCCAGGCCUGAAAAGUCGUAGUUCUGCUACCACGAACUCCUCUUGGUCUCGGCACAAGAUGCCCAUGGAUCGGACCGCCAUCAGACGCCGCCGCCGCUGCUCCUUAGGAGGAGGAGGAGGAGGAGGAGGAGCAGCAGCAGCAGCAGCAGCGCGCCGGCGCCGGCGACGGCCACGGCGACCAUCGCGGAUGGGCGCGAUGGAAUAAUCCACUAACGGCUUGUCCGGCAAGUUACAAGCGGGCAGUGCUUUGAGUUUGGAAGGGUCGUCGGCAUCUGAGGCGCUGUAGAUGAAGAGCUCCUGCCGCAAAUCAAAUGUAUCGUCCUCGAUACAGACGCGAAACAGGACGAGAUGUUGGUGGCUCGCCAGGAUGGCUAAGGGCACCUGUUUUAAGGGAUCCGGAAAGCCCGGCAGCCGCGCGUAGAGGCGGGAGAUCGCCGGGGGCUCGGCGAGCUCGAAGGCGACGUCGAAGGGUGCCUCCCACCAGGUGAUGCCGGAAGCCCUGAUGGGCAACUUGUUCUCGUCCGGGAAGGCCUCAUCCAUGCGGAAGACGAAGCGCUCCAGCGUCACCCACUUGAGGGGGGAGGCGGCGGCAGACAUGACCGCUGCCAUGGCGACCUUGAGACAGAUGAGGAAAUUAGGGGACCAAGGGGAAUCACUCUGAGGACAAAUCGGGAGAGUUGUAAGAUGAGGUGCCUUACCUACGGAGAAGUAGGCAGCUGCCGGCUGGCCGCCGACCGUCGAGAAGAGCGGAGGGGAAGGCGGCAAGACGCGUGCAAUAGCGGCGCUCCGGCGAUGCGGCGGCUUCCCGAUUCUCGAGAGGCGAUGCGGCGGCUUCCCGAUUCGAGACAGAAAAACAGAUCUAUGGUUACCUUGUUGAGUUCAAAAAAAUUUUGCAAAAUUUUUCAGAUUUUCCGUCACAUCGAAUCUUUAGACACAUGCAUGAAGUAUUAAGUAUAGACAAAAAUAAAAACUAAUUGUACAGUUUGGUCAGAAUUGACGAGACGAAUCUUUUAAGCCUAGUUAGUCCAUGAUUGGACAAUAUUUAUAAAAUACAAAAGAAAGAGCUACAGUGUCAAUUUUGCAAAAUAUUUUGGAACUAAACAAGGCCAGCACAUAUGCACUUUGGGUCAUAGGCCUUUACGAAAGCUGUAACGCUGGGCCGGGACUAUGGUUCAGGAUCCAAAAAGUUUUUUAAAUUGUAACUCUGUAGUAUUUUUUUAUUUGAUAAUUAUUAUUCAAUUAUAGACUAAUUAGACAGAAAAAAUUCGUAUCGUAAAUUAUAGACAAAUUAUACGAUUAGCUAUUUUUAUUUAUAUUUAGUGUUCCAUACAUGUGCAGCAAGAUCUGAUAUGAUGAUAAAUUUUAAAAGGUUUUUGGAUUUUGGAACUAAACGAUGUCUCACUAGUUUGGGUAAGAGACGCCAACCGGUUAGGCCACUUUCCUCCGCCAGCUGGUGCAGGGAAGGGUGGACCUCUAGAGUCAUCAACAGGCAGAUGGGUUUGGCAAGAGGACAAGUGCCGAGGCCCUGGGUGGGAGAAGGGAAGUGGGGUGGGAGAGGCUUCUGAAACAAUGGGUGUAGGAGUUGGAGAGGAUGUGAGGGGGUCUGACAUUGUUUUAAGCCUGAAUGAUGAGGGUGGCGGGAACAAGGAAGGAGGCGAGGCUGUCAUGACGAGUGGAAGAUGCUCCAAGUGUUCAAAGAAAGGCCAUCAGGCUGCGGCAUGCAAGACUGAGGUGUACUGCGUCAUUUGUGAUUCACAUGAGCACAUGAAUCACCGAUGUCCUCUCCUCAAGGCGCCAAGGCCUGUGGCUCAUGCUGCGGGGUAUGCUGUGAUGGAUUUGGGUUUCUAUCAUAUCCCUCAUCCGCCUCUGCCUAGGGUGAAGAAGGAUUCCAAGAUGGCUCGAGUAUCAGUGGUAGGAGGUGUGUUGUCUGGAGAUCAGCUGAUCAUGCAACUUAGGAGGAUUGUGCCAGUCAAAUGGAAUUGGGAGUUAAAGGUUCUUGGGGAAGGGAAUUUUCUUACCCAGUUCCCUUCCAGGACUGAGCUUCAACGCUCAAUUGCUUAUGGAGGAGCUGAUGCAAAGGGGGAGGGAGUGUCGGCUGGUACGCGAUUGCAGUUUGAGGAAUGGCAGGAAAAGGAAGAAGGUUUUUUAUUACCUAAAGUUUGGGUGAGGGUGAGCUGUAUUAGGCAGCCACUCCGAGAGUUUCCCAUUCUGUGGGCAGUGGGUUCUCUAUUGGGCUCAACCCAAACAGUGGACAUGGAGACCACCCGGAAGAACGAAUUCGGUCGAAUCAUGGUCGCGGUACUUGAUCCUAAGCUAAUUCCAAAAAAGUUGGACGUUGUUAUCGGAGACCAUUAUUUUGAUUUGGAGUUCGAAGUUGAGACGAGAGGCUAUGAUGAGAACGGAGAGGAGGUAGACAUUGAGUGGGAUGACGGAGGAAAUGAGGGGGAUGGUGAGGGAAAGGAACAGGAUCCGAACAGCGAGAACGGUCUCUUUGAUGACCAGGCUUGUGAGCGGAAUAACAAGCGUGCUAAGAGGAACGAAGGGGGUCAUGGCGGGGGUGGAUUGGAGAAAGGUUCUCGGUCUGGGAAGGAGGCUCCAGUCUGUAAGGGACAUUUUUUGAAUGAAGAGAAGUUUCUGGAAUUCCUUAAGUGGAAGGCUAACAAGGUUAUUGAGGUAGCAGUGGAGAAGGCUCUGGAGGAGGCUUCCACAAAGGUGGCGGAGGAGAAGGAGGGUUCCUGGGAGGAGGAGGCUUCGGCGACACCUGAGAUGAGAGGUGACUCCUCUGUUGGGACAAAAGAAGAAGUGCAGGCGAUGGUGGUGGAAGUAGGUGUUGCUGUUUCUCAGGUAGAGGAGUUGGAGAAAGGUUCAUCUAAGCUGGAUUCAGAGGAGCGUGGCAUGACGGUGGCUCAGGAUAUUUUUGCUGAUGCAAAGUUGGUGGAUGUUGCGAUGAUUCCAGAGGUCGUGCUCUCCCCCACCAGGGUGAGCCCGCGUUUGGCUGGGGUGGCGGCUGAGCACACUCUAGUGCGGGCUGAGCGCUUGGUGCAGUCCAAGAAUUUGGAGUGUAACAAAGGUAACAAAUCUAUGGUCCCCUCUGCUUUUUCUUCUGUCUCUCAGGCUGUAGAUAAUCUGCGGGCGAUAGGCUUAGGAGCGGGCAGUAGUGGUAGUGCUUCUUUUGAAACAAAUGUGCAAAGUCUUUUGGAAAAGGAUUUUAGCCAUGUUGGGCAUGGGGCUGUUCUGGGGACAGGGGAGACAGAGGUUUCAGAUGCUGAUUCAGUUGAAUCAUAGGGGUUUGAGAGAAAAGCCCUAGAAUUUCUAUGUGGGGAUCUAAUGGAGGAAAUUUUUGAUGAUGACAGUUAUCACCUAAGUAGUGAUCUUAAAACCGUUCAUAGGAAGCAUGGCGCUAAGCCGUCUAGAAAGAGGGCUUCAAGAAAGCUGAAACUAAAGCUUAAUAAAAUUGGUAUACAAUGAGGGGAAUUUUCUGGAAUAGCAGAGGUCUUCGCGACAUGGCUAAAACAAAAUUUCUAAGUAAUACUUCGAGGGAGCAGGGGCUAGAUUUCAUUGCUCUUCUGGAGACUGGAAAAAAAAGAGUUUCUACAAGCUAAGCUUGAUAAGUACUGUGGGGGGAGAAAUUUUGUCUAACACUGGACUGAACCACAUGGAAGGUCUGGGGGAAUGCUACUUGGUGUGAACCUAGAUGUUUGCGAUGUGGGUAGUAUAGAGGAGGGAGACUUCUUCAUCAAGUUUCAUCUUAGGAAUAGAAGUGAUGACUUUCAUUGGUGCUUAGUAGCGGUUUAUGGGGCAGCUCAACCUGAGUAUAAAGAGAUCUUUCUAACUGAAUUAGUACAGGCGUGCAGGAAAGUCUCUCUUCCUUUGCUGGUUGGAGGAGACUUUAACAUAAUCAGAAACCCAAGUGAGAAAAACAAUGAUAAUUAUGAUAGUCGAUGGCCCUUUUUAUUUAACGCUAUCAUAGAUGGGCUGAACUUAAGGGAGAUUGAGAUGUCGGGAAGAAAGUUCACGUGGGCCAAUUCCAAAAAUGUGCCAACGUACGAAAAAUUGGACAGGGUUUUAGCUAGCACAGAGUGGGAGCAAAAAUUCCCCCUAGUCACUAUUGAUGCGUUGAGUAGGGAAAUCUCCGAUCACACUCCCCUCCUGUUGAGCACAGGCGAGGGGGUGAAAAAAGGAGUCAACCUGAGUUCAAAUUUGAACUUAGUUGGUUCCUU
rnacentral:lncRNA from 1 species